rnacentral:lncRNA from 1 species
AAAUAUUGCCUUUGUGUAUGUAAAUUUAUAUAUAUAUAUAGAGAGAGAGAGAGAGAGUUGAGCUAGAAUACUAUCGGUAGCAAACGGGCUCCGUUGUCACCCAUUUGUUUUCAAUGAUGGAGCCUCCAAAUCGACGAUCGGUACCGUUGAAAAUGAUCUAUACCACUUGAAGUAUCUAGAAAUCAAAUUUCAUGCUUUUUCGAUAUUUUUAUCUUGUCCAUCAAGUGGGCGUAAAAAUGAACGGCUGAAAAUAAAUAUCCUCUAAAAAGUGAUAAUAGAAAUUUUGUAAUCAAGAUCGAGAGUAUAGAUCUUGUUCUAAAUAGUUUAAAGAAUUUUCUAACCAAAAUUCAAUUGAUUUGGAUAGCUUUACACCGUUAAACGAGAAAAUACCUCAUAUCGACCAUUAAAAUUAAAAAUUUUGAAAUUCUUUGAUCAAUAGAUCAAUGAUGUCGAAAAGAUUUGAAAUUUGAUUUCUAGAUACUUCAAGCGGUAUAGAUCAUAUUCAACGGUGUCGAUCGUCGAUUUGGAGGCUCCAUCAUCGAAAACAAAUGGGUGGCAACGGAGCCCGUUUGCUACCGAUAGUAUUCUAGCUCAACUCUAUAUAUACAUAUAUAUAUAUACAUAUAUAUAUACUAGUUGAGUGUACGUACAAAUGUACGUAACAAUUAAUUAUUUAGUAAUUAUUUUAAAUUAAUACGAAAUUGUACAUCAUAUUUAUUCAAAAAUUUAUAAUAUUUUUUAAAAAUAAAUUUAUUUAUUAUGUACUAUUAGAAAAUACCUGUUAUAUAUAUUCUAACUCAAAUUUAAAUAGUUGUUGUCAACAAUAAUUAUAUAUAUAUUUUUAUUUUAUAAAAUUUAUAUAUAGGAUAGAUAUAGAUAUACAUCGGAUAUUUUUCUAUAUUUUUUAAAUUAAAUUUAAUUCACGAUUUGAACUCAAAGUUAAAUUUUAAUGUAAAAUGAAUGGAUAGAAGUGCUUUUUUAACAGAUUGAUCAUAACCGUUCAUUUUUAUUUUUAAUAUUUUUAACCAAUUGAUCAUACUCAUUCGUAGAAUUAAAGUUAUAGAUAAGUAUAAAUAUUUUUUUUUAACAAAUUAGUCAUAAUCGUUCGUUCUUAUUUGAGAUAAUUUUUUACAAAUUGAUCAUAAAUUUGUACAUCAUAUUAAUUCAAAAAUAUGAUUUACAAAUUUAUCAACCAAUCUAUCUUUUAAAUUAUUUUCAAUGUAAUAUAUUGAUAGUCCCAAAAUUUUAAAUUUUAAAUUAAUUUUAAAUUUUGAAUUGAAAUAUAGAUUUACUGUAGAUAUUCUGGCAAAAAUUUGGAUAAGCAUAAUAUUUUUCUAUUUUAGAGAUAAAAAAUUAAAUAAUUUUUUAAUUAAAAUAUAGAUUCACAGUAGAUAUCUUUCGGUUGGCAAAAAUUUGGAUAAGUAUAUUUUUUUUUUCUAUUUUAGAGAUAAACAAUUAAAUAAUUUUUUAAUUAAAAUAUAGAUUCACAGUAGAUAUCUUUCGGUUGGCAAAAAUUUGGAUAAGUAUAUUUUUUUUCUAUUUUAGAGAUUAACAGAAAUGAAAAGUUUGUUUCAUUAUGUUAUUUAUUUUACGUACGGAAAGAGGAAUCAAUAUUUUUCCCGCUAAAAAAUAGGUCUGUCGACAGACCCAAAUUUGAAAUACGUGCUUUUAUAUAUAGUAUAGAUAUAUAUAUAGUCCGGCUAUUAUACUCUUACGAGUACAAUAACCAGUACGAUAACCUUCGUGCUCAUAACUCGUAUUCGAUGAUAGAGCUUCCGAAUUGACGAAGCAUACCGUUAAAUAUUAUCUAAACAUAUAGAAAUCAAAUUUCAUAAUUUUCAAUAUAAUUUAUUUUGCGAUCAAAAAACCUUAAAAUUGAUAACUUUUAACGGUCGAUAAUUUUGACUGUUUAUUUAAUGCUCGCUUGAUAGACUUUAUUGUAAUUUCAAAAAAAAUUUACGAAAUUUAUUUUUUGAAAGUUUCAAAUGUUCUAAAUUAUAUUUAAUAGUAUAGAUCAUUAAUUUGGAAGCUUCAUCAUUAAAAAUAACUUAUGAAUGUGAACUCUAUACUCAUAAAAGUAUAUAUAUAUAUAUAGUCCGACUACCAUACUCUUAUGAGUAUAGACCUCUUUGUACUCAUAUUUUCAGCUGUUAGAUCUAUCAUUUUGAUCAUUUUCAUUCGUUAAAUCAAACUAUUCAACCAACUACCCACUCAACCUUAGGAAACUAUUAUCGUUCUAACCGUACAUCCCUUCAUUCAACGGUCGAAAACAUAUGAAUACAAAAGGAUCUAUACUCAUAACAAUAUAGUAACCCUACCCUAUAUAUAUAUAUAUAUAUAUAUAUAGAGAGAGAGAGAGAGAGAGAGAGAGAGAGAGAGAGUAGGGCUACUAUACUCUUAUAAGUAUAGGGCCCUUUGUACUCAUAAGUUGUUUUCGAUGAUGGAGUUUUCGAAUCGACGAUUCACACCGUUAAACAUAAUCUAGAGUAUUUGAAACUUUUAGAAAAUAAAUUUCGUAAUUUUUCGAAAUCAUUAUAAAGUCCUUCAAGUGGGUAUAAAAUGAACGGUUAAAAUCGAACGACAUCCUAAAACUGGAUGAUCGGAUCCUUCAAUUUAAGAUCGGAGUUAUUGAUCUUUAUUUAGGUAGUGAAUAGAAUUUUCUAUCAAAAAUUCAAUCUAUUCCGAUUCUCUUUCACCGUUAAACUAGCAAAUAUCUCAUACCGGCCGUUAAAAAUUGUCAAUUUUGUGAGCUUUUGAUCGUAAGGUAAAUGAUAUCGAAAAAUUAUAGAAUUUGAUUUCUAGAGGUUUCAAAUGCUCUAGAUAAUGUUUAACGGUAUGAAUAGUCGAUUCAGAAGCUCUAUCAUCAAAAAUAACUUAUGAGUACGAAGGCGAGUACUCAUAAGAGUAUAGUAGCCGAACUCUUUAUAUAAAGAGUAAUUAUAUAUAUAUAUAUAUAUAUAUAUAUAUAUAUAUAUAUAUAGAAGUCGGCUCCUAUGCUAUCGGUAGCAGGAGCGCUCCGUGCUACCAAGUUGUUUUCGAUAAUGCGGCUUCCAAAUCGACGAUCGACUCCGUUAGACUUGAUCUACACUAUUGAAAGUAUUUGGAAACUAAAUUUCAAAUUUUUUCGACACAUUUGACUAGUGAUCAAAAGAUCUCAAAAUUGACAAUUUUAAUGGCCGAUGUGGUGUGUUUGUGAGUUUAACGGUGUAAAACAAUCCAAAUGCGAUGAAAAUUUUAUAGAAAAAUUCUUUUCACUAUUUAGAGUAAAAUCAGUAUAUCUGAUCUUAAAUUUAAAUCUUUUAUCAUCAUUUUUUAUGAGAUUUUUAUUUUCAACCGUUCAAUUUUAGACUACUUAUUUGAUAGGUAAAUGAUAUCGAAAAAUUAUGACAUUUAGUUUCUAAAUACUUUCAAUAGUGUAGAUCAAGUCUAACGGAGCCGAUCAUUGAUUUGGAAGCCGCAUCAUCGAAAACAACUUGGUAGCACGAAGCGCUCCGUGCUACUGAUAGUAUAGUAGCCUAGUUCUAUAUAUAUAUAUAUAUAUAUAUAUAUAUAUAUAUAUAAAGUAAAAAAAUAAAUUAAAAUUUGAGAAUUAAAAUAUCACUAGCUUUAUAGGUCCAGGACCAAACGAGUACCAACAGUGUAAUUUAUCCUUAUUAAUUACUAGUCCCAAUAAAAAAUUGUUGCGGAGUGGUCCUCAAAAGCGCGUCGCUGAUGCGUUGCAUCAAAGCGCAAAGCAUUACACGGGAUCUGCUAGGUCGUGCAGUGUAUCUAUGAGCCUUCACUAUUGCCACUACAAUUACUAUUUACUGUUACCUUUUUUUUUACUAUUAUUAUUCUAGGGUGUUGGGGGGACAAAAUGAAGAACAUUAUUGCUGUUAGGCUGUGAUUGAAUGAGUAGUUUCAAAGCUAAUGCAUUAAAAAUAUAAUAAGAGAAAUGCUAACUCUACGAUCCAAGGAUAUUGUAACCGCUGCAAUCCUUGCGACGCCCCACUUUUUUAGAGGUCAUCUAUCUUAAAACUACUUUAUCCCAAGCACGCCUAACUCUCUUGACUAGAAGUUAGUCACCAUCCAAAAUACUAUAGCUGAAUUAAGAGAUUUAGUCUUAUUAUACUAUAUAUAUAUAUAGAGAGAGAGAAAGAGAGAGAGAGAGUACGGAAGCUUCCGUACUGUCAAGUUGUUUUCAAUUAUGCGGCUUGUAAAUCCACGAUUAGUUCCGUUAGAUUAGCUCUAUAUAUAUAUAUAUUCUAAGAAUGUCACUUGAUGAGACUUGUUUUAUUGGACUUAUCAGACCUUGUGGGUAUCCGCGCCCUUCUCGCUGUAUGACCCUAGCUCAGCUGAUAUGAAUCUCACAGUUUCGGCCGAUGAUUGGCUUGAAUACCAAUUAUGAUGCCCCACUUUUCAAGAGAUCAUCUAUCCUAUUAACUAUUAUAAUCCUAACAUACUUAACCCUCUUAAUCUCUUAGGCCUAAUCACAGUCCAAAUAUUAUAACCAAGUUAAAAGAUUUAAUCAUAUUAUACCUUAUAUAGUAAUAUUUCAAAUCCUACAAGCCUCACAACCUUUAGACUUUACCGACCCCUUUUGGAUUUUAAUUAAAAAAAGAAGAUAAUAAGACAAGUUAAAAAUAAAAAUAAUAAAAAUAAUAAAAAUAAAAAAGGCACUUAGAUAAGAGGGAUUGUAAGAUUACAAUCCAAAAUGGACUAUAAGGAUAGCAUUGCUAUUAAAAUAAAGAUUAAAUUACAAAAACCCUGCCCGCACAUUAGCACUAAUCUGAAUUACUCCUCCGUAUUAAAACUAUAUUAAAUAUCCUCCUACAUUUUGUCAUUCUUUUAAUAUAUCCAGCUUUUUAGGAUGACCAUUAAAUUCAGCUAUAAAACUUCAUAAAAAAUAUAAGAUUGCAGAUGAAACUGCUUAAAAUAAUAUAAUAUAAUAUAAUAUAGAGUCCGGCUAGGAUACUAUCGAUAGCGUCAAGGACUUGGUGCUAUCGAGUUUUUCACCGUUAAAUUUAAUCCUUUGAUUAUUUUUACCCGUUAGAUUAUACUAUUCAAUCAACCACUCACUCAACCCUAGAGGGCCCACAUCAUCCUAAUCGCACAUUUCUCAAUCCAAUGGCUAAAAAACUAAUAGCAUCAAUAACUUGAUGCUAUUGAUAGUAUUCCAGCCUAGUUCAUAUAAUAUAAUCAUAUAAAUUAAAUAAAAUUAUCAAAUAAACUAUUAAUUUUAAUAGUAUUAGCAAAAUAAAAAAAUCUCUUUUAUUUAAAUUUUUAUCUAAGAUAUGAAACAAUAUUAUAUGCAAGCUUGUUUUAGUAAAGUUUCACAACUUAAUUUGUUAAUUUUUUUAAUUUAUUGGAAAUGGUGGCCAACACAGGAUACUUUUUAUAAUUUAACUUAAAAUAAAAGUACAAUGUACGUAGGCUAAGUGUAUGCCAUUUUGAAAUAAUAAGCCCACAAACUAUAUAAACAUUACUUAUAAAUACCUCCUAAUUAUUUUUGUUUCAAUUUGAAUAAUUGUAAAAUAAUUGACAUAAAAAAAUUAUUAAAUAAAUUUAUUCAGCAGCCUAUUUGAAAAUCACCUACAGUUUAAGGGGCCUCCAUACAAUUUUACCCCCUAAAAAAAAAUAAUGGAGCUAAGCACACGAAGAAAAUGUAAUCCGUACAAGGUGAACAGUGGACAAAGCAAGAGGCCUAAGGAGCUAUUUGAUUAGAUGUAAUUAUAAAUACAAAAUAAUUAAAAAUAUAUAUAAUUAAAAAUACAGCCGUUGUAACUAUAUAUAUUCUAUUUUGUCAAAUGUAGUAGAAAACGCUCAACUAUAAAUAUUUUAUUUGAUUAUAUGCAAUUGAGAAAUAAUUUUUAAAAGUUUAUCAUUUUACAUAUAUGAUGGAGAGAUUACCACCAAUCUACAAAUUUUUUUUUUAUUUAAAAAAUAAUUAAGGAGGUAAGCAUAUAUUUUGUUUAAAAUUACUCUAUCCAAUUGCUGUAGUUCGAACUGCAGCCAAUUUAGGCCUAGUUCCAACUGUUGCAGUUAGACCUCCUCUUGCAUUUCUUAUUGCAGCAAUUAGAGUUAAAUAUAUCGAACCAAACAAUGAAUUUGUGUUUACAUGCAGUUACAAAUACAGUGCAGUUGCAACUACAUGCAACCAAACGGCUCCUAGUUUUUUACAAAAUUAUCAAAAAUUAUAUUUAUUUUCUUAAUUUUACUGUAUAUUUUUUUAAAAAUAAAAAUAUAAGAAAAUAAUAAUUAUAACUUAGAAUUAGCUCAAACAAACAGUACUGUAGAUGUACGAAAAGGGGACUUGAAUAGCAGUUAAGCUUGCAUGUGGAUUAGAUUAGAUCAAUUUCCAAUUCAAAAAGUGAGUCCAAAAGUGCUUCUGCAACAAUCAAUUAAAAAGCUAUGUUUAAUUUUUAAUAUGACAUAUAUCAUAACUUGAUCAUGUGACAACCAAACCAGCUAAUCAUUCCUAUCUAGUACAAUGAAGCAAUAGAUUUUAAUUCAAUUACCUAAAAUUAAUGUGUAGCUAUUAAAAAUAUACAUUUAGUUGUUGCCAAAUAUUGGCUUAUUUUCUUUCAUAUCAUCAACAUUAAUUACUUCUUCUUUUUUUCCUUUUUUUGUUUUUUGGGCCAUGAAAAGUGUACUCUGAUACUUAUAUUAUCUCAAAUAAAAUAUUAGCUAGGAAAUGAUCUUAAUAAAAGUCCAAUUAAGCUUAAUUGGGAACUAAGUAAAAUUCUACAACAAUUUCUUAUGGCAAAGUCAAUUUUUUAUUUAGCAUUGGAUGCAAAUUAACCAAUGUAAGAUACCAAACUGUAAAUCAACUAAGAAAUUAUUUAGAAAUUUAACUAAACUAAGGUUGAAUCUUUUAUUCAAGCUAAGCUAGGAGUUUUUUUUAUUUACCACAACUGUUUAAUGCAGUUGAUUGUUAUCGCGAACACCCUUGCCUUCUUGUUAAAAAAAUAUAUGACUAACAACUCAACUCAUUAGCAAUAAUAAUUUGUUGGGUUCUAAACUAUGACCCAAAAUACUUAAAUUUUACUAUUUUUUCUAGAGUUCAUAGUUUUUAUAUUUUAAAUCACAAUGUAGUACUCAUUUGAUGUAGGACUAUGGGAACAUUAUAGAUUUUUUCUAUUUAGAUCUCGACUAAGAAAUAUGAGACUAAUCUCACACUUUCCAUUAUUAAACUAGCUAUGAUACCAAAUUUAAUGAUCCAACAUGUUAGAACGAAUAACUGGUUGUGCCCUAAACCGCUAGCACAAAAUGCAUUGGUCUAGUGUUAUUAGAGCUCGUAUCAUGUAAUCUCAUUUACAAUUCACUUUUCAUUCGAUGUGGGACAAUUUAGACGUCACAUAAAUACUAAAAUAUAUAUAUAAAUAUAUAUUGUAAACACUAAUAAAUAUAAAAAAUGGAAGCCUACAACACCCCUAAAGUGAGAAAACCUCUAUAUUUUUCUUUUUCCUUUUUUUUAUAUUUAUUUUUGUUAGUUAUCUGGUCACUUUCAUACUUACCAUUUCCAAAAAUUUCCUCUUCCUUUCCCAUCAACUAGAAAACCAACAAAGUAUUAUUAUUAUUAUUUUUUUCCAUUGUAAAACAAAAGGUAAUUAUCGUUUGCCUUGUAAAUUAUUAUCCAAAAAAUUAGAAAUAAAUACUAAAAUAUAGAAAAUAUUUCUAUAGUACUCACUUUUUUUUUCUUUCUAAUUUUUAAAAAUUUAUAUUUUAUCUCUCCAAAAUUUUUAAAGUAUUUUUUAAAAAUUACAACAAUAAUAAUAAAGGUAAAAUGACUAAAUAUUUUUUCUUAUUUUUUUAAAAAAAACUUUUUUAAUAUAUUUAAAAAUAUUUUUAAUAUAAAUUAUAAAAAAUAGAUCAAAUAGUGAUAAAAUCUUGACCGAAAGAAAAAAAAAUAUGACGCCCCACUUUUCGGUUGUCAUUCAUUUUAGGACUAUUUUAGUCCUCACACGCUUAACUCUUUUAAUACCUUCGGUUUAAUCACCGUCCAAAAUACUAUAGCUGGAUUGAUAUUAAGAAAUUUAAUCUUAUUAUAUCUCAUAUAUAUAUAUAUAUAGAACUAACCCAAAUUUUGAGUUUGAUAUUAUAACCAGGUUAAAAAAUUUAGUCAUAUUAUAUCUCAUAUAUAGAACUAAUCCAAAUUUUAAGGUUGAUAUUAUAACCGAGUUAAGAGAUUUAAUCCUAUUAUAUUUUAUACACAUUAAUAAUCUAAAUUCUGAUGUCUCACAAGAAAACUAAAUAUAUCAACUUAAACUUUGAGGCUUCGUUUGGUUCGAGUAUAAGUAAGAACUAGCUUAUAUCAGGAAUAGGUAUAAGUUUAGCUAUAAGCGAAAACUAGACCAAUUUUGUGUUUGGAUGAAAAUUUGGUUGUUUCUAAAAAUAAGAAAAAUAAUAUUUGAAUAAAUAAGAUGGAAUAAAAAAAAUAAUUGAUUAUUAUAAAUAAAAUAUAAUAAUAUUACCCCUCUCAUUAUAUUUGAAUUUAAAAUUUUAAAUUCACAAUUUUAAAUUUUAAAUAAUUUAAAUUUUAAAAUUUUAAAUUUUAAANCAUUAUAUUUGAAUUUAAAAUUUUAAAUUCACAAUUUUAAAUUUUAAAUAAUUUAAAUUUUAAAAUUUUAAAUUUUAAAAUUUGAAAUUUAAGACCAAAUUUAAAUUUGAAAGAUAUAAAAUAUAAAUUUUAAAAUUUAAAAUUAUAAAUUUUAAUUUUGAGAUUAUAAAUUUUAAAUUUUAAAAAUUCUAAUUUAAGACAAAAAUCUCUCUCUCUCUCUACCCGGGGGUGGGAACAAGCUCCCACCCUUGGGUAGGAACAAGUUGUUCCCAGGAUAACCCGAUAUGGGUGGGAACUAUAUUUUUUUGUUUGGGUAUAAAAAAGGAAUAAGCCCCUUAUAAGCCCCUUAUCCCCCUCUUAUACCUAAUCCAAACGGCACCCGAAAGAAUAACUGUAAAUAUUUUUUAAAAGUGAAGAUGAAAAAGUAAAAAAAAAAAGUAAAUAUUUAUAAAAAAAAAUUAUGUAUUUUAGUCAAAAAAAAUUUAUUUAAUUUUCUUUCCACACUGUCUUCACUCAAAUACCCACAAUGCGCACCAAAAAAACAGGCCUUUCCCUUUCCCUCCCCACUUAUGAACAAAACCCACCUCAAAUCAAAAACCAAAAAAAAAAUAAUAAAAAAAAGAAAAAAACCAAAAUGCAUUAAAGAGCUGAAACGAAAUUAAACGCUAAAUCUUAAAAAAAUAAGAAGAAAAAAAAAAAAGAAGCGGUGAUGUGCAAAACACAAAAAAAAAAAAAAAAAAAAAAAAAAAACAUACCAUCUUCUACUGCGGCGGAGGCCAUUUGGGAGAGGAGGAGCAGCAGCAGCAGCAGCUGCAGCUGCAUGAGGAAGAGGCAAAUCGUCCGAGUCGAGGAUCGAACCAUUCUAUCUCCCUUUCCCUAGCUGAGUUCGUGACUCGGGAACUUUUUUCUUUUUUUUUCUUUUUUUUUUUUACUCUCUAAUUCUUGGACACAGAGGAGAGUGGGGGGAGCUACACAAAACUCACUCACUCACUCACUUACUCGGAGGUCUAAUAAGUGAUGGGGAAAUGCCCUCCUCUCUUUACCCCCUUUUAUGGUGGGUGAUUCCCUCUUUUUUGGCGUUAUGUGGGCCAUUAUUAUUAUUAUUAUUAUUAUUAUUAUUAAGACUAUUUUAUUAUUAUUAUUAUUAUUAUUAUUAUUAUUAUUAGGAAAAAUUUCAAAAACUCCUAUCUGGUUUCGUAGUUUCUUACUUUGUCCUCCUGUGGUUUAAAAUGUAUCAAUUUAUUCUCUUGUAAUUUUUUUUUCUCUUUUUCUUAUCAAUUUUAUUAUUUUUUUCUUAAAUCAGUUAUAAAGUUAAAAUUAAAGAAUACUAAUGUGAAUAUUUGAUAAAUCUAGAUGGAUAUCUAAAAUUUUUUGUAUAUAAUUUAAUGAAAUAUUAACGAAAAAGCUAUCGAAAAGAUAAAAACCAAACCACAGGAGGACAAAUUGAAAUAUUUUAAACCAUAAAGAGCCAAAGUGAGAAACUACGAAACCACAAAAAGGUUUUUAAAGUUUUCCCUUAUUAUUAUUAUUAUUAUUAUUAUUAUUAUUAAGGCUAUUUUAUUAUUAUUAUUAUUAUUAUUAUUAUUAUUAUUAUUAAUAAGGCUUUUUUUUUAUAUUCCUUUCUUUGGUAGAGUGGGAAAGUAUUGGGUACUGUGGGGGCGAAAUUGAGGACAUGCCAACGCAGUUCAACAGCUGUUAAUAAAAGAAAAAAAAAAUUUGUUGGAUUGCCAUUCAACUAUAUCAAUCAGUAGUUAGGGGUCUUUCCCUUUGAUGUAAUUAAAAAUACAAUUAAUUUCAUACUGGUCCCUGCAACAUAAUAAAUUAUAAAUAUAUUUUUAUAAAGUUCAAUUUUCAUAUAUUGUUUCUAUAAAAAUUUUAAUAUUUUUUAAAUAUGUCUUUCUGAUUUGUUACCGUUAAAUCACUGUUUAUUUUAUAAAUAAAAUGACCUUUUUGACAUCACUCUAAAAGUUCUAACGGUAAAUUAAAGAGGGAUAAAAAUGUUGAUUCAUCUUAUUAACUAACUCGGGUUAAGUAUUUUAUCUAUGGUUAACUAAUUUUUUCUAACGAAUCAUAGCGGCAUGAACAUAUUUGAAAAUAUCACGACUUUUAUAGUGACAAUAUAUGAAAGUUAAACUUUAUAAAGAUAUAUUUAUAAUUCACUAUAUUUAUAGAGACCUGUAUGAAAUUAAUCCUUAAUAAAAAAUAUAAUAUAAUUAUAGUUAUAUAUAUCUCGCUUGGAUGGAUACAGUAUGAAGUAUUGUAAUAAUUAUAAAUAAUUUAUUUGGUGCAUUCAAUUAAAAUGUGCCUUUGUAAAAUUUUAUCGCUUUACAUAUAUAUCAUAGUGAAAUUAUGUCCAAUAUAAGAUAGAAUUAUUUAAAAAGCAAUUCAAGAGUUAGCGGUUAGAUUCAAACACAUCGAACCGAAUGUCGAAUUUGAAUUUGCAUAUAUAGAUGCAACAAAAUAGCCUUUUAAGUCGGUCGAACUACUGAUGUCAGUAUAAUAUCAUAAAUAAUUCUGGGCAUUUCGGGAUAAAACCUUGGGCAAAGCCUCUCUAUGCUGCCUUGCUUUCUCUAGAAUCAACGAUAAUCAGGUGACAGAAUCUUUCCAUUGAAUACCUGAUCAGAGCGUGCUUGGUCAAAGAACCUUUCUUUCUUUACUCUUAAUUAUUAAUUUUUACAUAUAGAACCGAUCCUCCCUAGAGCAAGUGACAAAAGGCUUGGUGAUUGGUACCUGAGACCUAAGUUCGAAUUCUAGUUGAUUCACAUUUCUAGCUAAGUUUAUUUCUAAAUGAAAUAAACGAAACAUGUAGCAUACUACCUAUCUCAAAAAAAAAAAAAAAAAAAAAAAAACAAUGUAUAGAACAAGAAAGAUAAAAGAGAUAAUCAAAUCAUCUAAUCAAUGAUCAAAGAGCAAUUAGCAAGUGAUAGUCCGAACCGUUAGUCCAUUUAAAGGAGGGCUGGUUCAUCAAUUUGCCCGCUGAACCACUAAUUCAAAUGGGUCAAUACGAAUUUUAAAACCUUUCCGGUUUAAAUAGGAUGGCGAAAUCAGCCUCUAUUGGUAUUCAUUAGUAAUUUAGAUUGUUGGAUACAUUUCACUCUCUUUCGGAAAAUUUUUGAUUGUUCAUUUUAUGAAACCAAAAAGACUAAAUUAUAUAAAAACUUUCUAUCAAUACUCAUUUUUUUAUUUUCUUUUCUGUCAUUCAAAAAUCUAUACUUUACUUUCUUAAAAAAUAAAAAAUAUUUAUAAAAAUACGGUGUGAUAAAAUGACCAAAUUAUCCUCAUCUUCUUCUUCUCCUUCCCAAUCCUCGACUCUAGCUCCGAGUCCGUUUCCUCCAUCUGCUCCCCUGCUCCUCUAGCACCAUCGCAGUCCCUCUAUUUCGGCAACUGUAGGGAGGAGAUCGUGGUGGGCAGAGAGAUGGGCGAGGGCGAGGGCGAGACGGCGAAGAAGGGUGAGGCGGCAAAGGAGGACAAGGGUGAGUGCGCAAGGCAGCAGAGUAGGGCGAGGCGACACGGCUGAGGAUGUUGGUGGGGAACGAGGAUGAAGAUGAGAAUUUUAGAGAUAUUUUAGGUAUAAAAAAUAGGAUAUAAACGAAAUCCUAACAGAACAUUGACGGCGGAAACCGAAAUUAAUAUUUUUUAUUUUUUAAGGAGGCAAAGUAGGUUUUACGGUGACAAAAAAAGUAAAAAAGCGGAUAUUGAUUGAAAUUUUUUUUGUAAUUUAGCCAAGCGAAAUGUAGAUAUAAAUAUAAGUAUUUGAAAUAAAAUAUGGCAUUUUUUGACUCCUUAAGAAAUAUGUCUGUAAACUUUUAAAAUUUGUAGGAAUAUGUGUAACAUCUUUUUAGAGUUUUUUUAUAGGGAUAAGUAUGCAAAGUUCUAACUUUAGAAUAACACAUUUUUAAUUUUUUCUAAAAUAAAAUAAAAUAGAAGAUGAAAAAUAUGGGGAGAUCCUUCAACUAUGCAUUGCAGUUUCGUUACACACACACUAUGCACAUGGAUUCGUAAUGUAGAGAAACACCCUCCCUCAACAGUGUCAUUUUGAAAUAAAAACAAUUUCAAAUGCGCCCUUAAAAUUUUAAAAAAUGUUGCCUUUCAAAAUUCAUAAAUUCUAUCAUAAACAUCCUUUCUAUCAAAUUUAAAGUACAGGAAAUUUUAUUUGAGUUAAAAAUAUAAAAUAACUAAUUUAAAUUUUCGCCUUUUUUUUGGCUUUUUUUUAACUAAUUAUAUAUAGUUAAUAUUUUAGCUAGCAUGAAAAAUUACUGAAAUUAUUUUAUGUCCACUCGCUAAUUAAAUUUUCAUGACCACACUUCCAAACCCUACGUCCUAAAACACCUAAAACCAUAAAAACAUAAAAUUCUAAAACCCUAAAACCAAAAAUCUAAAAUUCCAAAACCCUAAAAUUUAUAAACACUAAAACCCUAGAGCCUUCAUACCCUAAAACCUUAAAUCCUAAACGAAGUUAAUUUAUAAGAGUAAUUUCGACAGUUUUCUAAAAUUUAAAGGGCAUUUUUAAUAUUGACAAUUUUUUUAGGUUAUCUAUGUAAUUAGCGGUUGACUAAAGGACACUCAGCAAAUUAACCCAUUAAAAUUUAUUGAAAGCUAUUUAUUUUAUUUAAGUCAUUUAAGUUAUUUUUUUAGAAAAAAAAUUAGCCACUUCUUAAGUAGUCGGUGAAAAAUAUCAACGAGUCGGAUUCAUUGCAGAUUUUCAAAAACUCAAAGCUAAACCCUGCUAUCAAAAUCGAAAUCCAAACUCAAACCCAAGAGCGUCAAAUUUUGAAAAUCUAUAAUCAAAAUCGAAACCUACCUAGAAAGCAUGCGAUCAUUUUUUUUUUUUACCAAAUUUCAAAAUAUAUCAUAUUGAAAUAUAAAUUUUCAAACUAAAAAACAACUAUAGAAAAUAAAACCGGUUCCGAUUAGUAUUCGGGUUGAGGUAUACGUAAAAACUACAUCGAAAGCCAAAUUCAUCGGUUCAUUUUCUAUACUUAUAAUCGAGACCGUAUGUAUUGAGAAUCAAUUAAAUCCGUCCUGUUCGAGUUCGGAUUCGGAUAAGUUUUGGUUAUCCGAACACAUUUGACAUCCUACUUACUAUUGGUCGACCAUCAACUAAAUGUUACUCAAAAUAUGUAUAAUUCAAAAGAGUCACAAUUGAAUUUAACAAAACUCCCGAUUUAGUUAAAAAUAGCUUAAAUAGCAGAGAAAAGAGUUGAGAAAAUACAUACCAACCAAAAGAAAAAAUAAUCCCCAUACUUUGAUCAUUUGAAACUAUUCAACUUAAUUUAAAACCUUUUAUUUUACGUUCUAAUCUUUUAACUAGUUCAUUUGAAUCAUUUAAUGACAUAGAGAAAUUAUUACAUGCCUCUAGUUAUGAAUUCACAAUGUUCCUCGAUGCAUGGAUAAGGCUGAAUCUGACUCAAUAUCAAGCUUGAACCAGAAAAGAAAUGAUCUUGCGGAUUCAGUUUUGAGAAAAGGCCUCAACGUUAUCGCACCGGAGUCGAAAGGCACGAGGCUUCGGCUUUCAUGCUUUGGCCAAUGGUCUCGACCAAAAUUAAAGGAACAAGGCCGCCGUAAAACGGCAAUCCUUGAAAGGAUAAAUACGCACGAAUGGAGAUGCGCAGAGCGGAGUUACAUUCACAGGUGAGGACGAGGUGGUCCGACGAUGGUCUGAAUGGCAAUCACAGGCGAGUAUCGUUAGGCAAGGUGGCUGAAACGAGACAGCGAUUAAUCUACAACUACUCCUAAGUUACAAAAUUGAAGAAUUUUCCAAGAUAUUAGAAAACAAAGAGAUUUGUACAUUAACUAACCAACUAUCUGAAAUUAUAUAAUAUUGUUAUUUCAUGUAAAUUAAAAGCAAGGAUUGAUAGGUUUAAGGGCAAAAGCAAGGCAAGAGUGAUUUAAUAAGUUAGUUGGCUUUUAUCUUGUUUAUCAUUGAGGUGACAAAGAGGCCUUUAUUAAAGUGAUAUGAUCAUUUCCAUUGAUACUACAUACUAAUUAUGUAUACUCUUCUUUUCCUGAUAUUAUUGCUUGCACCUGGUUUAUUUGUACGUCUCAUGCACCAUCAACUUCGUGAAGCCAAAAUAUGUGAUCUACGAAAUUUAAACGAUCUAUGUUUAAAGGAUCUUUGUACUAAUGAAGAUCCCAACCAAUUUCAAUAACCUAUGGCUAUGGUAGAGAAGUAAUAUAUAAAAAAUAAAGAGUCGAGCUAUUGUGAUUUUAAAAACACCAAGUAUUUAAUAUUUAUAAAUUUUUUUCUGUUAGAUCUAUCCAUUUGACCAAUUUUAUUUCUUAAAUUAUGUUAUUAUCAUAAUCUUUUUAUGGGUGCAAUGCAUAAAAUAUACAAAUUAAUAGUCGUACUCUAGGUUAGAAAUUUUAAUGGGUACGAAUACCCGAUCAAAAGUUUAUCCGAAUCUGAACUCGAACUCAAAUCCACUGGACUUAUCUAAUGCUAAAUGGAUAUAAUUUCGGAUAUGAGUAUAAAAAAUAAAAAAUCCGACGAAUUUAGAUUCGAGUAUGAAUUUUGUCUGUACCAGACGAAACCCGAAUUUGAACCUGAAGACAACCCCAAUAUAUUUUAAAUUAAUAUAAGAUAUAUGAAUAUUUAAUAUUAUAUUUAAGUUUAUAUUUUAUAUUUAAAAAUAUCGUAAAGAGAAAUAAAUAUCUCAUAUUUGGGUUCUGGUUUUGGAAUUUUGAUUUCUGAUCGGAUUCGGUUUUGAAUAUGAAUCAUAAGAAUUCAUCAGAUUUGAAUUUCAGACUUUGAAUUUGGAUGGUCUUGUUUUGACACGAAUAUUUGAAAAGACGCUCCGAAUCUGACCCAUUACCAUCUUGCGCUGGGUGUAGGCAAUAAUUUCUCCUCAUUUUGGCUGGUUAUGGUUCCAAUGAAUAAUCAUCUUAGCACUAUGUAAAUUAAUUAGUAGUGGGGGCCAUUGUUCAUAAUGCCUCAUCAAUUUAGAUUGAUUUUUUACAGCUAACUAAAACAUAGAUAUGUGUUAUCAUAUUUAUUAUAGACUUAAUAGAGAGGUGAAUUAAUAUGUAUAUAUAUAGGGAGUCCCGCUAGGGCGCACAAGGACUGCUGUACUUCUAAUAGCACAGUAGUCCUAGCAUCCCUUUCUCCCUAUUGAAUUAGGCUAUAAUCUUUCUAAUAACACCAAAUCAUUAGUACUAUAAGAUUUUCGGUCCUUAAAUGAAAAAAUGUGCGGUUAAAAUGAUAAUGAUCCUUUUAGGGUUGUGUAGGUGAUUUGUUGAAUAGUAUGAUUUAACGGAUAUAAAUGAUCAAAAAAUAAAUAAAUUUAAUGGUGAAAAAUUUGAUAGUACAAAAUGCUUUAUGCUAUUAGAAACACCUCAGCCGGACUCUCUAUGUAUAGGGCUUGUGCUAUUAAGAAUACACUAGUACUUGUACUCCUAAGUUUCUAACCAUCUAUAAUUUUGAUCGGUGGUUAGAGUGAGUGAAAGACAAAAAAUUAGAAAAAAAUUUAAAAAGAAGAGAAAUUGAGACAUUUAAUUUUUCUCUAAUUUUUUUUUAAAUUUUAAUCAUCUAUCAAAAUUGAUGAAUAAUUUAAAAUUUAGAAACACAUAGCUUGCUAUGUCGUUAAUUAUACAGUGCUUUUGCUCUAUAUAUGUAUAUAGAGUUGAGCUAGAAUACUAUCGGUAGUAAAUGAGCCGUUUUACUACCAAUUUGUUUCGCUGAUAGAACUUCCAAAUUGACGAUCGGCUCCGUUAAAUAUGAUCUAAACCAUUUAAACUACCUAGAAAUCAAAUUUCACGCACUUUCAAUAUUGUUCUUUUAUCCAUCAAGUGAACAGAAAAAUGAAUGGCUGAAAAUGAAUACUCUUUAAAAAAUAAUGAUAGGAGUCUUGUAAUCAAGAUCAAGAGUAUGGAUCUUAUUUUAAAUAGUUUAAAGAAUUUUCUAAUAAAAAUUCAAUUGAUUUGAAUAUCUUUACGCCGUUAAACGAGAAAACGCCUCUUAUCGAUCAUUAAAAUUACAAAUUUUGAAAUCCUUUGAUCAUUAGGCAAAUGAUGUCGAAAAGAUUCACUACAACAGAAUUGGGUUAUAGGGAGACAUGUUUGGGACACUUUUAUGUAAGUGUCUCAUUUAUACCAAAGCUUAAAAAAAAUCUACUAAUGCCUAAAUAUAAAAUUCAAUCCAAUCAAAAAUAAAAGAUUACUCUACUUAACUACCCCACCCAGCCCAUUCUGCCCGAUUACAAAUAGAAAAGAAAAAAAAAAAGAAAAAUCGAUUACCAUCUCCCCUUCUCCCUCACUCAAUCCACUUAAAUUCUAGACGAAGAGCCCUUCACUCUCCUCUUCCUCUACCACCACAGCCAACGAGGUAGAAUUCCGGUGGUUGCUAAAUACUUAAAUAAGUGUUGGUAAAUUAGCAGCACUCUUUUUAGGUUAUAGCGACACUCUUUAACUGUCACUAUAUAUCUAGUGACCCCACAUAUAGCAACAUUUUUUAAAAGUGUCGGUAAUUUAGUCAGCAUUAUUUUUUUUGACCUGUACCGAUAUUUGAAAGUGUCGCUAUAGACUGUUUUUGUUGUAGUGAUUUGAAAUUUGAUUUCUAAACAUUUCAAGUGGUAUAGAUCAUGUUCAACAGAGCCAAUCGUCAAUUUGAAAAUUCUAUCAUUGAAAAUAAAUCAAUAGUAAAACGGCUCGUUUACUAGCGAUAGUAUUCCAGCUCAACUAUAUAUAUAUAUUUUAUAUAUAUGACUUUUUGAAUGCACGCUUUCCUAGAUGAUAGGCCUUAGAGAGUCUGGGAAAUAGGAGCCGCGCAAAACAAAGUGGGAAACGCGCAAGAAAAUUCAUGUACGGUGAGAACAAAUGAGUCCAAGACGCGCGCGCGCGCAAAAAAAAAAAAAAAAAAAAAAAAAAAAAAAAAAAAAAAAAAAAAAAAAAAAAAAAAAAAAAAAAAACCCUGCACCCUCCCAAAGUUUCAUGUGAACACGCUUUGCCGGUAUUAUUUUGUACAAAACAAAAUCUUACUGAAGCAAUAGACCAAUUAAGUCAAAUUUCUACAAGGUCUAAACAUCAUGUUUUAUGUUUAACCUAAUGUCUCAAAAGGCGUGUCGUCUGUAAAAUUAGUGUGAUAUAAAAUAAUUUAAAAAUAUUAGAGGGAGAAAUAUUAUCUAAUACAGUGAUUCUUAUUACUAGAGGUUUUUGGAUGGCAGGAUUCGAAUUCCGAAAAUAUAUAUAUGUGUGGCGUCUUCAAAAUUUAGAAUAGUUUUAUGCAUAAAAUAUAAUAAAAUUAAGUUUUUUCUAACUUAGUUAUAAUAUUUUGGACGGUGACUAUAUUCAAAAAAUUUAGAGGAUUAAACAUGCUAAGAAUAGAAUAAUUUUAGGAUGAAUAAUUUUCUAAGAAGUAAGGCGCUACAAUUAAUAUUAGAAUCGAUUAUAAACCGGAAAUAUGAAAUGAGUUUCAACAGAGUUAAGAUCAUUCAGCGGGUAUGCGGCUUCCCACAAGAUCGACUAAGGCUAGUGAUUUAAGUCACAUAUCUCUUGGUACUUAUGAGUAUGCUUGAACUUGAUAAGGCCGGGAUUUGAAGGAGAGAAGAAUGUGACACUCCCAAAAUUUAGAAUAAUUUUAUCUAUAUGAUAUAAUAGGGCUAAAUUUCUUAACUCAGUUAUAACAUUUUGAACGAUAGAUAAGUUUAUUCUCAGAUGGAUGACCCUCUCGAAAGUGAGGUAUCACCGUAUGUUUAGAGAAUUUGAUACUCCAGCUUUUUUUUGGGUACUAGCAGUUGAGUUUGAGAUAGCUUUCAUGCUUCUCGCAAAAUUUUGCUUGCACCGUUAGUACUUUUUCUUGCUUUGGUUGCCGUUUGAUUUGGGGUUUAUAAUUCUAUGGCGUCUCAUUUCGCAAGCUUAAACUGGAGCUCUAAAACUGAAAAGCAUCAAAGUUUCAUUUAGCGCUCAUAUAUAAAACAAGAAUUGCUUGAUCUGUCAUUUUUUAGGGGCACAAGCAUAAUUAUUUUAAGCUCCUUAUAUAAUUUUACUUUGCAUUAUUAGCAAGAUAAAAGUUAUUUGUUUUUUUUCCCUUUAUUAAUGUAAUAAUACCAACGAACUUGCCGGUGCACGUGCAUAGCACGUGAGCCCGUAUACUUGCUGUUGUGUCCUCUUCAUUAUUUCACGUAUUUCUUUGUCACUUCCUUUUUUUAUCUCAUAAUAUCUAAAGUUUAUAAUUUGUGUAAGAACAUGAAACAGGGAUAUGGCCUAAACUGCUUUAUUCUUGCACAAUGUUUUAUGAGCGAAUUGUUACUAGUGAUAGUGAUAGUAGUUUGGCUACGCAAGCAGGUUUUGUGCAAUGUUUUAAAUAUUGAAUCAAAUAGCAGUAUGAAAAUAUUACUGAAUUAAAAGUCACUAAUUUAAUUAGUGGAUCAAUCGCUGAUACAAUCAGCAACGUUACUUCGCAAACGAUUGGUUAAGCGGCCAAACGGGCUCCAAAUUUGAUGAUUCUAUUGGAUCUGGGUUCGGAUCCAGCGGGAUGCUAGUCCGAGUUCAAGCACGAACAACCCUGACUAGUCACAACUGUGUACGGUCGGUAACAAGUCCAGUCUCGGGAGUCACUAGGGAUGCCAACGGGUCGGAUUCGGGACCGAUUUUUAAAAAUCAAAAUCUGAACCAAAACCUAAAUCCGACAAAUUUUAAAAAUUCAUACCUAAAUCGGAAUCCGACCAAACAUUCGAAACUUGAACCUGCCACAAUUAUUUAUUUUUACAACAUUUCAAAACAUAUUAAUAUAAAAUUUUAAUUUUUAAAAUACAAAUUCAAAUAUAACAAUAAAUAUUUAUAUACAUAUACAUAUAUAAUAAUGUAAAAUCAAUUCAGGUUCAGGUCGGGUUCUGAUUCGAGUCAGGUAUAGUAAUAUUUAUAUUCAAAUUUAAAUUCGUCGUAUUCUUAUUUUUGAUAUUCAUAUAUGAAAAUAUCUGUUUAGCACUGAGUAUAUCUGCUCAAUUCGGAUUCGGGUUCGGGUUCGGGUUCGGAUUCGUACGAAACUUUCGGUAUCGGCAACCAUUGACAUCCCUAGCAGUCACCGCUACGAUAUAGCUAUAAAACCUACCGCGAAGGGAGAUAGAGAGAGAGAGAGAGAGUGAGUGGAGGCCGACGGCGGCGAAAUGGAAGCCGAAGCGCGGCCUCCGUCUCCUCCUCCAAUGCCGCCGCCGCCACCUCCUCCCGCCGACUCUUCCACCGUCCACGGGUUCCAAGAAGUAGCUUCCGCCGUCUCUUCGUCGUCGUCGUUGUCGUCGUCGGCGGCGGCGGCGGCGGCGGCGGAGAUUGCUCCUCCUCCCUCUCCUCCUCCUCCUCCUCCUCCUCCUCCUCCUCUUGAUCGUAGAGAUCAAGAAGAGGCUAGUCUACGAGCCGAGCUCUUCUCCGGCGCUGCCGAGGAGGACCGAGAAGCCGCCCCGUACAUCAGCUGCGGCGGUGGCGAAGAUGGUCUCUCCGAUGAGCUCCGUGAUCAGAUCGUGCGGCAGGUGAUGGUUCCCCCUCCUUAUAUCACUUGCUAGUUUACUUUGUGGGUAUCAGGCUAUUGAUUUGCAUUACUGGUUCCUAAGGUGGUGUUUAGUUUCGCCGAACAAUUGCGUAAAACUUUUUGUUUUCCAAAACACUAUUUCCAUAGUUUUUGUUGUUUUUUGUUUUCUGGAUAAAAUUUUGCGAAAACGAAAUGUAGACUGAAAAAAAAAACAAUUUUUUUGGAUACUUGUUGAGCCAGAACGGAAUUAUUAUUAUUAUUAUUAUUAUUAUUAUUUAUUAUUUUUAUUUUUUUUUGGGUGAACUAAACACCCCCGAAGUAGAUGGGGAAAAACUAAUUGUGUUGAUGAACUUUUAUCAAACAACUUCUACAAAUAUGCCAAAUUGGCCCAUUGUGUCAUCUGACAUUGAUUUUACUGAUGAAAAAGAUGAUCUGAAUGUUGGGUAAGCAAAUUUUGAACCCAUUUGUUUAUGCAUUAAAGGCGGGAAUCAGAGCUUGACAUUUUGCAGAAUGCAUGGGUAAAAUUUUCUAAACAAAUCUCAUUCAAACAGCAAAUUUCCUUUUCAGCUGGAAAUGAAUUUUCUGAGACUAUGGUACUUGUCAAAAAAAUGUUGACUUAGUGUCUAUGCAUCAUCUUUUUAAUCUUAACAUCAGAUGAUGGAAUGGGCCAAUUCGCUACCAAUUUGUCAAAAAAUGUUCAUUUUCAGUGAAUACGGUCAAAGUGAAACUUUGGCUAUUGUUCUGGAGAUCCAAGUGCAAUUAACUCUAGUUUUUAAAUAAAUGUUUUCCGAUUGAAUAUGGUCGCAUACGAACUUCUCUAAUUUUUUGUUGUUAUUCAGGUGCUGCGGUAAUCGCACCUCUCUUAUAAAACUCCUUCUCUGUAGGAUUGGUUGGAUUUGGAGCAUUAUGUUGUUGUUUUCUUAUGAAAUCUGAACUAAAAUUAUAAGCCCAUUAUUUUCAGGUUGAGUACUACUUCAGUGAUGAAAAUCUUCCUACAGAUAAGUUUCUGUUGAAAUUUGUGAAGAAAGACAAGGAUGGAUUUGGUAAGUGAUGUAUACCUUCAGUACAGCAAAUUCUUAAUUUUAUUCAGGUUUUGCAAGAUUUGAUCAACGAGAUAGGUAUCUUCAUGGAAUGAAGCUUUGUUUCAGAAGCACAUUUUUACAUCUAGGGCGCCCAAACUUUGUGAUUUUAACGAUGAAAGAGCCAGGGCUCUAGAUUUUGGUCGUCUUACGUGAUAUGGCUUUCUCUGCCAGGGUAGCUUGGUUAUUAGUGCAAUUGAUUUUGGCACAUAUUGUGUGUUAUGGAACUGUUCAGUUCUAUUGUUUCAGUUGAAAAGUAGUCAGCGUGAUAACUUAGAUUUCAAUUCAACUUUCAAGGAAGUUUCAAUAAAAUUAUUCUAUGAAUGCAUCUGAGAAACAGUUUGAUCUGUUUUCGACCAAUAAAUAAUAAAGUCAAAAGUAAACUGAUUUAUUUAGAUCUGACGGUUAUCAUAGGAGAAGCAUGUUCUGGGACUAUUAAGUUUAUUAAAUUUGGGUGAAGUCAUGUUGAUUUCAUGGUCUACUUUGACAAAAUUAAUCAGUAUUUCUAUAAAUACUAAAUAAAUUGAAGACUGUGUGGAAUUACUGUACUUUUAUCAUGUCUGAACAACCAAAUCUCGAUUCUCCUGCUCCUCUCGAAUUUGUGGAUAACCUGUUACAAAUAUAACAUGACCCAAAGCUGGGACAGUUCAGCUUUAGCUGGGACCAGUUCAUCUUGAGCUGGACUUAUUGUAACUUUGAGCAAGCUCGCACUUGGCUUAUUAGGCUGUAAUUCAGCUUGCUCAGACAUCAGGGUCAUUAGUCUUGAAUAUGGCGAAUUCGGGCUUAUCAACUUGGGCUCAAGUUUGAGCUUGGGUCAUCUGAGUGCUAGCUAAAUCAUUAAGUUCUGGCUGCCAGGUAGUCUUGGCAAGAUGAUUUAUCUUUUAAAUUCCCAUUUGCACACUGCGUUUCCUAACUUGUUGGUCUCAUUUGCAUUAGAAUCUUCUGCACCCACUCAUAUUCCACAUCACUCUCACUGUUGUAAUAAUGUACUAGUGAUACAAAUCUUUUUGUGUGCAUGAGUCAAAGAACAGAGAUGAAAAUGAUGAAGUAAAACAGGUACUUAUGACAGGCCCUCGACUUAGAGUCUCCUGGUGCAGCUUUUCCAAAGCUGUGCUGAGCAUCUAGUUUAGGGAUGUGUGACUACCCACUUCUUGCUAUCUGAUUUACUCUGUUUUGACGAAUAAUCUGGAAUAUUCAAAAUUAUUUGUGUAAGCUUUUCGGAGUGACACCCCAAUAGUCUCACAUCGGAUGGAAAUGGAGUUGUGAUUGGGUAUAUAAGAGACCAUAGACUAGUAAUAAUUAUUACUGCUCUUAAGUAUUUUGGGCUGGUGGUUUGGGUCCAGCUAGUUAUUAUUGCUAGCAGAUCGGGUCGUUACAUAUGAGCUAAAGAUUCUAUUUGGAGACGAUGCCUCUAAGAAAUUAAUGACCUUUGGUCGACUCUACUAUUCCUUUCGCUAUCCUCCCUGUCAUUUUCUUUUUCCUUCGACUAUGUUCUUUACUCUCUGCAGGUUUUUAUGAUUUACGUUCUUGAGAAUCUUUGCUUGAAUUUACUUUUAAACCCUGGCAGAGUUAUUCGUGUUCUCUUGGUUCUUUUUGUUCGCAGACAAAGAUGAGUUUUCACUUGAUCAAUAGAUUUCUUCUGCUUUUGUACCUUACUCCGAUUAAGUUUUACCACCUUAUUCUUAUUAUUUUUCAUUUUAGCUAUCUUUUUUUUUAUUUCUUUCUUUUCUUGUCAAGGGACAAUGAUGAUGAUGCAAAACUGAUGAUCCUAGAGUCGAUGAAUGUUGCCUAGCAUUUUGCUACAGGUAGCUCAUCAUCUUGACAUUUUCUAGGAGAUGAUAUCUUCCUGUUCCUUACUCAUCUGAACUGCCCCUUUAGGAGUUAAUUAUAUAAACACCUCAGUAGAGUUGAGUGGUUUGUUCUUUCUAUCAAAGUGAAUUUUAAUAGAUUUUAUGGUCUGUGGUUGGCAUGCUUUGCAAAACUACCAAGACUAGGCUAGAUUGAGUUUGGUCUACUUGGUUGGUGUUUUCAGUGGAUGUACCUAAAUGGUUAAGUUCUUUAUAGGUUAUGUUUUAAGUUUAUGUGAGAUAUGCCUAAUUCUUGAAGAGGGUCCGUAUUGUAUUCAGAGUGUAUUUCUUUUUUUUUUUUUUUACUCUAAAGUACAGAAGUUUUAAUAAUUAUGUGCUUCUUUGAAUCGGUGAAUCUAUAUAUACAGCUGAAGCUUAUCUUGACCGGACUUGCUUUUCAGCUAAUCCAAGUUAUUUUUCUUGGGAGGCAAGAAACUAAGUCUGAUGUAAGCAGUCUUUAGAAAAGAAGGAAAACUAGGCAAACUGUAACUGAGUGUAGCUGUAACUGAGUGCAGCUUAAAAAAAAAAAAGACAGAUUGAGUUAUUCUAGAUCAAAAGGUAGCCCUCUUCAGUUUAAAUAUUUAUGAUUAUAUGGUAUUAGACUUCUUCAAAUUCUAGAAAAGGGACCAUUCUAUUCUUUAGUUCUUACUGUCCACAUAAUUACUAAGGGAAAGAGUAAAUUUUCAGGUUUUUUUCCUUUAUGAUAACGACAUACUCAGUUAUGCUAAUCCAUAUCUAUUUGUUAUUACUUUCCUGGAGCAUUCUUCACUUUGUCUUGUGCUCUAUCUGGACCAAAUUGUUGAGAAAAGGCAUAGAAGGAUAAGCAUUAUUCUAGUUGCAACGUUCUGGCAAUAGUAUAUUAUACUUUUUUGUUACUUGAAAUUCUAUUUCCUGUCUUCAGAGAAUGCUAGAUAAAUAGGAGCAAAUUAAUACAGAAUAGUGUAUGAGUUGACUGGUUUGCCGAAUUUACUAUUCAGUCAUAUAUGACAUCCUUAAGCAUUCCUUUGUUAGAUUCGGGAAAAAGUGGUUUAUAAUUUUUCUAAUAUACCAAAUUGUGUGUUUCCUUGGAGUUAGAAUUUUAUUGUCAUUUUUUUCUCAUGACAAAAUGCAUAUAGAUUUCUACAGAUCAGUUAUCUUAUUAGGUCUUUCAUUCAUUGUCUUUCUCCUACAAAGUAAAAGAAUAAAUUUCCCUUGUUUAUCUAAUAUUAGAUUUCUGGUAUACUGAAGUUUAUUAAUUCUUAAUAACAUUUUGGUUAUUGCAGUUCCAAUUGCACUUAUUGCAUCUUUUAGAAGAAUGAAGAAGCUUGUUCAGGACCUCUCGUUGAUUGAAGCAGCACUUAGGACGUCUUCUCAACUGGUAAGUUUUUAUACUAGACAACUAGCAGUUCGGCUAUUACGCUCUCUAAUGGUUUUUCCUUCCAUCCAAUAGUUAAAAUCCUUAUGAAACCAUGUAUUAUGUAUGACACAUUCAACUAAGACACCACUUUUUGGGCCAGCUUGGCCCUGGUGUAUCUUCUAUUGAAGUGCUGUUUGAGUAGAGCUUUCUUUUUCUUUCCUGUUGCAGAAAAGAGAAUUUAUUGCUUAUAAGUGGGGAAGAUCUCCAUUACAAAAAAUUGGACAUCGAUAAAGCAAAAACCCAGUAAAUCUCCAAAGAAAAGAUAAAGAUUGAUCAAUGCGGACUGAUCUAUCCUUCGCAAAAUGAGAUCUGCUAUACUAACUCUAUUUUCUAACCAAGUAGCCUUUUGAUUACACCUCUAUGAUAACGACAAUGAUGACUUUCUCAAAACACGAACAGGACUGCAUAUCCAAUAAGAAGUGUUUGAUUCCUUUUUUUCUCAUUAUGCAUAUGGCCAGUUCUGGGUCACUCUCAAUUGCCAGACUUCUUAUUUUCAGCUCAGCUCCUUUUUCAAAGCUUCCUAGACAGCUAUAGUUUCAGAAUAAGCCUUCCGCUUGAACAUAUAAACCCUAUUCAUGGAUAGAUUAGCAUUAGAGACUUGAAAAGCCCAAUCUGACCCACCACCUGUCAUCUGCAAAUUAAAAGAAAUAUUCACUUUCUAGUCAGCUGAAGGAGGGUUCAAAUAAAUCCACAAGAGAUAUUCUUGGACAGGCCAGGCUGGACAGAUUAUGUAAAUAGGUCAUACUCAUCAUUGAGAUGGUAUUUCACUAGACAACUUAACUGGGAAUAUCAGUAUUUAUAAUUUUUUUUUUUCAUCACAUUUUUUUUAAAAACAUAGUUGCUGCAUCACACUGCUGUACAAAAUACACCUGUUUGAAGUGGCAGAAGCAAAACCUUCAAAUUGGAGCUUUUGCUUUGCGGGUUCAAGAUAUUAUUAUAUGCUUAAUGCCACAACAAAAGUGCUAGACUCUUCGUUAGCCAAACAUUCUAGAAGCUUUAUCUUCUUGGAGUUGAGAAGCUCUUCUAGAAUCCAGGUCAAACAGACAAGAUUUUGUUAAGUAGAUUAAUCGAUAUUCAUGGCUAAUUUCUUACAUUUCUUAACAUUAUUUGUAGGUUGUUAGUUUGGGUGGCAAAAAGGUGAGGAGGUUACAUCCCUUACCAAUUAAUGAAACAAAAGAUGCAAAGGUAUAUACUCUUUCUUAAAAUGCAUUCCAAUUUGUUGUGGGCUUGCAGCUACUAACUACUAUCUGUUCUUUAUGUUGACCUUUGUAAUGUCAGUUACGGACAGUUAUAGUGGAGAAUCUAUCAGAGGACUACUCAAUUGAUAGUAUUAAACAAAUAUUUGGUAAUGUCGGCAGGUAUGUUACUCUACUUAUAAUGUACCGGUUGCUGUAAAAUUUAAUACUACUCUCAUAAACUCACUCUAAUAUUUUGUUGCUCAGUAUUGUCAAUGUAACCAUUCAUGACCCACAUUCAGUGGACGGUUCAGCAACAGCUAAAAGGCCUGAAAUUGUAAUUAGUAGUAAGGUAUGUUUUCAAUUACUUGUAUUGUACUAGCUAAUUUUGAAACUUAGGUAUUUUCAUGCCUAUUUUAGAGCUUUUCACUUGCCUUCACCAUGCCUAUAGCUUCUGCAAAAUUAUCCAAAUUAUGAUGAUUUUUUUCCUUAUAUUAAUUUUGCUGUCUUAUGAGCAGUGUGUGUAAUCAGGUUCCUUUCUAAUGUGAGGAUCUCUUUAUCACGUAGGCACUACCUAGGUGUUUCGGUGGAUCUCAAAAUGACUUGGAUGGCCAUUUUUAUCAUGUGCAAGAGUGCUUAAAGGGUAAAUUACAGUUUUGAUCCUCAAACUACAGGGGCACGUGACACCUUAGUCCUCAUACUUUAAUUCAUUGUAAUUUUUGGCUCGAAUUUUUGAACUGUUGCAAUCAAGUCCCACAACUGAAUUUGUUGGACUAAAUGUUGAUGCGUUACUAAGGCAGAAGUGAUGCAACAUCUUAAUUAUUGUUGCCUCAUCAUUGCUACACUUCUACAUUAGUAAUUCAUCAAUAUUUAGUCAAAAAAAGAGAGUUAUGGGACUUAAUUGCAACAAUUCAGAAAGUUCGAGCCAGAAGUUGUAACGAUUAAUGUAUGAGGAUUAAAGUGUCAUGCGCCUCAUAGUUUGAGGACCAAAAGUGUAAUUUACCCGUACUAAAAUAAAACAACAGCAACAUUAACACUGGGCUAUUUUACAUUAAAAUAAAAAAGUUAAAACUCUAAUUUACUAUACCUUGUUUCAGAAUUGCUGUAUGCCUUUAUCACCUUUAUUUCUUCAAUAUUCAAUGGUUUUAUCCUUUGGAUAAGUCAACUGUUGUCCAGGCAUCUAUGUUUAUCUAUAAUUCUAUAUUGAACAGGUUAUUACUUUCCCAUAGAAUUAAUUAGUUGCCUUCCCUGAUAGUGCAGGUACAUGUCCUUGUCGAGUACGAAUCAGUGGAGGCAGCUGAGAAAGCUGUAAGAGAUCCAGCUCAAUUCUUCCCUUUCAAUCAAUCUUUAGCAUCACGAGAUAAUUUUUCCUCAUCUGUCAUAUUUCAACUAUCUUAGGUAGCCACCCUAAAUGAUGAGAAGAAUUGGAGGAGUGGUUUGAGAGUUGAGCUUUUGUCCAAGCGAAUGGUAAUUUCCCUUUUAUAACCUCUUCCUUGGAGUUAUUUUGUCUUGUCUCCAACUAAACAAAAUAUUUAUUAGGGGAAACAUGGGCUAUACCAAAAGGUAGAUAAGGGUACUAUUUCCAAGAAGAACAAUGACACUCAGCGUGGAGAGAUUGCAUCAGAGGGUGAGAAAUUAAAACCUAUGGGCCGGCAAGAUGAGACGGUAUUGCUUUCUUCAUUGUAAUUAUUUGUUGCAUCCAGUAACUCUAUUCCGGAACGUUGGAAUGAAAAUUUCAAGUUCUUAGGCAUGACUACUCAAGCUUGUUGUUGCUGUAACCAGAGAGAAAACAUGGUUUGACGUUUUGGCUGUAACAUUAAAAUUGAAACUGCCUAUCUGAAACUUAUGUUCGAAAUAUAUCCAAACAUGGUUUAAAUGUAUCUAAUCUUUUCGGUAAGAGCGGGCUAGUAAAAAGGCUUUGUUUUAAAAUGUCAAGCAAUAAACUAGCUUAUAGGGCCUAAUUUUAUUAAUUUGUGAAUAGCUGUUCUCUUUGAUUGAUAGAUGGUGACAGGAAAAUUUUGAAAUAAGUUUCUCUUGGUUGAGAGCUUGAAAUAUUAUUACAAUGCAUAUUAUUUUCAACUGAGUUCUUUUUGUGUAUAAGACUUUGUUAAUAGAGGAUCUGUUUACUUAAUAGAGGAUCUGUUUACUUGAGUUUUGUUGAAAUCUUGAAAUAGUCUUAAAAAUAAUUUUCCUUGGUGAAUGACAAAAACCUAGUGGUUUCUUAUGUAACUUCUUAUUGCAAACUUUGCGCCUUUAUGCCAAAUUUGAUUUUGGUAUCCAAUAUGAUUUGACUAAGAAAAAGCUAUUCCUUGGAUCAUUAUUAUUAUGCAUGCAGAUGUACUCGCUUUUAUGGUUUCUUAAUUUGGUCUUGUGGUUUCUAAGUAGUAGUCGGAAAUUGCAUGUUGUCACCUUCAAAUAGCAGAAAAAAAUCGGCUCCAAUAUUUUCUGUUGAAAAGCUAUGUUCUAACUUCUACCUUGAUUUUUUUGUGUAGGAUGAGGAUCAAUUAGCCGUUUUUAAGGGAGGGCGGAAGAAUCGUCAUAAAGGCCGAGGAAGGAGUAACGUUCAGCAAAAUUCUGAUGGACAGGGUACUUAAUUUAAACCUUGUAUAUAAUGAAUUUUUUCGAGUGUCUUGUAUUGGUGGCCCUGUCAUAUUACUGGCUUUCAAUUAAAUGCAUAACUGGUUAGACUAAGUUUCAUAGGUUUUAGAAAAAGUAAAUGUCUUCUAAUUUCUUGUAAAUGCAAUUACUUUUAGCCCAUUUUAGAAUUCACGACGUUCAAACACCUGAAUUCUAAGCAUGUCAUCUAUUCAAGGCUAAUUAAACCUGUUUGAAUCAAUCAAGUUUCGGCUCCUUCACUGCAACUUCGUCGACCAUGUUAUUUUUAUUGUGCUCUUUAUUCAUCCUUUAGCUUGUUAUUUAGUCAUCCUUUAGCUUAUUGUAAAAAUGAUAAUAUAAUAUUGUCUGAAUCAAAAUUCAAAUUUCAUACACCAGAGAGUGCAAUUGCUAACUAUAUCCAGCUUUGAAAUAAACUCCUCUUAUGUAUGUGUUUAUCAUCCUUGUUCAGCAAUAUCUAAGCUGCACCUUCACUCUUAAUUCACUCUUAAUUUUUCUGUUUUUGGUAUCUCAGGUCAUGAAUCUAUUCCAGUUGGUUCGAGUGCCCAGUUUAUGAGCAAGCCCAUUCCGGGACCACGAAUGCCGGAUGGAACUAGAGGGUUUGCGAUGGGGCGCGGUAAACCUGUUAAUCCCUAGCACAAACCUGGUGAGGAACGCGAAUAGAUGUCCACUCUGAGACUAUUCAUCUGAAUACCAGGUACUUCUGAUGCUAUGCAAAGGAAAGCGUAUAUUUCUUUGUAAAUCAUCCCAUAUACUCUUGUACAACCAUUUUGUUACUCUUUAUAUUUGGUUUAUCUUCAAAGAGGUUCUUAAAUUUGUUUCAUCAUGUGUUUUUAUUUGUAGAUGUUUAUACCUUUUCUUUUUAUUGUUUAAACCUUAGUAAAAACCGUCAGGCCGUUGCAUUGUCUCUUUAUUGUAUGGUAAGUUGAUUACAGCAUGCGACAAUGUUUACGUAAAGCUAGUAAACAUGCAGGAUUAGCUUAAUUAUGAAUACUGGAAUUCUCACGCAUGGUUUGAGUUAGUGUGGAACAUGUAACAGUGCUCGUGCUUGAGUUCCGGUUUCUAAGUCCAGUCAUCGCUACUGUGCUGCGAUUUGUUGAAAUACACUGUCGGAUCACUUUGUAAUUGAAACUCUGUGACUCUCAAGUAUUGUGAUUGGCUUGUUUAUCAUGUUUUAGUAGUUCUUCCAGGUUCUUGGAGGCCAAAAGCUGUACAAGUACCUGAGAAUAUGUGGGUAUGAAUCAGCAAAAGAAGUUGCAACUACGGUGAGCAAAGAAGUUGCCAUUUCUGCAAACCAACCCGAAAGUUUGAACUGGUUUUAUCGAACAAUCUGUUCCGGUAACCAAUGAAAUAUGUCUCUCUGCGUAUAUUGUAGGUUCAUGUUAUUGUCGUCCGUCGAUGGGGCCCACGUACUAGUAGUCGCAGACAACGUCAGAGCCGCCAGGCUGGUGAUGGAAAGGAAUGCUGAGUUCUCCGCCAAGGUAUUGAUCACUUUAGCUGCUUGUUGGUGGUUGAUAAUAGUUGGAAAGAUAUAAGGUGUUAUUUCGGAACCUCAGUUCGGAACCCUCGAGCGCAGCGCAGGCGUGUUAGAGGUUUGGUUAGGGACUGGGCUGAGUUUUGCUAGACACUUUGGAUCCGCAUAUAUGUUUGUACUUGGUGUUUGUUUUCAGUAGUUCUUUUCUUAUUUUAUUUUACUUGUUCUCUCGCCGCGGCCGUUUAGAGGCCUAGUUGCCGCAACGUUAUAUGGCUAAAUUUAUUUUUCUAUUGAAUGAAGUGAUAAGCAUAUUUUCUCUCUCUCUCUCUCUCAAAAAAAAAAAAAUCUCUUAAUAUUUGGGCUACUCACUCUGUAUGCUUAAGAAUAGCUUUAUCGGAAUUGGCUUAUUUCAUUAGAACUUAGAAGGAAAUUUGGAUGGUUGUAAUUUAGUAGAAACAAAAUAUGAUGACUAGGGACUUAAAAAGCAGGAAAAAAGGGUUAGGGACUACUGGUACAUGUAACCCUUUUUUUUUUCUUCUUUUUUUAAAGUCGUGUCGCUCUUAACGUGAUGCACUUUACAUUCACGGUGAAAAGGCACUCAAAGUUGAUCUCAUCAAACUGAGUUGUUAACUCAUAUCUCCGAAGCAGAUAAAAUGAAAAUCUACAUGCUUCUUUGGAGUUCAUUUCGCCUGGGAGAUAAAGCAGUAGCUUUAAGUAUUGAAUUUUUCAGUGCGAUACUAUUGAGGCGAUGUACUAGCAAUAUGUCUUUAUAUAUUGUUAAUGUAUUAGAGAUAUAAUAUAAAUAAAUUUAAAAAAGAAUUUCAAAUAUCAUCCCUGUGGUUUCGCAUUUUUUUAUUUUAGUACCAUGUGAUUUAAAGCGUAUCAAUUUACUACUUCGUGAUUUUAUUUUCUCUUUUUAUUAUUACAUCCACUAAUUUUUUUCGUUAAAUCAGUGACAAAGUUAAAAUUAAAAAAUAUUAAAGUGAAUAUUCGACGAUAAACUUAGGUGCGGUAUGUGAAGUUUUUUGUAUAUAUAGUUUAACAAAAUAUUAACAGAGGAGCUGACAAAAGAGAAAAAUAAAACCACAGGGUACUAAAUUGAUACACUUUAAACCACAAGAUAUUAAAGUGAAAAAUUGCGAAACUAUAGGGAUGGUAUUUGAAGUUUAUCUUAUGUUAAUAUAUUGAUAAUAUAUAUUGCGGAUUUGGGGUGGGGGAAGGCCUACGAACAUUAUCUUAAAAACCCUCGGAAGUCCUAAAACAGCAGUGAAAGCCUCUUUUCUUACAAUAAUAUUAAAAAAAAGAUUAUAUUUUAUCAAAAGACCCUUAACCAAAUAUUAUUGGCAAAAUAGUCCUACUUCUGUCCAACUCACCAUUAGGGUGAAAUAAAAGGCCAUAAAAUCGUUGACUUUAUUCAUUAAAAGCGGUGAAUCAUUCACCAAAUUUAUAAAACGGUGAAUAAUUUAUCUUAUUUUUAUUGAGAAUAAUUAAAAUUUUUUAUGAGAUUGUUAGAAUUAUAUAUAAAUUUUUAUAGAAUUAUUAGAAUUGUAUAUGAGUUGUUGGGCUAUAUUUUAUAUUUUAAAGUUUUCUUAUGCACCGUCUUUUGUAAGUUUUAUUAAAGUCGGUGAAUAAUUUACUAAUCUUUAAUUUUUGCUGCCUCAUGAAACUACGUGUGACAAAAUAGAGCUAUAUAACCAAAUAAAAUUUUGGCAGGAUUAUUUGACAAAAUAUAAAAUUUUGUAAAAUUACUUUUACUAGAAAGUCUUUAGUGAGCGCGAACAUUCUUGAUCUCCCAAAACAAAUACAAAAGAGGGGGCUGCCGCCUAGAGUCUUGGUGGCGAGCUUCGAUCUACUGGUGUAUGUUAGUUUUGUCUGUUUGCUGAGUAUUUUUUAGGGUAAACUUCAAAUACCAUCCUUAUGGUUUCACAUUUUCUCACUUUAGUACUCUAUGUUUUAAAGUGUAUCGAGUUAGUGUCCUAUGGUUUUAUUGUUAUCUUUUCGUCAGCUUUUCCGUUAAUAUUUCGUUAAAUUAUAUACAAAAAACUUCAGAUAUCUCAUCUAGAUUUAUCAAAUAUUCAUUUUAGUACUCUUUAGUUUUAACUUCGUCAUCGAUUUAACGGAAAAAAUUAGUGAAAUCGAUAAUAAAAAGAUAAAAAUAAAAUCACAUGUCACUAAAUUGAUGCAGUUUAAAUCACGGGAUACUAAAGUGAGAAAGUAUGAAACUACAGGGGUGGUAUUUGAAUAUUUUUUUUUUCUUUAAUAUCAUCAAACUUAGAAAUACAUUUUAAACCUAUAAAGAAAAAUUUUAAUUCUUGGUUAGAGUACCGAUUGUUCCAAGAACAAGUGGCAAAAGAUUUGAUGGUUAGUAUUCGAGAUCUAAAUUAGAAUUCGAGUUAUUCAUAUUUUCAGCUGAAAUAAGCGAAAUGAAUAACAUGCUACCUUUAACUCAAAAAAAAAAAAAAAUUUCAGAAAAAAAAAAUUUCUUUGUUCGAGUCUUUUUUUUUACAAAAACGAUUUCCUCGCCGCCGAUCUCCCCCUCCUCUUAGCGCGGGAUCGUUUUCCUCGUCGAGGAAGCAAUGGAAUCCAUUUCCCAUCUAUAAAUUGAAGGCCAAAAAAAAAAUAAAAAAACCCAACACCCCACCCCAUCUCUCUAUUCCUCUUCUCCCAUGUCCUCCGCCGCCGCCGCCGCCGCCGGAGCUACGAACCCCCACCUCGCCCGCUUAGGGUUCCGGCGAACCCUAAGACCCUCCGCCGCCGCCGCUUUCCGAUUCCGCUGCCUCGUAACGUCCCAAUCUCUACCACUUCCCCCUUCCUCUUUGCACUCCCUGAAAUUGCUUACAACCUUAUUACGAUCUUAAUGCACUGCAUGAAUGUCUUGAUCGUGUGCAACAAUUCCACCAUUUCGUUUGUCAUCACGGUAUUUGAGCUUUUUCGCGACGAGCUAAGAGUAUUAAUAUAUAUAUAUAUAUAUAUAUAUAUAUAUAUAUAUAUAUAUAUAUAUAUAUAUAUGGCACGAUAUGAUGUUUCGAGCUAUGCUGUCGGUACGAGAGUUAUAUCAUGCCGAUAUUUUGUCGAUAUGGUGGGUAUGGUCUGUAUCGAUAGACAUUUCAAUUUCUUGAUAAAAUGUUUAAGUCUAAGUUACAGAUAAUUAUCCAAUGUUGUUGGACCCAUUUUGUCCGGUCCUAGCAUGCGUCAGAGCAGCAUGUUAAGAAUAUUGGUUAGAAACAAGAAACAACAGUUUCAACACUUGUAAGAUUAGGCUUUUGGGUUGAUUUCAGCUGUUCUUGCUUUGAAUUGCUAGAGUUAAUUUUAUAGUCCUGUACAUGGCUAUUUCAUGAACAAUGUAAACUAUCUAGACCAGUUCCACUAUUUCGUAUGUUAUUAAUUUGCUCAUACUCCUCCUUUCUGCAGUAUUUUCGAUCCAAAUCUGUCGGUCAAAGAUGGAACGCGCGGAAUCUUGCCUUUGUGGUUGCUGCAAUGGAUGAGGUGCAGCAGUCAUCUUGUUGCGAAACUCUACUACCCCUGUGUUGUUCAAUGGCUUCCUGUUCUGAUUUGGCUUUCGUAUUACAGAGCUCCGUGGAGUUUUCUGCGAUUGAGGACAGAAAUGGGGUUUUGGGAGGGAAGUCUUCUCCUCAGCUGUCUUCAAGUGAGGGCGAGGAGAGCGACGGUGACAUUGCAUAUCCUUCAGUAGACGUGGAUUUACAAGUAAAUAAGGACCGCUCGGAGGCGCCUGGUGAUUCUUUGACAGCGGCGGCUCACCGGCUUGCAAACCUUAGACAAGGUGAUAAAAGGAAAAGGUGAGGGGUUUGUUUCUUCUCCCGUUCUUGGCAUACAUUCAAAAACAAAGGCAGAAGAUCAUUGAAUGCUAAUUGUUCUUAAUUCCAUUUUGAUCUUGCCAUUAUGACCUAAAUAUAACCAAAAGAAUAAAAAAAGAAAACUAUUAGUUACCUUUCUGUGUUAUUGCUGCUCUAAGAUUGUCACAGGUAAUGUUUAUCUCCAUAGGUUCCAUUAGUCUUUUUGUUUCGCAAUAGGCUAGUUUUUGGCAUCCUAAAACUAAAAUAAAGGAUGCUUUUGUUGUCUUGGCAAUCAUGUAUAUGUACAUUGCAACUGCCUUAAAUGAGUUUUUUUUUUUUUUUCCCUUCUGAUGGCAGAUUUCGAACUGGAAUGUUGAUUAAUUUCUGGUUGAUCACCUUCAUAGUCAUCUUCUUGUUAUGGUUUGAUUGGUUUUCAUGGCGAAUAGUGAGAAAACCACUGAAGCCAUUUUUCUUAACGAAACCUUUUAUAGUGUCGGCAAUUUUAUCAGCAUUUGCCGGGCUUUUAUACGUCCCUAUAGUUGACAACUUGAAGAUUCACCAGAUUCUUAGAAAAGAAGGUCCAAAACACUCUUCCAAAAGGGGAACGCCCACAAUGGGUGGAUUAUUCUUUAUUCCUGUUGGAAUUGUUGUUGCUAAAGCUUUAGCUGGCGAUAGUUCCACUCAGUUAAGUGGAGCAGCAAUAGGAACUCUUGCAUUUGGUGGAAUUGGAUUACUUGAUGAUCUUUUGAGUUGCAUCAAGGGUCAUAACUAUGGUUUGUCAGGAUGGGUAAAGCUAGGUUUGCAGGUAAAUUUCCUAUCUCUAUCUGGUACUUAAUGUUUUCUGCUAUAUGGAUUGGUGAGUAUCGUAUAACAGCUUCUCUAUGGUGUUUUUGACAGGUAGCUGUCGGAACAUGGUUCUCUUUUUGGCUGGACUCGGCAUCUAUAUCAUCGCCAUACAACAUGUAUAUCUCAUAAUCAGUAAGAUACAGAACUUUGAACAGUAAUGAAGGCCUGUUGUUAUUAGCUAAUUGUUCUUUUUCUUGGACAAUAUUAACGUGAAUAUAAAUCAAGUUUGAAGAUGCUGGUUAAUAAUUGGCAAGGAGAGAGGUGUGUGCCCUAGUACUAAUGCACAGCAUGCAACACCACAUGUCUGCACAAAUCUUAUCAUUCUUCCAUAGAUCCUUUUUUUUUUUUUUUUCCUUCUUCUUCCCCCUUUUUUUAGAAAACUUUCUCAUGUAGACCUUAUCUAAGCAUAUGAAAGGCUAUUGGUAGCCCACAGCACUGGCUUGACACACGCGACCUUAGACAUUGAUUUAAAACAGUAUAGAUAGAGAGAGUGCUUAAGUUCAGAUUGUCCUGUUUAAUAUUUAGGGCUACAAGUCCAAGAAUGUGCUCAUAUGAGUCCUGGAGAUACUUUCAGCGGAAAGAGAUAAUAACGAUGACAAUACAUUUAAACAGAAAGACUUGUAUAUUUCACUCUUUUUUUUGCACGUGGUUUGUAACUGUUAUUUACAAUUCAUCCCAAAUUUUUUUACAUUAAAUUGGAAUUUGGAACUAGUUACAGUAUUUUUCUCAAUUGUUUUUAGGGAAAUUUCUUUUAUUAAAUUUCUAUGACUCUCAGUCUUAGAGAUCCUACACAUUGCUGGACAUCUGUGCUUAUUUUUGUAGUCGGCAUUGUUCUUUUCUUUUUAACUAAAUUAAUAUUGUUGCGCACAGUCAGUACGCAUCCUCUAAAUUGUUGGAAUGCUUCUAAAGACGAGAAAAAUAGCACAUAAAAGCUCACGAGGGGAAUUACUUUUGGAAUCCCAGAAAGGCAGAAACUUGCCCCGGCCCUAAGCACUAUUAGCCAAUGGAAAACCAGGAUCUUCUGAAUAUAACAAUUGGUUGACGACUGACUGACAGCUAAUACUAUAGUCCACUAGGCAAGGACUAGCAUUUAGCACGGGCAAAUUGAUGUGUGUAGAAAUUCUUCUUUUUGUUAUGGUGGGUUCUGUUUGCUGCUCUCUAACCACUGGUUCUCCAAUAUAUUUCUAGCUUCAAUUGCAAUGAUUUUGACUUUUCAUUGGUGUGGAAUUAGUGCUAAUUUCUUAUAUUAGCCCGUAGAGGCUUUAAUGACCCUCAUCUUGAUGGCUAUGUCCCGCCAUACCUGUUCUUGUCUCUCUAUGCUACUUUAUUCUGAUGUUUUUUUUUAACCUGCACUUCCGAUGGCUUGUAGAUAAACAUUCUCUGAAUUUUAUGAAUGUUAAGUUCUCAGAAGAAGUUUGUAAAUUUUACGAAUUUUUUCUUUUAGUUGGUUCAAUCAUGCCUCGAAUAAAAAAAUGUAGGUAAUAGAAUGGAAUCUCCCAUCUUUUCACUCCCUAUUUUUGUUUAGGAAGUAUUUAGCUCCUCUUCCUCCACCACUUGGCCUUGUGUAUCUGGGAAGGCUCUAUCUUGGUUUGACAACAUUCUGUUUCGCUGCAACGGGGAAUGGAGUUAACUUAACCGACGGACUUGAUGGAUUAGCUGGAGGAGCAGCAGCACUGGCUUUCAUGGGAAUGUCUGUAGCUGUCCUUGCUAUAUGUCCUGGUAAGCUGAUACUUCUAACACCUGUUAUGUACCCCUAUAUUCCUUCGUUUGUUUCACAUUUUGUCGUUUCUUUGACUAGCACUGUAACAGCACUUGCUAUCUUUUCUGUUUCUGUGUCAGCAACUUUUCCUUGAUGAAAUCUUUGAUUUUCUUUUUAGUUAUGAAAAAGGCUAUUUAAUUCUGUUCCAUUUGUAAGAAAAAUGCUUGAGUAGCCCUUCAUGUGGAAGCUAUUGCUUCACUUUUUCUGAUAAUCUAAGAAAUGAUUUGGUAAAAUAAGGCUAAGCUGUUGGAAAAUUAUGAGUUAAUAUCUGUUCUUUUCACUCAAACAGAACAGUUCCUGAUCCUGCCAAUUUUAUGCAAUGUCAUUUCCAUCCAAAAUUCCCUACGUUUGUUUGGAGCUAUUCAUACCAUGUGAUAUUUAGUAUGUUAAAUGACCUUAUCCCCUUGUUCUAAGGAGAAUCAUUUAGUAAGUUGUGGUUAAAAUUGUCAAUUUUGUCAGUUAAACUCGCAUGGGAAGUGCGUUCCCCAGCUGAUGUCUAGUUUUUUGAAUGUAAAAUAAUUCCGUAGAUAACACUGCAUAAUAUUAGGUGAGCUCAUGGAGUAUUUUGUUUGGUUGAAGGAUUCAGAGACUGAAUUGCACUUCGUCAGAAGUCCAUGGAUUAUAUAUAUAUUCAACCCUAUAUUUUCCAGAAUCUUGUAGCAAUAAUAAAAGCAACCACUACACUAUCUUAGUGCUUUGCAACACUAAUACUUCUAAUUUUAUCUUGGUUGGAUUUUUGUGUUUGUUAUGAAUGGACCAAAUAAGCGCUUACUGCUUGCUCAAUUUUUAAUAGAGCUAGCUGUAUUUGGAGCCUCGAUGGCGGGGGCUUGCAUAGGAUUUUUGUUCCACAAUCGAUACAAAGCCUCUGUAUUCAUGGGAGAUACUGGGUCCUUGGCGCUAGGCGGAGCACUUGCUGCAAUGGCUUCUUGUUCUGGCAUGUUCUUCCCAUUGUUUGUAGCAUCUGGUCUUUUUGUAUUGGAAGUUUUGUCGGUUAUAAUGCAGGUAUGGUCGUUUAACCUUAAUUACUUCUCUCAUUUGUAGCCGAUCCAAUCUUGCCUCUCCACUUAUUCCAUAAUCAUAUCAUUCUUUAAAUGUAGAAUCUGUUGAAUAAUAGUUUUGUUGUUUUGGUUUCAUAAUUAUCUAAGUUGGAAAGGGAAUCUAUUUUUCACUUCUAUAUGUAUAUAUAUAUAUAUAUAUAUAUAUAUAUAUAUAUAUAGUAGGGCUACUAUACUCUUAUGAGUAUAGAGCCCUUCGUACUUAUAAGUUGUUUUCGAUGUUGGGGCUUUCGAAUCGACGAUCCACACCGUUAAACAUGAUCUAGAGUAUUUGAAACUCUUAAAAAAUAAAUUUCGUAAUUUUUCGAAACCAUUAUAAAGUCUAUCAAGCGGGUAUAAAAUAAACGGUCAAAAUCAAACUACAUCCUAAAAAUGGAUGAUCGGAUCCUUCAAUUUAAGAUCGGAGUUAUUGAUCUUUAUUUAGGUAGUGAAUAGAAUUUUCUAUCAAAAAUUCAACCUAUUCGGAUUCUUUUACACCGUUAAACUAGCAAAUAUCUCAUACCGAUCGUUAAAAAUUGUCAAUUUUGUGAGCUUUUGAUUGUAAGGUAAAUGAUAUCGAAAAAUUAUAAAAUUUGAUUUCUAGAAGUUUUAAAUGCUCUAGAUAAUGUUUAACGGUAUGGAUCGUCGAUUCGGAAGCUCUAUUAUUGAAAACAACGAAGGCGAUCGUACUCAUAAGAGUAUAGUAGCCGGACUCUCUCUCUCUCUCUCUAUCUAUAUAUAUAUAUAUAUAUAGAGUCCGGCUGUGGUGCUUGUAAAAGCACCAAGCUCUUGGAGCUUGUGAAUUUUUUACCGUUAGAUCUACACCUUUGAUCAUUUUCACCCGUUAGAUUAUACUAUUCAACCAACCACCCACUCAACCCUAGGGGGCCCACAUCAUCCUAACCGCACAUCUCUUAAUCCAAUGGCCAAAAAUCUACAAGCACCAAUAACUUGGUACUUUUAAAAGCAUAGGAGCUCAAUUCUAUAUAUAUAUAUAUAUUAUGCACAUAUUGCCUAUCUAUGAUGUCAAAUGAUGUAAAAAAGAGGUAAAAACAUAUAUUACUUGAACUAUCGAUCAUUUUCAGUUGACUAUUAAACCUUUCAAAAUUUUGAUUUUACUAUCCAACCUUUCAAUUUUUUGAUUUGAGCCAAUCAACGGCAGUGUGACUUCAAAAUUUGAAUGUGUCGCUUAUUUUUACAAGUUUAGGUAAGCAAUUAUAGAUUCAUUAGUAAGCAAUUGUUUAAAUUCUGAGGUCAAAUUACCGUUGACUAGUUCAAGUCAAACAAAUUGAAAGGUGGGGUGGUAAAAUCAAAAUUUUGAAAGGUUGGGUAGUUGACUCAAAAUGAUCCAUAAUUUAGUUAAGUUUUAUAAGUUUUUACCUGAAAAAAGUAGUGAUCAUUGCCUAAUGAGUAGUCUAGGUUGUCUCUUAACAAAUUAAAUGCCCCACUACCCAUGUAUUGCUUGUUAAAUGCUUGUAUUAAAUCAUUAGGCUUUUUGCUGACCCAGAACCUUGGUCACUUAACUUGAAACUAUCUCCUUUUUGUGCCUCUUUUUGUGCCGAAAAGUUCAUUCCUUUCCGCAGCCGAUAAUAUCUAAUCUCUCAAACUAAAAGCUUCCUUCGUCAUGCAGGUUCUCUCUGUGCAGGCCACUAAAAGGCUUUAUGGAGUUAGCAGGCGCGUAUUUCGGAUGGCGCCUGUGCACCAUCACUUCGAACUUUGUGGUUUCAAGGAGCCGGUCAUCGUGGCCACCGCCUAUGUUAUAUCCUAUGCAUUGGCUUUGCUCGCAGGCUACGUCGGCUUAAUUUCCGUUUGAAGCGCACCCGUUUCCACAACAACUUAAACACUCUUUUAAAGAUACAAUUUUCCUUUAGAGUUUUAGUCAAUUUUAACUACUCUAUCUACUUCUAUCUCAGAAAGAUAAAGGAGACCGACUAGCUCGAAAUUUGUCACUGUAUUACACCCAGUUGCAAAGUUACUUCCAUAGAGAACAAGGAUUUAUGAUUAUCACAUGUGAAUGACUCUUAACAUGAUACUUCAAUGUGUUAUGUUUUAGUUUAGUGUAUGAACUGGUGUUUUACGCUUUCGAAUUAUCGAGCACCAUUUAUUUUCCAGAAGGAAAUUGUGAAAUGUGCUGACUGAUCUGAUUGGAGUGCUUGAUCAUGCAAGUUUUUUAACAAUGACUUGUUUUUCUCCUUAAUAUCUGGAAUUCAUCAUCUGUUCAAAUUGAGGAGUGUAUUUUGAUAUUUGAGCAAUGUUUACUGCAGAUUUUGUGGUGGAUUCUUUGUUAAAAAAAUGAUAAAUUAUCUCCUCUAUGCAAUAUACUAUUUUUCUUAUUUUUAGGGGCAUAAAUUUUAAAAUUCUCACAAAAGAUUUAACUUUCCAGUAGGAAUAUUUUUGCGGAUUCUAAUAUUGUAGGAAUAUUAUUGUUUAGUUCUUGUUUUGGAAUGUUUAAGAUUACGUCAUUCCCAUGUUUGGUUCAAUCUGAAAAAUUAUUAGGUUAUAUCAGGGGUUUACUAUUAUACCCUUGUUAAUAUAGAUGGAUACUGCAUAUUAUUUUAGGACUUUUUUUUUUGCAUUCGGUCCCCUCAAAAACAUUAUUUUCAUAAAUAGUCGCACCAAAUUUAUAAUUGCAAUUUUGGCUCUAUCCACGCCACGUAGGCACCACACGAGCAGAGGUGAAGGGUGUGGAAAAAAUUGAAUGCGAUAAUCCAUUCAACGUAUUUAGACGCGGUGAAUAGUUCACCGUGUUUAAUAUAUUAUAUUACUUGAGUGCGGGGUGAAUAUAACCACUAAAUACGGUAAACUAUUUACCGUGUUCAAACACGGUGAAUGGUUCACCGUGUUCAACUUACUACACAGUCUCCACCUUGCUCGCAUGGCACUGACGUGGCGCUUGCAUAGUAAGAGUAGGACAAAUUGCAAGUAUGAAAUUGAUGGGGCUAUUUGUAAAAAAAAAAAACUUUUUGUCACGCCCCGGAUUACACGUUCCCCGGGCACGCCGACAAAUCCGCCGUAUACAAAGAAAUUUUUUCUGUAUACGAAGCGACAGCUGUACCUGUAAAUCAAACACUACUACGAACAGUAGUAGAGAGCUGUUAGAGAAAACAGAAGCUAAACAAACAGAGUUUCAUAUACAUAGUUCAAAAUCAAAAUACAGAGCUACUCGCACUAGCGAGUUAAGUCAACUAUGUACAUAAACUCGAAACAAAACAUCUACCUGCAGUAGGGGCACCUCUAGCUCAGCACGUCGGGUAGGGCUCUAACUCGCGACGCCCUUGCCUCGAUCCUGGUCCGCGGACGGUGCAGCAGCCGGAACCUGUGGCUCUGCAAAAACAUAGGUAACAACUGGGCGUGAGAACUACUGUAAAAACAAGUAGUCCUCAGUGGGUACCGCCCAAAACAACAUCGGUCACCCACUAAGUCUACAGAAGGGAGCAAGAAUAGUAGGAAAAGCAGGAAGUAAACUCUACCGCUAUCAAUCACUACACUAUCAUGCUCUACACUAACCAACUGUAGGAAAUGUCAAAUCUGACCCAAUCCAAUCGGGACUGUAAGCAUACCCGUCCCCGGGACUGUGAAUACACCCGUCCCUGCCCCGUUGCGACUAUCAGGCUCUAUCCACACUAACUGGUCCGUGGAGAGCAAGUCCAACUGGCAUGAGCGACACCAACGCGAAAGCACAAGCCUGACUCCGGAGUGGCACUCGUGGGCGCUACCCAACCGAGUAUGCAGCGUAUCUCUGUCGAGCUCAAACAGGCUCUGAAAAGCCAAAGUCAAGAAAUCGACUCUAACUGGUCUAACAACCAACAAGUAACGUGCCCUCAGCACAAUCUGACGCCAAAAAGGCGAUACGGGUCCACCGUCACUCUGACGGCACCCCACAGUCCGGAACAACCUGAACAACACUGUAAAAAUCCACUCGGCAUACCAGCACGAGCGUAAAUGUAUACUAAACCACCUGGAGUACUCGUCUCGAGGAUACUGCGACAGUACAAUUUAAUAACGGCUCCUAGAGCUAAAUCAGGCAGUUUAAUCAAGUGACAGGUCCAAAUCGCAAGUUUUCUCCUAAUUCAAUUCCCAAGUCCAACAUGUAUAACCUAUUCAAUUUAUUACCACAUGCUCCAAAUUCAGAUAUGCAAUCUACCAUUUAAUCCAUGAAUUCGAGCUAGAAUAGAUUAUUCAAAAAUUGAAAACUAUACAUGUCGACGAUUAGAACUUAGGAGUCAAAGCCGAUGUAACCCACCUCAAAUGCUAAUCACAAUCCGGCGCAACAACAAAAACGGCGGAAUUGGACCCUCGCCCGGCCCCCCUCGCGAUGCUACGACGACGAACAUACGCUCGAACGGCACCGCGGCGCGACGUCGACGAAACUCCACACCACCCGAGCUCCUCCUCUACGUACGGCUCAAGAACUAUAUAUAGACAAUGCACAGGUAUCAAGAUGAUAAGCAUGCUUGGGGGUAAGGUGCACGUGGCAUCCUUAUCCCCAGCUAGCUUACCAACUCAAAAGAAAUAAAAAGAAAAAGGAAAAGAAAAGAUAAAGAAAUAAGGAUACUACAUCCUCCUCCACUACAAAAAGUUUCGUCCUCGAAAUUUAAAACAUACCUCAAGACGGGACAACGAACAAGUCGGGGUAGGACUCCCUCAUCACUGUCUCAGGCUCCCAAGUCACCUCCCGCUCCUCGUGAUUGCUCCACUGCACUUUCACAUACGGGAUGACCCGGUUGCGCAAUUCCUUCGUCUCGCGAGCAAGAAUCCGCACCGGUCGCUCCUCGUAUCUCAAAUCCUCGCCAAUCUCUAGUGGAGUGAAGUCAAUCACGUGAGAAGGAUCGAAAACAUAUCUUCUCAGAGCCGAGACGUGGAACACAUCAUGAAUCCCAGCUAGUCGGGGUGGUAGAGCAAUCCGGUAAGCAACUGGUCCAACACGCUCCAAUACCUCGAAAGGGCCAACGAAACGUGGACUAAGCUUUCCACGCACUCCAAAUCGGCGAAUCCCUCUGGACGGCGAGACUUUGAGGAAAACAUGAUCUCCAACCUGAAACUCUAAGUCUCGUCUCUUGGUAUCGGCGUAGCUCCUCUGGCGGCUGUGAGCUGUCAAAAGGUGUCGUCGAACGACUCUCACCUUUUCCUCAGCCUCAAGUAAGAUUUUCGGUCCAAGUGUCCUCCGCUCACCCACAUCGCUCCAAAACAGGGGGGAUCGACAUCUGCGUCCAUACAAUGCCUCAAACGGAGCCAUCUGAAUGCUCGUUUGAUAGCUGUAGUUGUACGCAAACUCAACCAGUCUCACAUGUCGAUACCACCCUCCUCCAAAAUCCAGGACGCAUGCCCUUAGCAUGUCCUCUAGAGUCUGUAUGGUCCGCUCUGACUGACCAUCUGUCUGUGGGUGGAACGCCGUGCUAAAAUGCAGCUGUGUACCCAAGGCUGUCUGCAAACUCCUCCAGAAAUGUGAUACAAACCUCGGGUCUCUGUCAGAUAUAAUCGACACUGGUACGCCAUGCAGCCUAACGAUCUCAUCCAAGUAUAGCUGCGCGAGUCUCUCCCUGGACCAGGUAGUCUGAACCGGUAGGAAGUGAGCAGACUUGGUCAGUCUGUCCACUAUCACCCAAAUCGCGUCGUAGCCACCCUGCGCUCUAGGCAAUCCAACGACGAAGUCCAUAGUGAUGUACUCCCACUUCCACUCGGGCACUGGCAGACUUUGAAGCUUGCCAGCAGGCAUCUGAUGCUCGGCCUUAACCUGUUGGCAAGUCAAACACUGAGCCACAUAUCUGCCAAUGUCCCUCUUCAUUCCAGGCCACCAGAACCGUGCCUUAAUAUCUUUAUAUAUCUUGGUUCCCCCAGGGUGAACUGUAUAAGGAGAACAAUGAGCCUCUCUCAGAAUAUCCGCUCGAAUCUCAGGAUCCACAGGCAUACACAGUCGGUCCCUGUACCUAAGUACUCCCGCACUGUCCAAAGCAAAUCUCCCAUCCUGCCCCCUGUCUAGCCGCUCUCUAAUCCUCAACAAAUACGGAUCUCCACUCUGUUUCUCGCGGAUCCUAUCCAAUAGAGUGGGCUGCAACACAAGAGAUGUCAGCCUCGCCGUAGACCCAGGGGGUACUAUCUCGAGUCCCAGCCGCUGUAGCUCCUCGAGUAGGGGCCUCUGCUCAGUAAUCCUCAAACUUAGGCUCUGCACUGACUUCCUGCUCAACGCAUCUGCCACCACAUUUACCCUGCCAGGAUGAUACUGAAUACUAAUAUCAUAGUCCUUCAGUAACUCCAACCACCGGCGCUGCCUCAGGUUCAGCUCUCUCUGUGUGAACAGAUACUUGAGACUUUUAUGAUCGGUGAAGACCUCGCAGUGCUCGCCGUACAAGAAAUGCCGCAAAAGCUUCAAAGCAAAAAUCACCGCGGCAAGCUCCAAGUCAUGCGUAGGGUAAUUCUUUUCAUAAUCCUUUAAUUGCCGUGAAGCAUAAGCAAUCACCCUACCAUGCUGCAUCAGCACGCAACCAAGUCCACUGUGCGAUGCAUCACUGUAGAUCACAAAUCCAUCCCCCAUCACCGGAAGGGGAAGGAUAGGAGCUGACGUCAACCUCAGUCUCAACUCGUCAAAGCUCCUCUGACAGUCAUCGCUCCAAACAAAACGAAUCCCCUUCCGCGUCAAGCCUGUGAGGGGUGUGGAAAGCUUCGCAAAGCCUUCCACAAACCGAUGGUAAUAUCCUGCCAGUCCCAGGAAGCUCCGUACCUCAGUCACCGUCGUCGGUCUAGGCCAAUCUCGAAUUGCCUCAAUUUUCUUCGGGUCAACAGCUACUCCCUCUGCUGAUAUCACGUGGCCCAAGAAAGCAACCUCCCGUAGCCAGAACUCGCACUUCUUUAACUUGGCAUACAACUUCUUCUCUCACAGAAGCUGUAACACAGUCCUCAAGUGCUCCUCAUGCUCGGCAUCACUCCGGGAGUAAAUCAGGAUAUCAUCGAUGAAGACUACCACAAACCUAUCCAAGAACGGCUUGAACACUCUGUUCAUCAAAUCCAUAAAUGCGGCAGGGACAUUCGUCAAUCCAAAAGGCAUCACCGUGAACUCAUAAUGCCCGUACCGAGUCCGGAAAGCCGUCUUGGGAACAUCCUCGGCCCUCACCCUCAGCUGGUGGUAACCUGACUGGAGAUCAAUCUUCGAGAAAACAUAAGAUCCCUGCAGCUGAUCAAACAAAUCAUCAAUGCGCGGCAAGGGAUACUUAUUCUUGAUGGUCACUUUAUUCAGCUCCCGGUAAUCAACACAUAACCUGAGCGAACCAUCCUUCUUCUUUACAAACAAUACCAGCGCUCCCCAAGGCGACACACUGGGUCUCACAAACGCUCUAUCCAUCAAAUCCUGAAGCUGUGCCUUUAGCUCUCUCAGCUCUGCCGGCGCCAUCCGAUAAGUUACCUUUGCGAUUGGUGCAGUUCCAGGAACUACAUCAAUCACAAAUUCAAUCUCCCUCUCCGGCGGCAACGUCGUCAACUCAGGGGGAAAUACAUCCGGAAACUCGCGGACUACUGGAAUGUCCUCAAGUCCCGGCGCCGCCGUAGGUACCUCCACAACUGUCACUAAGAAAGCAAUACACCCGCUACUCAGCAUCUGUCGAGCCCUCGCCGAAGAGAUCCAGGUGGCAAACAACGUACUCCUGCAGCCUCUGAAAGCGAACUCCUCCUGGCCUGGCUCGCGGAACGUCACCGUCCUCGCUCCACAAUCAAUCGUAGCAUAGUAGUCCUCAGUGGGUACCGCCCAAAACCACAUCGGUCCACCCACUAAGUCUACAGAAGGGAGCAAGAGUAAUCAGAAAAGCAGGAAAUAAACUCUACCGCUAUCGAUCACUACACUAUCAUGCUCUACACUAACCAACUGUAGGAAAUGUCAACUCUGACCCAAUCAACUCGGGACUGUAAGCAUACCCGUCCCCGGGACUGUGAAUACACCCGUCCCUGCCCCGUUGCGACUAUCAAGCUCUAUCCACACUAACUGGUCCGUGGAGAGCAAGUCCAACUGGCAUGAGCGACACCAACGCGAAAGCACAAAGCCUGACUCCGGAGUGGCACUCGUGGGCGCUACCCAACCGAGUAUGCAGCGUAUCUCUGUCGAGCUCAAACAGGCUCUGAAAAGCCAAAGUCAAGAAAUCGACUCUAACUGGUCUAACAACCAACAAGUAACGUGCCCUCACCACAAUCUGACGCCAAAAAGGCGAUACGGGUCCACCGUCACUCUGACGGCACCCCACAGUCCGGAACAACCUGAACAACACUGUAAAAAUCCACUCGGCAUACCAGCACGAGCGUAAAUGUAUACUAAACCACCUGGAGUACUCGUCUCGAGGAUACUGCGACAGUACAAUUUAAUAACGGCUCCUAGAGCUAAAUCAGGCAGUUUAAUCAAGUGACAGGUCCAAAUCGCAGGUUUUCUCCUAAUUCAAUUUCCAAGUCCAACAUGUAUAACCUAUUCAAUUUAUUACCACAUGCUCCAAAUUCAGAUAUGCAAUCUACCAUUUAAUCCAUGAAUUCGAGCUAGAAUAGAUUAUCCAAAAAUUGAAAACUAUACAUGUCGACGAUUAGAACUUAGGAGUCAAAGCCGAUGUAACCCACCUCAAAUGCUAAUCACAAUCCGGCGCAACAACAAAAACGGCGGAAUUGGACCCUCGCCCGGCCCCCUCGCGAUGCUACGACGACGAACAUACGCUCGAACGGCACCGCGGCGCGACGUCGACGAAACUCCACACCACCCGAGCUCCUCCUCUACGUACGGCUCAAGAACUAUAUAUAGACAAUGCACAGGUAUCAAGAUGAUAAGCAUGCUUGGGGGUAAGGUGCACGUGGCAUCCUUAUCCCCAGCUAGCUUACCAACUCAAAAGAAAUAAAAAGAAAAAGGAAAAGAAAAGAUAAAGAAAUAAGGAUACUACACUUUUUCUAGAGGGCCAACUGCAAAAACAAAGCCCAUUAUUUAUGGACCUGAGUUACAGUCCUUUCAAAAGUACAUGAACAUCCGUGCUUGGAAUUUUUUAAUUGUAGGAUCGUCUUAAGAUUUGUACAGCAUUAGCAAAAAAAAUUUGACAGGAUACAUUAUUAGUAAUACUGUAUGAAUUUUGAGAUGAUCUGACGCCUAAAAUGUCACAAGCAUAAAUUCUUUUGUGCUUUUAAAAGUAUAUGAGCUCAACUCUUAUUUUAUAUGUAAUGGAAUGAUAAAUAUUAAACUUCAAAGGAGUAUUUCUAGUCCAUUGCAAUCAAAUUCUACAUGGGAAAAAAUGAAGAAAGAAUAAGGGGAUGUUUGGUUCUAUGUAAAACUGUAGAAAAAAAAUAUUUCGGUGGAAAAAAAAUUUUUCAUGGAAAAUUUUUUUUGGCAUCUUCUAGUGUUUGGUUUGUAGAAAAGUAAAAACAGUUUUCGGACACACUUGUUUAGUUGAAAGAAAUUUUUUUUUAUAUUUUUUAUUAUAUAUUAUAUAUUAUUUAGAUAUAAUAAUAUAUUUAUUAUUAUAACUUAUAGGCUAAAUUACAGAAAACCUUCUGUCACAACCCGAUUUUUUACUUUCCUCCUAUUAUUUAAAAACCUACACUUUGUCCCCUUGUAAAAUGAAAAAUGUUCACAGGGGGAUACGGUGUGAACUGUGAUGAUAAAAUGAUCAUUUUGCCUUUCAUCAUUUUGCUCCUCAUCAUGUUCACACGAGAGAAGACUGAGAGCAUUUUUGACAUAAAAAAUAUAUAAUAAUAUUUUAUAAACAGAAUCCUAACGGAUUACUAACGGCAAGGAGUGAAGUGAAUAUUUUUCAUUUUACAAUGGGGCAAAGUGUAGGUUUUUAAAUGACAGGAGAGAAAACUGAAAAAUCGAGUUUUGACAGGAAAGUUUUAUACAUUUUAGCCUAGCUUAUAUUUAUAAAUUAAAUAUAUAAAAAUUACAUUAUAUGAUAAAUUGAUAAGUUAUGUAAUAGUAUGUAUACAAUAUUAUACAAUAUGUUGAGUUUGGUUAUGGUGCUUGUAAAAGCACAAAGCACUUGGUGUUUAUAAAUUUUUUACCGUUAGAUUUAUGCCUGUGAUUAUUUUCAACCGUUAGAUUAAUUAUACUAGUCAACCAACCACUCACUCAAUUCUAGGAGGUCUAUAUCGUCCUAACCGUACAUCUUUUAAUCUAAUGGCCAAAAAUCUAAAGCACCAAUAACUUGGUAGUUUUAAAAAUAUAGAAGCUCAAUUCCUAUAUAUAUAUAUAUAUAUAUAUAUAUAUAUAUAUAUAUAUAUAUAUAGGGAGUAGGUGAGUGGUCCAGUGUGGACCACUCACGCGGUCCACGAGCUCUCACACGAGCUCGUGGACCACGAUGCAAACGAAAAGCUUGCUUCUCUUUAGAAUCUGUAAAAUAAUUUUUCUCAAAUAUUAUUUUUACGUCAAAUCAAACACUAGAAAAAUAAUUUUCGGAUCCAAAAAUUAUUUUUUGAUAGUUUUUACAGAGAACCAAACACACCUUAAGAGAUGGAUUACGAUUUCUCACGGGGUAUUUCUGUAACAAAUUAAGAGGCAUUUAUGGAAAAUGUUACUUGUAUAUCCCAAAAAAAAUAAAUUUUACAUCCUUCGUCAUAAGUUUAAAAGUUUUUAAAAUUUUUAAUGUGUAUUUUUUAAAAAAUUGAUAAGAUGAUUGCUGUUGGAUAACGGAGUGUAAAAUUUACACUAUUUUUUAGAGUGUACCAAUAGUAGUGCUCGGUGUGUCUCUAUUGAUGGUUUUAUUUUUUUAGCGGCCUUUUGGCGAUGUACUUGAUAUACCUGAAUUUAAGAUUUUUCUCGUUUUAAUUGAAUAACAAUAGCAAUAAAAUUAAUAAUUAUGUACAGUUAAAAACAGGCAUGAAAGGUUAUGAAACAACAAAUGCAAUAAUAACGUAUGGUCCAAUAUUUGAUCAUUUGCAACAAACAUCCUUCUCGUAGUUAUUUCAUGUUGUACAGAGUACGGACUCGUUUGAUCAGGAACAUCCCACAUGGACAAACACUACAACCAACCAAAAACCCUUUGCCUGAUUUUUUUUUUUUUUUUUUUUUUUUUUGUAUUCUUUCAUUUGGGUCCCCCAUCUUUUUUCUUUUUAUUUCAAUUAGAUUCUUAACCCUAUUUUGUCACUUUGGCCUCUAGCCUCUUCUCUUUUUUGCGUGGACGUAUGCUGCAUCAAGUUCAAUCUCAUCAUUAUCAGUGUUGUCCUUCGUGAUGAACUCCAUCUCGACUGUGACACACUAUUUUUCAGGGGAUCACCCAUCCCAGGAGUCUCACAUUGACCUUACAUAUUAAUUAGUUUACAUGUUGAAUUUAGUUUCAAUAAUGAGUUUCAAUUUGAAGUUCGGAACUUCAAUUAUGAACUCAAUUGUUUGAUGUAUAUUUUGAUUUAACUCUAAUUUUAGUCUAAAUUUUAAUUUUAAUUUAAAUAAUGAAUUCAUAUUUGAAUUCAAAAUUUAAGAUCAAAUAGUAAAUUAAAAUUUGGCUCAAAUCAUGAGUUCAAAUUAUGAAUUCAAAUUCGAAUUAAUGCUUUAAUUUUUAAGUUAAGAUUUGAUUUUGAAUUUAAUUUCAGUUAUGUACUGUAACUUAAACUUUAAAUUCAAAUUAUAAAUUUAAUUGUAUAUCUUAAAUUUUAAUUAUAAAUUUGAUUUAGAUUUAAGUUUAAAUUCAAAUCUUUAAAAUUUAAUUUUGAAUUUUAAACAAAAUAUAAAUAUAAACAUACAUUUUAAAUUUUAAUUAUGAGCAUAAGUUGUUGGUUUAUGCCUUGAUAAUUGGUAUCAUGUUUGUUUUUUUAUUUUUUUAAACACUAAUUUUAUAUAAUUUGAUAUGUUGGAGAAAAGACUUCCAUUUGCUUAUUAGCUUACAAUGUAUCUGGUUAAGUAAUAGAUGAAAACUUGCUAAAAAAAAUUUGAAAGCAAAUUUUUAUCUUUUUAUGCCAUGUAAACACUUUCUAUGAAACGCGCGGUUGCAAUCAAUCUACUAUCCAUUCUGGCAUAUUUUGAUAUACAAAAAUUUUAUUUAAAAAAUAAAAAAUGAACAAGAUUCCAUAUUUUUUCUUUCUAUAUAAUCAAAUAAUUAAAACCAUAAAAUUAUACUUUUCUAUAUAUUUUCACAGUACACUCAACCAAUCAAACGCAAAGGUUAUUUGAUAUGAUUUGAGUGAAUUUGUGACCAUGGUGAAGUUGGAAAAGCUUUAUUUGAUAUGCAUGAUUUGAGGUCAAAAGAAGCAUUUUUUUCCCAAAAUUUGCAAAAGCUGCAGGAUUCCGGAGGGGUAUCAAUUCUUACACCUCUAUUCAGACUUUAGGAGUAAUUCUUUUUUUCUUUUUUCUUNUUAUCGUACAUGUUUUCUUGAGAUCGAUCUGAUGUGAGGGUUUGAUAGCUGGCCUUCAAUAUUAUUUUUAGGAAAAAAAGUGUGUGACACCCCAAUAAUCCCACAUCGGAUGGGAAUGGUGUUGUCAUUGGGUUUAUAAGAGACUUAGACACUAGUAAUAAUAACUGGGCUUAAGCAUUUUGGGCCGGUGGUUGGGCCCAACGAGUUAUUAUUGCUAGUGGGCUGGGUCGUUAUAUUUGGUAUCAGAGCCAGUUCACCGGCUGGACAUGUGUGACGAGUCUCGACUGAGUCAGGGUCUGGAUGACGGGCUAGCGAGACAAGUCUCACAUCGCUUGGUGAUCUUGGGCUGUGUGUGUGAUUGGACUGACGAGGUGCCUUAACGGGGGGAGUCUGUGACACCCCAAUAAUCCACAUCGGAUGGGAAUGGUGUUGUCAUUGGGUUUAUAAGAGACUUAGACACUAGUAAUAAUAACUGGGCUUAAGCAUUUUGGGCCGGUGGUUGGGCCCAACGAAUUAUUAUUGCUAGUGGGCUGGGUCGUUAUAAAGUGAAUAUUUGUUUUAUAAUUUUACUCAAAAGAUCAUUUUAAUAGAAAAAUUAGCAUAUUAAUACUCAUGUGAGAUAGGAAAUGAGAAUUUACCAUAUUAUAUAAUACGAAAAUUUAAUCCGUUAAAUGUUGAUGGUAGGGAUUGUGUCCAUAUCCCACGGCCUCACAUAAUGAAGGAUUUUAGAGUUGGCUCUGAUAUUAUAUUACUAAAAAAAAUCAAUCUAAUAGAAAAUGAGAUGAGAAUGUAUAAUAAUAUUCUUAUUCCAAUAAAAUGACUUUGAGACAUAUACUCUAUGUCGUUGUAACCUUCCAAUCAUACUCCUAGUCUAAGAAUUCUAAAUUUACACAUCUGCUAUGUACACCUCGCAAUAGGGUUCGAAAUUUUUUAAAAAUUGAAACUGAAUGAAAAUUUUUUCCAGGUCCACUAUGGCUAGAAGUUCUUUCAAAUUAGUACUUUUAAUGUUAUUCUGUUUUGAGAAAUUCGAAGUUUACUAUUCAAAAAAGUUCGUAAAAUUACGACUAGAGGAGAAAUGUGAGGCCUCGGAUUAUAGGGUUGUAAGAUUACAAUCAAAAUAUGAUUGUAGAUAGAAUUGUUCUUCUAUUUUACACGCCUUCAUAAAUAAACUACUUUUUCCACAAAUCGAUUAUUAUUAAAGAGAGCAUUAGUUGUAUUUUAGAGAAGAGAGGGAUCUUCAUACUUUACUUUUAACAAUAAUAAAAGUUUUACUUCAUCUUUGAUUGUGAGUAGGCGAAUCACGUAAAUUACUUACAUUCUUUUUCUUCAUCUCUUUUUUCAAUAUUAAAACAUUGAUUCUGUCUUUAAUUUUGAGUACAUUUCAGUAGCUGAUCCAUAUAAUUAAGUUACAAUCAGUUCAUGUUUGAUGUUUUCAUAUUAGGCAGAUCAGACCUUUCUAGCUUUUGUCUUCUUUUUUGUUUUCGAUAAUAUAAGUUUUGCUCCCUCUUUAACUGUGCAAAUAUUUCAGCAGCCGAACCACGUAAAUUACAUAUGUCAUUCGUUUUCUUCUGUUUUUCUCAAUUCGUUUCUGAUGUUUUCGGACUAGACGAAUUAGACCUUUCUGGCUUUUAGUAUAUCAACUCAUGCAUGGAUGGAAACAUGGUUGGGGGUUUCUCAGGCCAGCAAGCUUACAAAUUAAAGCUGAUGACAGACUGUUAACAUAACUAGUGCAGACAGCAACUAAUAAUAAGAUAUUAUAUUUUUCUCAAAAAAAAAAACAAGAUAUUAUUAUAUAGCAAUAUUAUUUAUAGCCUCUACAAGUAAGCCAUUGAGAAUUAUUUCUCUUUAGAAAAAGCUCAUCUCUUGAUGUUCAACAUUAUGUUAUUUUAGUAAAACGAAUAUUAAUUCAUGUGUAGCUUCCUACAGGAUGACAGGGUCAAAGAUAGGCGAUUUGUUCAGCUAUGUAAGACCAAAGCUCCAUUGAAAGUAAGAUUUUUUGUGUGGAUAGUACUGAAACACAAGGUUCUUACAGUGGGCAAUCUUGUGAAAAGGGGAUGGCAGGGUGAGGUGAGUUGCGUUUUUUGCAUGGAGUUGCCCAAAACUGUGCACCAUCUUUUUGUUGGCUGUGAUAAUACUAGAGCCCUGCCGGGGUGCUUAUUACCGAACAAAGCUUUAAUUUCGAAAACCAGUUCAGUAGACUGUUUCUGGAACGAUUGCUACCGUAAAGUGGGAGGCCUAAGGGGGUGGGAAUUAACAACAAUCGCUUCUACUUGGUGGGCCAUUUGGUUGGAGCGGAACAGGCAAAUCUUCGACAAAAAGAAGAGCUCCCCAGUCCCCACGUCUACUUUUAGCGGAUAUUCGUUCGUGCAUAAACCUUUGGCUCUCUUUUUGUAAUACGUAGUGUUUUUGUUAAAGGAAUAUAUAUAUAUAUAUAUAUAUAUAUAUAUAUAUAUAUAUAUAUAUAUAUAUAUAUAUAUAUAUAUAUAUAUAUUUUGUGUGUGUGUAACGAUCCUCCUGAGGCCAAGUUGCCUCAACCUUUUGCUAAAUUUAUCUUUCUAUUGAAUGAAGCGGUAGCAUACUAUCUUACACUCAAAAAAAAAAAAAUUCAAGUCACAUUAGUUGCUUCCUGGGACAUAAUUGUAAUUAUAAUUUCCCGCAACACAAUCAUGACUAAACUUUUAAUGUGCAUAAUCAUACUUAAAACUUUUAACAUUACUACUUGAGUAUGUUGCAAAGAGUUAUUAUCUCACGCAGUUGGUUGUUUUCUUUUAAGUGGCAUAUAUGAGGUUGAAUAGUUUGGAACUCUGAUUGCGCUUUCACAAAAUUGGAGAUUUGAAUCUUAAUAUAUAUUAUUUUUUGAGAAUUUCUUGAGGUAGAAGGCUACAGACAACUUUGGUAGAAGGCUACAGACAACUUUAAUAUAAUAAAGAUUUAUUAAAACAAUAUUCUGCAAAACUUAUCGCAUUGCAAAGAAUUUUUAUCUAAUACACUUGGCUGUUAUUCAAAUUACAACGAUUCGACCCGCUAGCAAUAAUAACUCAUUGGGUCCAAAUCAUUGUCCUAAAUACUUAAGCCAAAUUAUUAUUACUAGCGUGUACUGUAGGCCUCAUAUACCUUAAACAGAAUUAUUUUUUCAUCCGAUAUGGGACUAUUCGGAUUGGCAACUUGGCAUGUAAUGAUUGUGCGUUCGCGCCUUAUGAAUUUUUCCUGUUUUAAUAUAUAGUAUCUUUUGAGGAAUUAGUUGAAAUAGAAGUCUAUGGACAAUUUUGGAAUACUAAAGAUUCGUAAGAAAAGGUAAAUUACAUAUUUAAUCCUCAAACUAUAAAGCGGGUGAACACUUUGAUCCUUAAACUAUAAUUUAUUAUAAUUUCUGGCUUGAAUUUUUCAAAAUUUGCAAGCAAAUCCUAUCGCCCAAUUUAGUUGACUAAAUAUUAAUAUAUCGUUGAUAUAAAAAUAAUAUUGUAUCUUAAUUAUUAUCACAUAAUUAAUCAGAAUACUUUUACAUCACUUCUAUAUUAAUAAUUUACUAAUAUUUGGCCAACUAAUUCGGUAGUGGAACUCAAUUGUAACAAUUUUGAAAGUUUGAGCUAGAAACUAUAAUAAAUUAAAAUAUGACAACCAAAAUGUCACCUUACUUAUAGUUUGAGAAUAAAGCGUGCAAUUUAUCUUAUGAGGGGGGGAUAAGGGGGAUAAGAGGUUAUCCGCACCCUUAUCCCCAAACACAAAAAAAAAUUAGUGGAAUAACUAUCCCACCCCUUAUAUGGGAAUAGGGGUAGGAACAGCCGUUUCCAUUCAUAUUUAAUAUUUUAAAAAUUAAAAAAUAAAAAAUUUAGAAUUUAAAAAUUUAUAAUUUGUAAUCUUAAAAUAAAACUUUUAUAAUUUUAAAUUUUAAAUUUUAAAUUUUUAAAUUUAAAAUUUGAUAUUUUAUAUAUUUAAAUUUAGAUUUAAUCUUAAAUUUAAAAUUUGGAUCUUUGAAUUUUCAAAUUUGAGAUUUAAAAAUUUAAAUUUAAAUUUAAAUUCUAAUUUUGAAUUUUUAAAAUUUAAAAUUUAUAUAUUUAAAUUUAAAAAAUUAAAUAUAAAAUUUAAAAAUUUGAAUUCAAAUAUAAUAUAAAGGGCAAUAUCAUUAUUUUCUAUUUAUAUCUACCUACUAUUUUUUUUUUAAUUUCAUCUUAUCUAUCCAAACGUUAUUUUUCUUAUUCCCAAAAAUAACUUAAUUUUUAUUCAAACGCAAAACUGAUCUAGUUUUUAUUUAUACCUGAAUUUAUACUUAUCUUUGAAAUAGACAGUUUUUUUUACUUAUAUCCGAAUCAAACGAAACCUUAAGGAGGUAAUCGUCUAUAUAUAAAUUGACAAAGUUUCCGACUUUUGUAUAUAUCCCAUACAAAUUACUAUUUUCAUUUCUGUCUAUCUAAAAAUAAAUCAUCCAAAUAGAAUAUGUUAAAAAAAAAUAAAAAGUAUUUAUUGAAAAUAAAGUAUAAAAUCAACCGUUUCUAACGCAAGUGGCAAAAGGGCUUGGUGGUUGGUACCCGAGACCCAAGUUUGAAUCCUAGUUGAUUCACAUUUCCCGCCAAGUUUAUUUCUAAAUGAAAUAAACGAAGUGGGUAGCAUGCUACCUUUCUCUCUCUCAAAAAAAAAAUAUAUAUAUAUAAAUAAAUAAUUGUAGACUUUUAUAAAGGUACAGAGAUAAUUUUCUCUACAUUUAAUUAAGAGUAUGGCAUCACUAGCCAUGCUGUGCCAUGAUUAGGGGUGGAAACGAGCCGAGCUCGAGCGAGCUUAUGUCAGCUCAAAUUCGGCUUGAAAUUAAUUUCGAGCCUAAAUCUAGGCUCAAGCUCGGCUUGCAAUUAAUUCGAGCGAGCUCGAGCAAGCCUAAUUUCGAGUCGAGCCGAGCUCGAGCUCUAAACGAGCCGAUUGAAAUUCUCGACAUUAUAUAAUCAAUAGUUUAAUUUUUAUAGAACAUUACCUACAAUUUGAUGCAACAUGUCCAAUAGUUCAAAAUACAAAAUAAUUAUAAGAAAUAUGAGCUAGGGUGACUUCCUGACUAGAUAAGGGUAAUUUGAAUGUUAUCAUGUUUUAGGAUUAUGUGCAACAGUGAAAGUCUGAAAGAGAGAGUGCGUUAUGUAAAUUUAGAGUUAGGCUUAAUUGCACGGUUGUACUUGUUGGGUUUAUUUUAUGGGCCAACAAUAAUGGAUCAAAUUAAAUUAAAGCCUAUCUAUAAUUAAAAUACAUUAUAUUUAUAAAUAUUAUAUAUAUAUAUAGAGUCCGGCUACUAUACUUUUAUGAGUAUUGGCUCCUUUAUACUCAUAGCCCCCGUUUGGUUCGGGGUUAAGAAAAAAUAGCUAUUCCAGGGAUAGGGUUAAGUUCAGGGUUAUAUGGUGUUAAAAUUUUUUUGUGUUUGGUUGGAGGUUGGAGUUAGUCUAGGAUAGUGAAAAAAAGUGUUUGGUUGGAGUAGGUGGGAUAAGAAGAUAAUGAUUGAUAAAGAAGAAAAAGGUGAGAGCUCGGGAUGCGUGCGGGGUUAAAGUUGGGAGGGGGAGUGGGGUUAAUGAUUGAUAAAGAAGAAAAAGGUGAGGGCUCGGGAUGCGUGCGGGGUUAAAGUUGGGAGGGGGAGUGGGGUUAAUGAUUGAUAAAGAAGAAAAAGGUGAGAGCUCGGGAUGCGUGCGGGGUUAAAGUUGGGAGGGGGAGUGGGGUUAAUGAUUGAUAAAGAAGAAAAAGAUGAGAGCUCGGGAUGCGUGCGGGGUUAAAGUUGGGAGGGGGAGUGGGGUUAGUAAACCUCACUAACCCGGUUUGGGGUGGGGUUUACUAACCCGAUCCCAAAAGAGUGGUGUUUGGGUAUAAAUUGGGGGUUAAGGGGUUAUCCACCCCUUAACCCCCAAUCAAACGGUGGCAUAAGUUUUCGACCCUUAGAUUUAUUCCAUUAAUCAUUUUCAUCCGUUAGAUCAUACUAUUUAACCAACUACCCACUCAACCCUAGGGGACCACUAUCAUUCUAAGUGGGGACCACCAUCAUCCUAACCACACAUCUCAUCAAUCAACGGUUAAAAAUUUAUGAGUACAAAGGGGUCUAUACUUAUAAGAGUAUAGUAGUCCCAGCCUAUAUAUAUAUAUAUAUAUAUAUAUAUAUAUAUAUAUAUAUAUAUAUAUAUAUUCGAGCUUUUCGAGCUUUUCGAGCCUAAUUCGAACGAGCCGAGUAAUACUCAAGCUCGGCUUGAAAUGAAUUUCGAGCCUUUUAUUUUGUUCAAGCUCGGCUCAUUUAAUUUCGAGUCGAGCUCGAGCGAGCCAAAUAUCGAGCCGAACACGAGUCGAACGCGAGCCGGCUCGCUCGUUUGCCAUCCCUAGCCAUGAUCAGCACAAGGACAGGCAUGGUACUCAAAUAAAUAUAGGCUGGACAGAUGGUUUUUAAUAAUUUAGUUCGUACUGAUAGAAAGAAUGCAUUCAUCACAUUUGAUCACACUUGAUUGGUUAUGGCGCUCACCAAUUUCAAUAUGAUUCAAUCUAUUUAAAUGUUAGACCUAUUGUUAAAUCUUUUAUCGUUAUUUAUAUUGUGGAUCGCAGUCCGGCUUAAUUUAUUAGACUCAACUGAUCAACUCAAUUUAUUAAUUUUUUGAAUCUCUUAUUAGCGGCAAAAAGUUAGAUAUAUUUUAACAAAUAAUAAACAUGCAUGCUAUUUAAUAAUUUUUAAUAUAUUUUAUUUUACUGAUUAUUUUAGUUUAUUAUUGUUAGUUCUACCUGGCGCAUUUAUAUCAAUGCACUAGACAUUUAUCACUCAUUAAUUUUUUCGUUAUUUCGAUAAAUACUUGUAGAGUUAUAGUUGUUUCUCUGUUAAAAGAUUAGAGUGCCUAAACUUAUGGAACGGGUGUAGAGCUUAUGUAUUGAAACAAUUUUUUUUAAGUAGAUAUAAUUUUUAUUUUUCUAAGAAGUUUGGGACUAAAUCACCUUUUUAAUACAGGCGGAUGUGGAGGAUCAAAAUAUCACUCAAUUGCUGUAAACAGUGGACUUGCUGAUUGGUACUCAAGGUCCCAAGUUUAAAACCUAGUUGCUUCAUAUUUUCAGGUAAAUUUAUUUUCGAAACAGACAGUAUAUUAUCUUUCUCUUAAAAAAAUAUAUAUAGUGGUAGCAUAGAUAUUGAAAUCAAUCAACUGCAGUAAACAGUGGUGAUACAAAUAUUGAAAUGGAUAAACUAUAAUAACUUAACAGUGGUGGUACAGAUAUUGGAACAUAGCAUGCCCAAUGGGUCAUGAUCUUUUUAUGGGGCAAAAUAAUUAAUGAGGCAUGAGCUUGCAUGUGGGCGCACACCAAGUGGGUGCAUGUGUGGGUUAAUGUCUCCCCAUCAAUGCAUAGGUAACGCAGGAUUAGAUGAUUUGUGUUAAAGCACUCCACCCACCCUUCAAACAUCACCAUGUGCUUCCUCAUCAAGCACUUCUUAAUUUGUACUCAGAAAAGCAUUGUGACUAAUUUUAGAUCUAUGGUUGUUUCCUUAACAACCACAACUAAUUAUAAUUAAUUCUUUUGCCACUUUGUUAGGCUAUAUAUACUUCCCUCAUCUCUCUCAAUUAUGAAAACUAAAAACAAAAGUUUAACAGCUUUUUUGUGUAGUUCAAUAUAUCCUCUCUUCAAGUAAACUUACUAAUUACACUGUUAUUUUGAUUGGGUGUCGUGAUCAUGUAAUUCCAUAAAAGACUUUAAAAUGAAGCUUUAUGAAGCUAUACGCCGUACAUGUGAUAAAAAUGAUUGUGUAAUUAAUAACUUCAAAUAAAAAGAAGGAUCUGCUGAACUAUUUGAUCGAUAAAGUUGAAAGAGCCUAAUUGCUAACAGCGAUAGUUUUGGCGACCGUCUACAAAGGAGCUAAAGUUUUAGGGGGUCUUUGUACUUUUUCCCCCUUAGUUUUGAUUUUCAAAACACGGGAGGCACAUGCUCUUCUUUUGUAAACUAGUUUUAUUUAUUUGGAGAGAACAAAGUACCUCUUUAUAUAGAACAUUGGCUCUUAAUUAAUCACAUCUCUCUAAUAAAAGCAAUUAACAACAACUAAGCCACCUUAUUAAAAUAUCCUUCUAAUCAUGAUCCCUCCUCAACCCUUAGCUUUCCUGUCUAGUGCCUUCACCCACCUUGUCACCUGAAUCCCCCACACACCAUUAUCGAAAAUGCUCUCUAUCACCCCCCACAAAAAAUUUCCUAUAAAUUAUUGACGUGUUCGUCGCCGUCUUAUGUGGUGUCUUAAAUUAUGGGUGUUAAGCGAUCAAAACUCUCUAAUUAUGUACGCAACUACAUCAGUACGUGUUUAUACGACUAGUACGUGAUUACUAAGCAAGUCAGAAAUAACAAAAAUGAGAAAGUGAAAAAGUUCCACUAUAAUAGAAUUAGGUUAUAGGAACACUUUUGUAUACCUUACCCAGCGCACUCGGCCGGACUACAAAUAGAAAAGGAGAAAAAAAAAAAAAAGAUCACCAUCUCUCUCCUCCUCCUCCGCCGCCGCAACCGACAAGGUAGGGCUCCGGCGGCUGGAGUUCGGUCGCGAGGAUCUCGUCGGAACUGUAAAGGACUACGAUCACCACGUGUCCCUCCGUGAUAGAUCGCUGAAGGAGUGGGUGCCAAAUAUUAAGGCGGCCCUACAUACAGCGACCCCAUAUAUAGUAAUAUUUUUAAAAAGUAUCGGUAAUUUAGUCAACAACGUUUUUUUUUAUCUGUAUUGACAUUUAAAAAUAUCACUAUACACCGUUUUUAUUGUAUGUUCAAACAAAUCCAAAGGCUUAAGUUAAUAGAAGAAAUUACCUAAGGGUAGCAAUGUGGAGAGAUGAAUGUCAUUUGUUAUAAUUAAACCUCUUUCCUUUUUUUGAAAUAAAAAUAUGAAACUCUCUGAAUUAGUUCUUUUGUGAAUAGGCGUUUGAACUUUCAAAUUUGAUAAUUAGACUAUUUAAACUUUAUCAAAUAAUUUAACCAGCAGCAUCCUUUCUCAAUUAAAGUUAUUAAUUACACAAUCAUUUUGAGAUCGAAACACAAACAAAUUUAUUUCUUCUAUUUUUACAUAUAAAGACAAAGAAAAGAAAUUAAACAUAGGUUCACUCUAUUCUCAAUUCUUAUACUAAAUUAUCAUAAUUGAAAGAAAAAUAAUAAGUUUUCUUUAUAUAUUUUUUGAAACAUUACAAAAUUAUAUGCAAGACAUGCGAUUAAAACGGUUAUGCAAUAAGUAACAUCUUGAUGAGAAAGACCUAUUGAACUACUGAUAAGAUUUGUAGAAUCUAAUUAUUAAUUGUUGGGAGUUUAGCUAGAAUACUAUCGAUAGCAAACGAGUUCCAUUGUCACCCAUUUAUUUUAGAUAAUAGAACUUUCAAAUCGACGGUUGGUACAGUUGAACAUGAUCUGUAUCAAUUGAAGUGCUUAGAAAUCAAAUUUUAAAUCUUUUCGAUAUCAUUUGCCUAAUGAUCAAAGGGUUUCAAUUUUUUUUUUUUUUUUGAGAGAUAGGUAGCACGCUACCUGCUUCAUUUAUUUCAUUUAAAAAUAAACUUAGUUAGAAAUGUGAAUCAAUUAGGAUUCGAACUUGGGACCUCGGGUACUAACUGCCAACCACCAAGCUCUUUGCCACUUGGCGUUUUCUCGUUUAACGACGUAAAGAUAUCCAAACCAAUUGAUUUUUUGUUAGAAAAUUCUUUAAACAAUAUAAAAUAAGAUCUAUACUCUUGAUCUUGAUUACAAGACUCCUAUCAUCAUUUUUUUAAAAAAAAUAUUUAUUUUCAGUCGUUCAUUUUUGUGUUCGCUCAAUGGAUAAGAGAACAAUAUCGAAAAUGUAUGAAAUUUGAUUUCUAAACACUUCAAAUGAUAUAGAUUAUAUUCAAUAGUACCGAUUGUCGAUUUGGAGAUUCCAUCAUCGAAAAUAAAUCGGUGACAACGGAGUCCGUUUUCUAUCGAUUAUUCUAGCUCAACUCUAAUUGUUGGUAUUUGAGAUCCUAAAUUUUAUGUAAAAUUGAAAAAUAAUAAUCUUUUAUAAAAAAAGUUUAGUAGUAGUAGAAAAUUAAGUUUACAGUGUCUAACAUUUGGCUUGAAUAUGGUGGAAAUAAUUUAGCUUCGGUACGUGCUUUGUUUGGUUGAUUGAAAAGGUGGAUAAAAUUUUUUGUAUAAAAUAAUAUUAGAUAUUUUUAUAUUAGCUAGGUUGUAUAAAUAUUAAAAUUUGUUAUUAUUUCUCUUUUAUCAGAAGUUUACCUAUAAAAUAUAUUAUACUGUAUUUAUAUAUUAUAUGUAUAACAUAAUAUAAUAUAAUAUUUUAGGGAUAAUUUUAUAGAGCUUCCAAUAAACAUAUCGGAUAGAAGAUAUAUUCGUACAAAGUUAAAGUUUUUAAAUUUAUCCUUUCAAAGUCUAAUGAUGUUCAUAUUUACCCAUUUGACUUGUUACAGUUGACUCAGUGUUUAUUUUUUUAACAGAAUAUAAGUAAAAUAUCAAUUUUGCCAUCACAACUAUAUCCCUUCAAAAACCCCAACCGUUAGAAUCAUACAGAAAUGCCCUCCAAAAAUAUGUAAUGGUCAUCUUCUUUUUUUUAUAAAAGCUAACUCAACUCACUCAUUUUCUUCUUUAACUAUCUAAUAUUAAUUCCUCAGCGUUCAACAUGGGGCAAAGCAAUACAUGUCGUGAAUGAAUGGGGAUAGAGAAAUUCUAGUUAUAGAUUCAAAACUAGUUUCAUUGUUUUGAUUGAAAGAAAAAAAAUAUAAUCUCAAAAAGAGUUAAAAAAUUAAUUUACCUCACUUACUAGCCAAGAUUAAGUGUUUACCUAUAUUUAACUAUAUUUAACUAUAUUUUUUUAAUGGACAGUAAUAACAAGGAUAAAUUUGAAAUCGCUGGGACUUUAGAACUGAAUGAAAUUAUUCAAAUAUUUUAUAUAUGCUAUAUAUAUUUGCUAUUCCACAAUGAAAUUACCGUGGACCGCGCUUAGAAAAGAUGAGGUGGACCGGUGAGCCGCAAUCAGGAAAGAAUGAGUUUUCGUUUUUCAACAAAUCUGUAAAAUAGUUUUACAGAAAAAUACUUUUACGAGAUCCUAACACGUAGGAAAUGAUUUUCAAAACCAAAAAUCAUUUUCAAACCAUUUUUACAUAGAUCCCAAUAUUCUCUAAAAACAAAUUAAUUAAGGUAUGAAAUGAAAAAAAAUUCAAGAAAAGUUUUUUUAUAAUUUUUUUUUAAAAUUUCCGUUCGCUUGGCCGUUAGGUUUUUGGAAAAACUAGUUUUUCCCAUUUUUUUUAUAAUUUUAUAGAAAGCCAAUAUGUCUAUUUUUCAGAAAAGAAUUUGAAAAAUAAAAGUACCGGUUUUUUAUAAAAUUUUAAUUUUUUUUUGAAAAACUAGUUUUUCUUAAAACCAAACGAAUGGAAACCUAAAAAAAGAGUUUUCUAUAAAAUUUUCUUUCUCAAAAAUUUUUUUUCAUAACCUUUUAAGAAAUCAAAUAGUCCUUAAGAAAACAACAUAAAAGAGAAUUUUGUACCGCUACACCCGCAUGUAGAGGGGAAAGAGAAAAGUUAUAUUUUAUAUUUUAUGGAAAGCUAAUAUUUCCGUUUCUUAGGAAAAAAAAUUUUAAAAACAAAAAUACUAGUUUUCCAUAAAAUUUUACUUUAAAAAAGCUAGUUUUUUUUAUUUUUUAGUAUUUUUUUUGAGAAAACAAGCCGUUCCUGAGCAAAUAUAACAUGCUACUUCUCUUUCAAACAAAAGAAAAGAAAAACAAAAGAAAAGAAAAGGUUAGUACCCGAGACCCAAGUUCAAAUCCUAGUUGAUUCACAUUUCCAGUUAAGUUUAUUUCUAAGUGAAAUAAACGAAGCGGGUAACGUGCUAUCUAUCUCUCUCAAAAAAAAAAAUAAAAGAAAAGAAAAGGUUAGAUUUUUGUACAUUUUUCCCUCAUUUUCCCCUCUCUUUUUUAUUUUUUAUUUUUUUUUUUAAUUUUUUUUUUUUUACUUUUCUCUGUUCCCCUGCACCCGCAUGUGCUCCUAACCCCACCCCUCUUCUCUUAUCUGGCAAGUCUCUUCGGUUUGGACCAAACCACACCACCAUUUCACGUGGCUCGCAAGUGGCGUUAGGUACUCAGGACAUUAGGUGUGGCCAAUUUCACGCCUAAAACCCUUUCUAUAUAUAUAUAUAUAUAUAUAUAUAUAUAUACUUGUUGUAUUUAGACACAACCCUACUCCAUAGUUUGUGGUAACCAAAAGUAGCUCCUCUUUUUAUUAUCUCUACAUCUUUUGUAUGAUAGUCUUAAAGAUAUAUAGCAGCAAUUAAGUUCCUAUGGCAAGUGGUUGUUUAGAAAGCAGCUUUGAGGACCACGACUUCGACAUCGACGGCGAAAUGCUCGCGGAGUUGCUAGAAGAGUCGAGCGUCGACGAAGGCUGCGACGAUAAGUUCGGGAAUGUGUUUCGUAGCCUGGAAGCUGAGAUCGGGUCCGCUGACUCGAUGGUGGCUGGCAGUGCUGGUGGUGGUGGUGGUAUCGAUGGCGUUGUGACGAAUGUGCACGUGCACGAAGAUUGCGAGGAUUGCGAAUUGGAUGGGAUGCUGUCGGACUUCGGCGGGCGUGAUGGGUCGAGAUCCUUGACGUGCAACCAUCUCGAGGAGCCGUUCGAUUGGGUGGCGAUGGAGGCGGCCGACGGUUCUCCGACCGGCCUCGAGAUUGGCGCCGAGUGGUAUGUGGAAGAGUGGAUGUGUGAGGAUGGAUUGGUUGGGUUUGGGGAUGCAAGGGGAUACAAUUCUUGUUAUAUUUAUGGGGAAGGGGAAUCACCCAUGGAACAAAUGUAUAGUCCCUUGUGGGAGUGACAAUUUAGUUGCAGUAGUAAUUAAGUUGGAACUUUGAAAUGAUCUGGUUAAUGCAUGCUUAUCAUUUUGAUUCACAAAAUUAAUAUAGAUCCAACUUCUGAGAUAAUCUUUUAUGAUACACAUCAAUAACUAGCAUACAAUAUUUUCUAGUUAAACUAUCAAUCGUCUCUAGCGCUGGUGGAAAGAGUUUAAUGGUUGGUGUCUGAGGUUCCAAAUUCGAAUCCUAAUUAUUUCACAUUUUUAGCUAAGUUCUCGUUCUUAUGAGAAAAAAAAAAAAAAAGUUAAAGAGGAUAUAUAAACUAAUUAAGCCUAUUGAUUGGAUAGAUUACAAUAAAUUUACCCUAAGUAAUAGACCCUCAUACAUUUUGCUUUUCUAGGGGAAUGUUCCUAGCUCCACACUGUAUUUAUUUUUUUCGUUACCAAAUAUUUUUUAGCAAUACUUUUUUUUAGCAAUGUUAACUCAUUUUAUGGCUCAUCCAUGCUUUAUAGUCGAUGCUAAUUCAUCCUCUAUUUUUACUACUAUCUCAUUAAUUACGCAACUUAAUCCUCAAAAUUUGGGUUUAUCAUAUCCUUGGGUGGGAUUAUAAGUUUAUGUAUUCUCCACUACCCUUCCUGUGGUACUUGUGUUGGAUGCAUUCCUUUGAGAUCUCUUAUUAUGCUUUUUCUUUUUUUUAAAAAAAAAAUCAGCUAUUUUAGAUGGUCAAGGAUGUGAUUACUCGUAAGUUAGCUCUAAUACAUGUUGCCCUCCAUUAUUGUAUUGAAUGCAUCUGCAUAUUUUCUAAGGCUGAAUGUGCAGAGAUAUAUGCAUACUGAUUAUCUACCCACUCAUUUAAAUGGAGACAAUCAUUUUAAUGAUAAAUGAUGAUCAGACAGUCGGCUUAAGAGUUUGCUCUAAUGGAUAAGUCAACUUUCGGCUUUCAUCGAAUGUUUGGACCAGAGAGUAGUCAUCAUAACAUGUUUAUCUCAUUUUUUGGUUAAUUUUAAAGUUAUUUUACUUGAAAAUAAUCUGAACUAUUCUAUUUGUCAUCAUUCAUAAAGUUUUACAAUUAUCACAACAAAUGCAAGAUUUACAUUAUGUGGUUUACCAAAUGAAGUGGAUAGUGUAGGGUAAAGUUUCAGACAAAGUUUAUUGUUAUAGAUUAGUAGUGUAUAUAUUGCAUUAUUUACGCAAAUAUUUGCUGCUGUACCCUUGAUUGGUAACUUUUUGAUUAGGGCCAAUAAAUGGUUUCUAAUGCCCCAGAGCCCAUAUAACUGGGCCUAUCACAAAAGGGGUCUACAAUAAGUACAUUGCUGUCCAAUUUUACCCUUCAUGCACGAAAAUUAUAGCAAAAAGUAAAAUAAAAUAAAAAAAAGAGGGAAUGCUGCUUAUACCCAGAUGAAGGCCUGCAUGUAAAUCUUACACCUUCAUCAUCAUUUAACAUAAAAAGUGAAUGUAAAUCAAGGCAUUUUUAGCAUUUAGUGUUUGAAAAAAAUUGCAAAUAGCCCCUGCAAAAUUUGUAAGUGUAAGAAUGGCCCUCAUCUUGUCCAUGUGGGUGCCAUGGUGGGCAAAGGAGGGACAGUACAGUUGUCAUGUUUCAGUUGAAUACGGUAAUUAAUUUAUUGUACAGUCUUUUUUUUAACUUUGCACAUUUAGAAAAUUUUACAAAGAUUAUCGCCACUUAACAAAGAGAACAUAAUAAUCCAAUUGUCGUAUUUUAGAACACAGUGAAUAAAUUUAUCGUGUCAAACUUAAAAUAUUCAGUUGGCUCUCCGUGUCCAGCGUGAAGCUUGCAUGGACAAGGAGAAAGCCAAUCCUACAAUUAUACUUUUGCAAGUGUCAUUUGUAAAAAUAAAAAAAAAUUGAGGGGGUUAAAUACAAAAAGAAGCCUUGUAAACCAAACAUAUUUUGGAUUGUACCAACAUUCUAGUUGUAAAGUAGUAUUGCAAAAAAAUUAAAAAAAAAAGAAAAGAAAUUGCACUAGUUAAAGUAUGGCUUAGUUUGGUAUUGAGAUCUACAUGACUUUAUUAGAUAAAAUAGAGUUUGAAAAAAAGCAUGUAGGGAUAUAUUUCUGCGUUCUUCAAUGAGACCGUAAAAAAUAUAUUAUAAUCGACUUAUCGCAAUAUGUGGAACGCAAUAUUACGUAUAGAAACAAACAGGAUAUUUUCCUAUCGUACUUUCUCACCGCACGUAACGUAAUCUUCCCGCAAUCCCAAGCGAAGCCUAUGUUUGAUUGCUUGCACUUUAGGCCCAUUAAUAUUAAUAAUUUAUUGAUCGUAUAUAGUACAGUUGGUUAAAGGUUUGAUGGUUGGUAUCUGAAGUCUUCAGUUUGAAGACUAAUUAUUAUAUAUUUUUAGCUUAGUUCAUUUCUAAAACAAAAAUAAAUAAAGCAAAUAAUAUAAUAACUUUCUCUCAAAAAAAUAUACAUUAAUAACUUUAAUUCAAUAUCCUUACAAUCAUAUUAUAACAUGGACUCAACCCACUGUACGUUUGGGAGAUUGGAUUCCAUCAAAUUAUUUUCAAUAAUCCAACAUUCAACUCAGUGAUUUGACUUGUUUAAAAUUCAAAUUAUAUAAUUAUAUCUAAAAAUUGUUUAUUAAGCCAUCGAAAGAUCUUAAAAACAAUAGUUUUUGAGAGACUAUAUAUAUGAAUUUGUUUACUCGUUAAUUAAGCCAUAUAAAACAAUCCUUGAUUUUUUUUUUUACUAUUUAAAUCAUGUUCAACUAUACCAAUCUUAGAUUCGGAAUUUCUAAUUAACAUCUAAUUUUUGCAAGAUUAUUUAAUUUUGACCAUUCAUUGUGUAACUAUUUGAUACACCAGCUAAUAUGUUUUAAGACAUGAAAAUACAGCUAAUUUUAAUAUCAUAAAUCACGCUUGACGAUCUAAAAGAAAAGAAAAUUAAUUAAAUUUAUUUAAAUUUUUUUAUAGAUAAUGUGAAAAAAAUUAGGCUUUAAGUUUGGGGAUUUUGAUACCAACGAUCAAGCACUUAGCGAGCUGGACUAGGCAGAGUCAGUCACUUUUAAUCAUUUAAUAUUAGUCACUUCCAAUAAUUUAGGUUUGGAAUGGAAAUGAGAAAUUGUUAAAUAUAAAAAUGUUUAAAUACCGUUCAUGUGAAACAACCGUUGUACUCUAAAAGUUUAAGCUGUUAGAGAACGAUGUUUAAACAUUUUUAUAUUUUACACUCCCCCUCACGUCUGGGCUCUGAUAUCAUAGGAAACAACCGUUGUGCUCUAAAAGCUUAAGCUGUUAGAGAACAGUGUUUAAACAUUUUUAUAUUUAACACAAAUGGAAUUGCAUUGAAAUGGAAAUCAUUCAAAAAUGUUUGAUUCACUAUUAGAGUCGAAAUCGGAAUGGACAAUUCAAACUAAGGUUUUGAGGGAGGCUUUUGGUAUAAGAGAGAGGAGAGUGAUCAAUGUAGAGGAGAAAGUAUUAGAGAGAGAAGGUUUUGAGCUGUUUACUCUGAAAUGAGCCAAUUCAGAAUUGAAAUUUUGAUUGGAUCAUAAAUAGAUUAGAUCAUGUUCAUUCCAGAAUAAAUUAGAAUUAGCAUUCGAUUUCUGUAAAAUAAACAAUAGCUAUCGAAAUAAAUGAAUCACAUUUUUAAUAUCAAAAUAGAUAAACUAAACAAGCCUUUAGUGUUAUAAGAUGUCACAUCUACUUCAUUCUUAAUUUGCUCUUUCUUAAACCCUUAUAUAUUACGGAAUUAAAAUAUGAAAAAAAGAAAAAGAAAUUUCUCUCUGUGAUGUACGUCUCAAUUAGAGGAAAAGUUCUAGAAUGCACCGGGUAUACCGGUGACGUGGCGUCACAAACCAAUCAAAUAUCUCUUUUUAGAGAUAUAUGUCCCAUAAUAAUUAUAAAAAAAUAUUUUUAUUAUACUUUUGUUGGAAAAAAAUAUGUAUUAAUUUGUGAUUGAUGAUGUGAUGCAAGCGUGACAGUGUAGAAUUUCUCCAACUAGAGCCUGCGCCAACUAAGGAACAUAUGCAUGUUACCUCUUACUUCUCUGCACAUGUGUGCAUGUGAUCAUAAAACCUAUAUAUGGUCGUAUACGUACGUACCAUGCUUCAGUAUUGGCACUGUAUAUAUAUAAGGUACAAUAUAUAAAAGGUGUUUGGUUCCUCACAAAAUUAUAACAAAUCAUCUUUUUAAUAAUAAAUAAAUAAAAUUUGAACAUAGAAAAAUAUAUAUGAAAUUCGGAAAAACUUUUGCCAGAAUACCUUUUUUUUUUUUUGAAAAAUAAUAGAUAAAAAUAUGCCUUUUCAACCAGAAAAUUAUUUUUUAAGAUACUUUCCGAGAAUUACCUGCAUGUAUGGAAAAUGUACAUAUCUAAAGCUGGAAAAUUUGCAUAUUCGACCUUGCAAUAUUGAUUAAAAUUGUUGCGGUUGAUAAUACGGGAUACAAAUUAAUAAGGUGAAAAAUAAAGAUUUUUUUCCUGAAAUUGUAUGCUUAUGUUUUGCUCUAAUAUAUAUUUGUUUUCUACGCGUGAUUGUAGUAAUUUUUAAAAAAAAACUACGAAAUUUAGUGUAUAGACUUCAAAUAUCUUAAAUUGUGUUUGACAAAAUAAAUUUAUUACUUCAAAUACUUUAUUAAUGAAAACUAGAAUAUAUAACACACCUGCUCGCAAAGUGUCCAUUUUAAUCUUCCAAGAAAGGUAAAAAAAUAUUUUGAAUAAUUUCUUAAAUCAAAUUGUGUUAUUUUAGUACGUAUAAUCAGGCUAUACUAUCAUGAAGAAUAUUUCUAAAUCAUUUACAAAUAAAUCAAUCUUUUGAGUACAUAGCGUAUUAAUUAUCAUAUAUAGUCGAUUCUGUGACCUUAGCAAUUAGCAUGCAUAUAUAUAUAUAUAUAUAUAUAUAUAUAUAGAAAUAUUAAAACUAUUUCUAAACUGUUUCUUAUUUGAUAUAAAUUACAUCAUCGUAAUCAUCCUUAUAAAUCCUCUAAGUAUAAAAUAUAACCCUUUUUUCUAUUGUUAUGUUUGAUAUUUCAGUUUCUAUGAUAGCUAUGAGUAUAGUGACGCUGGGACUUAGGGGCCGUUUGGUUGGAUGUAGUUGCAGAAACAGUGUAGUUGGAAAUAUAUGCAGUUGCAAAUGCUGCAGUUAUAACUACAUCUAGUCUGUUUGGUUUUACGCAGUUGCAACUGCUGGAGUUACAUUUCUUCUGUUUGGUAAUAUGAAGCUGAUAGUUGUAUUUAUGAAUUUUGUUACCUCUUCAGAUAGAGUGGUGAGGUUACCUUCACUAAAUAUAAAAUAAUUAUAUAAAUUUAUUAAUUAUUUAAAUUUACUAUUUAUAAAUAAAUAAGUAGAUAUAUAUAAUAUUUUUAUAUUUUUCAAUAAUUCUUCAACUUAUUAAUUGACACAUUUAAAAUUUUUAAUUUAUUUAAUUUUAAUAUGUAAAUCAAAUUUUAAAAAUUUAAGCGAUUCUCUCAUUUUUUUUUAUCAAUUUUAAUAAUUAUAAUUAAUUAAAACUUAUUAAAUUAACAUACACGAUCACAUUCUAUAAAAAUUUAGAAAAAAAAAACUAUAUUUAUAUUUUAAAUAAAAUAAAUUUAAAAAAAUUAAUUUUUUGCACAAAGCUUGUAUUGUCUAAAAAAUUUUAUUAGUAUGAGUUUAUUUAUAAGUAUUUUUAUUUACCUAUAUACAUAUAUUAUUUAUUUAUUUAGCUAUUUAUUUAUUUAUUAUUAUUAUUAAUUUGUGGGUGAUCCUAUCCCUCACCAACUGCUGCAGUUGGAACUACGACCAAUUUGGAUGUAGUUCCAACUGCAGCAUUUGGGCCUUCUUGUGCAGUUGAACUGCAGCAGUUGAACUCAACUACACUAAACCAAACAAAGAAAUUGUGGCUGCACGCAUUUGCAACUGCAUUGCGGUUGCAAAUGCGUACAACCAAACAGCCCCUUAGAGGGGAUGAGAAAAUAGAAUAAGCACAACUCGAUAAAUACUCGACUCGUCGUAGAAUCCACCACAUUGUAUUCGAACACACUCACCACUACUAUUCAGAAUCCACCAACACAAUAGUUGAGCAACACUCUUAUCUCACAGAAAAUCUACUUCAGAGAUAGGAAUGAGAAGAUAUCCUUCUUCUCAAAUAAAAGUAUAAAUUUCAACUCAAUUUGAUUUGUUUUUCAUUAUAAAAUUAUUAUAUAUUUUUAGCUUAGUUCAUUUCUAAAACAAAAAUAAAUAAAGCAAAUAAUAUAAUAACUUUCUCUCAAAAAAAUAUACAUUAAUAACUUUAAUUCAAUAUCCUUACAAUCAUAUUAUAACAUGGACUCAACCCACUGUACGUUUGGGAGAUUGGAUUCCAUCAAAUUAUUUUCAAUAAUCCAACAUUCAACUCAGUGAUUUGACUUGUUUAAAAUUCAAAUUAUAUAAUUAUNAGAGAUAGGAAUGAGAAGAUAUCCUUCUUCUCAAAUAAAAGUAUAAAUUUCAACUCAAUUUGAUUUGUUUUUCAUUAUAAAAUUAUUAUAUAUUUAUAGGCUGUCAAAUGACCUUCCAUCUUCUCUAUACAUUAACUCAUUCAUUAAUUUUAUAGAGAAACUAAAAGUCACUUCUAAAAAUACUAAAAUGCACACACUAUUCUAAACUAACAUAAUUCAUUUUAAGAAAAAGAAAAGACAGUUUUAUAAAAAAAAAUUGAGGGACACACUUAUUUCAAAAUUAAUAUUUAUAGAGUAAGUAAUGACUUUAUUCACCAAUGCCAAGAAUAGUGUCAUUCUCCCUAAUUGAAAAGAACUUUUCCUCAAGUUUGGUUUGUGGAUCGUCUUCAUAAUAUGGUGAAAUAUCCUCCUUUCAAGCAAUCACUGAUGGGGGUGAUGAUGGUGCUAAACCCUUUGAUGAAGCGCCGGUAGAAAGAAGCAAGGCUAUGAAAGCUUCGAAUGUCCUGAAGUGAAAUAGGUUCAGUCUAUAUAAUAAUGGUCUCAACCUUUGCUGAAUCCAUCUUGAUACCUUCGGCCAAGACAAUAUAGCCCAAAAAGAUUAGGCUAUUUGUCACAAAGUCGCAUUUUUUUAAAUUGGCAUAUGGCUUUUGCUCCCAUAGAAUUUGGAAUACUUGCCGAAGAUGUGUUAUAUACUUCUCAAUGCUUUUACUGUAAAUCAAAAUAUCGUGAAAACAAACAACAAGAAAUUUGCCAAUAAAGGAUUUGAAUAUAUGAUUCAUGAGCUGCAUAAAAGUGCUUCAAGCAUUUGAAAGGCCGAAUGGCAUGACCAUCCACUCGUAGAGACUGUCACGUGUCUUGAAAGCUGUUUUCCAUUCAUCACCGGGGCGCAUAUGGAUUUGAUGGUAGUCACUCCUUAGAUCAACUUUGGAGAAGACCGAGGCACCAUGAAGUUGGUCAAGAAGAUCAUCGAGACGUGGAAUAGGAAAGCGGUACUUAAUAGUGAUUUUGUUGACUGCUCUACUAUCCACACACAUGCGCCAAGAUUCAUUCUUUUUUGGCACUAGUAGCAUCGGCACUGCACAGGGGCUCAUACUUUCUCGCACCUUUCGAAUAAGCUCUUCAACUUGUCGUUGUAGCUCUUCAUUUUCUUUCGGACACAUUCGAUAUGCUACCUUAUUGGGGAUAGUGGUGCCCGGCACAAUAUCAAUGCAAUGUUGGAUCUCCUACAUAGGUGGAAGACUGGGUGGAAUCUUCUCCGGAAUUACAUCUUUAAACUCAUGAAUAAAAGGUAUGAUGAUAGAAGGUAUUGUAUUCUCUAUUUUAUUUUCCUCUACGAGAGUAAAUUAUAGGCCUCGGAGGAUUCUGACAACUUCUUAAGAAAUAAUGAUUUAGAACAUACCUUGCCAUGAGAAGUAGUGCACUGUGUGUGAAAAAUAUUAUUAAGCUAAUCAUCUUCCUUGACAGGUGUAGCGCUCAAGGCUUGUCGAGUGACAAAAGCCUCACCUCCGUCACCAUAAGUGAUUUUAUCUUCCUCUUCCACUUCUUCAUCCUACACGGGUGAUGUAGUUUCAAGACCUUCCUCUUUGUCAGGUGUCUCCUCGAAAAGAGUAACAAUUCUCCUAUUUGGGCAUUCAGAGGCGCAAUGUGUCCGAGGCCUUGACAUUUGUAGUAUCAUCGCGGGUUAGAAUUUGAAGAACUAGGAUAAUUAGAAGUAGUCACUGCCUCUUGUUUUGGAUGAGGCUUUUGGGAUAUGGACAUAGAAGUUUGAGAAGCACUCCCCUGGUUGGAAGUGUUCUCACGAGCUAUGGAUCGAUUACCACUGGCACUUGAUGCUCGACGCACACCCUUUGCCUUGAGUUGCCUCUCUACCUUAAUCGCAAGCUUGUAGGCAUCAUUGUAUGUCCAAUAAUGUUGAAGGUUGACGAUGUCGAAUAUCUCACGACGAAGCCUACCAAGGUAAAGAGCUAUGGUUUGCUCUUCCGGUUUGUAAAUGCCGCACCACAUGAUAAGAUGAUCAAACUCCUCCGAGUGCUCCUCAAUAGAGCGAUUCUAUUGUUUCAGGCGGUGAAACUUGAGAAAAGCAUCUUGCAUAUAGUGCUCCGAUAAAAACUUCUUCUUAAGUUCUUUCUAAGUUUGUAUUUUUUAUUUUUCUUCGCGAGCUCGUCAAACUUUGAAUUGCUCUCACAAAAUAGACGCAUACUUUUUAAGCUUGAUGGCCACAAGCUUUACUUUGUAGUAUUCGGGUACAUCUUCAUAUUCAAAGAUCUGCUCCACAGUGUGAAGUCAGUCAAUGAACUCAUCAUGUUGCAUCCUUCCUUCGAACUCAGGAAUAUUAACUUUGAUGUCGAGGUCCCGGCGGAACUCAUUGUUCCUCCAAGGUAGUCGAUAUAGAGAACCUUCCUUACUAGGUGCCCGCCUACGAGCAUUAUGAAAUUGAUUGAUAUUCUCCUCAUCUUCUUGCUUUGAACCAUGACAAGGGUCGCCAUAUUCCAAAACUUCAAAGCAAGCAAGUUGCUCUUCAAGAAGUCGCACUUGUCUCCGCAAGUCAUCUUGCCUCUCAACAUCCUGCAAAUCAUACUCACGCGUUGCGGGAUCCUCCAUGCGUGGAUCAUGCCUUUGGUUGUUAGCCAUCUUGAACCUAGGGGUCUGAUACCAAUCUGACGCCGGGACUUAGAGAGGACGCAAAAAUAGAACAAGCACAGCUCAAUAAACACUCAACUCGUUGUAAAAUCCACCACGUCGAACUCGAGCACACUCACCACUAUGUGGAAUCCACCAACACAAUGGUUGAGCAACACUCUUCUCUUAUAAAAAAUCCACCUAAGAGAUAGGAGUAAGAAGAAAUUAUUCUUCUCAAAUAAAAAUGGAAACUUCAAUUUAACUUGACUUGUUUUUCAUUAUAAAAUUAUUAUAUAUUUAUAGGCUCUCAAAUGACCAUUCAUCUUCUCCAUAUAUUAACUCACUCAUUAAUUUCAUAGAGAAAGUAAAAGACACUUCUAGAAAUACUAAAAAACACACACUAUUCUAAACUAAUUAAUAUAAUCCAUUUUAAGAAAGUGAAAAUACAAUUUUAUAGAAAAACUAAGGAAUAUACUUAUUUCAAAACUAAUAUUUAUGGAGUGAGUAAUGACAUCAUUCACCAAUUUAAAGAACCGUGACCGUAACUCUUUGAACGUAGGAAUUUUACAAACUUGUUAUAUCUCUAAUACAAAACACAUACCUUUGGACAAAAUUGAUGAUGCUUCUUUAAAUUAUUUUGUUCCUUCUUCCUCAAUUUCAGAAGAAAAUUGAAAAAAGGCACUAAACAAUUUUAUCCUAUAAAACUAAUUUAAGUGCAUUGAAAAGUAAAUUAUUACAAAAUAUAUUUGAUUACAAUAGUUUGUGCCGUUGUGAUAAUGCAAAUCAUAUUAUUUAGUUAUUUAUUGCCAUUAGUAAUAAUUUGCAACGAUCGUUGUUUGUUAUAAAAAAUUAGUAUUGUAACUAAUAGUUAUCAACUGCAACCGUGUUUAUUACCAGAAAAGAAUGGAUUUCUUAUUUGCAUUCAAGUUAAAAGAAAAAAGAAAGAUAACACCAAGAAAUACCACCACACAAGAUUAAUUAAUGCCCAAAGAAAACAUGGGAGAGAAAAUUGAAAACACCACUGGAUACUAUCACAAUGAUUUUCUUUUUUCUUUUUUUUUUUGUAUCUUAAAUAAGAAAAAUAAAUUAAAGCUGCACAAAGAAUAUUUAAUACACAACAAAAAAUACAGCCACCACCACCACCAGGUAAUUGAUUACCAAUAAAUAUGUAAUUAACCAAGAACACCACCUUAUUAAUUCUCUAGCUACAAAGUAGUAAUGUAAUGUAUAUAUGCCCACCAAUGCAUAUACAUAUGUUAGCUGAGGAGCCCGUUCUCUGUGCAUACAACAGGCUCAGAUGUGGGAGUGCUCAUCUUCUUUAGAUUUUGUUGGUGAUAUACUUGUCUCAAUCUCUCAAUCUCCUUCUUCAAUGCCUCUUGGUGGGCUUGCAUUUUUAAAAAAAAGAAAAAGAAAGAAAAAACCUAUUUGAGAUCCAAUUAAAGUGUAUAUCAAAAACUUUGCAAGGGCAGGUGACAAAUAUAAGGGCAAAAAAUAUGUAUAAAUAUUUCCUAUAAUUAAACCUACCUAAUAUAUGGUGUUCAGAGCUUUUUAUUUAAACACUUUAGUGCCUAAUUAAAUUUUCCCGUAUAUAUAUAUUGCAAUUGUGUAUCCUUGGCCUUCCUAGUUGCCUAAUGUUUGCAAUAUCAUGUGCUCGCAUGCAACACUUUUACGCAAAAUAGCUAUCAUAAUUCAAUUUGAAACAACAAAACAAAAGGAAAACCAAAUUGAAAGAGAAGAGAAAAAUGAUUGUUUUCUGAAAGUGGUUGAAUGUUGAGCAUUUAAGUCAAUAUAUGGUAGUUCAGAGACCAAAAUAUUUAAGUGAAGAGUUUAGAACUAACACAUAACAUCUGAAAGGUACAUGCAUGAAAUAUUAUUUGUGCAUAUAUUUAACCCUAAUAUAUAACCAAACAAGAUAUAACAAUAGUAAUUAUUGUGUGGGUCUAUGUAACAUAUUGGCCUUAUUUUUGAAGAAUUAUCCUUUUAUCAAAUUGUGCACUAUUUAUUCAUAUUUACUUGAGUAAAAGUUCCAUUGCUUGAUGCACAGUUGAUGUUUAUUAUGAUUUGUGACCUGCAAACUGGUACCAGGGACCACUAAUUAAGUAAUUGUCCAAAAAUUAUCUUCAUGUCUAAAAUAAAUGUAUUAAUUAGUCCAUAAAUUUUUUUUUUCUAUUUAUAUUAUUACUUCGUGUAGGGUAAAUUAUGGAAAGCAAUGAGAUUAUUUACAGCGUGGAAAAUCCAAGUACAUUUUGAUGCUUUAAAAAUCUAUAUUUUAUCAAAGUGUACACUAUACAUGUAUUUAGUAGCUCAAGUGAUUUGUGGGGUUCAUUGUAGUAUUAUCAGCUAUAAAUUAAAAUUAUUGAGUCAAUGGAAAUACCAAUUUCGAGGAAAAGGAUACCUCUUAUUUAGAGAUUAAUUAAUGUGAUUAGUUUUAUAACUAAUAAUUUGCAUGUACAGAAGAGUAGAAUAAUUAUUUACCAUGAAGUAAAUAAUAUCAACCUACCCAAGUUGCUAUAGCAAUAGCAACAACCAUGGGCCUAAGUUAAUUUGUAUCAUGUGUUCAUGAAUGGAAGAGGACCACCACAAACACACAUAGUGCCUGUGGACCUAUUCUAGAUAGGGAAAAAUACAAAAAAACAAUUAAGCAAAACCUACAAAAAAGAAUAACAAAUAUGAAAUAUAAUUGAGCAUGGUUUUAGACUUUUAGUUAACUCACCAUCCUUGAAUAUUUUGUCCUGUGCCAGGGCCGCGAUCCGCUGCUUGAGAUGGCUGUUACCGACGCUGAGGAUCGACCGCUGGUGAUCGAGGAACGCCACUCGGGGCGACAAUGCAGAUACCUCAGUCUACAUGCAAAUAUAUACCCCGAAAAUAAAAAUUUAAGUAUGCAUGUAAUAACCACUUUCUGAAAAAAAAAAAAAAAAAAAAAAAAAAAACAAAAAAAAAAAAAAGUAUCAAUAAGAGAAUUGGAACUUAUCAUGUAAACGCUAGUGGCAUGCACUGUUUCAUUACUAAUAACUCAACGAACUCAUUUGUAAUGUUGCAUCAGAGCCAAUUCUUCUAGUUUAAGUAUAUAAUUUUUAGCCUAGCUAGUCUCUAAGGUAUNAUAAGAAAAAAAAAAAAAAAAAAAGAGAACAAAAAAAAAAAAGAAUCCUUAAGAGAACAGGAUCCUAUCAUGCAAACUCUAGUUGCAUGCACUGUUUCAUUACUAAUAACUCAACGAACUCAUUUGUAAUGUUGCAUCAGAGCCAAUUCUUCUAGUUUAAGUAUAUAAUUUUUAGCCUAGCUAGUCUCUAAGGUAUUGAUGUUUUGGGCAUUAAAAGUCACAUCCUCAACCUUUGAUUUAUGGGUUUGAACUGAUCCUUUAUUUUUUUCAAUUUUUGUAAACUGGGACCUAUUUUCGUGAACUGGGACCUCCUAAUAUUUAAAAUGUUACUGCAUGUGCUUCUAAUAUUAAAGAAGGGAUUAAUUUUUAUGCAGAUACCUGCAAUCAUAGUGAAUUACAGAUAUAUCCCUACAAAAUUCAACUUUCAUAUAUUGUUUCUACAAAAGCCCUAAUAUUUAGAAAUAUGUCUCUACUGUUAGAAUCCAUUAGAAAACUUUAAUUAAUCCUAAUUAGUUUAUAAGAUAACUUGAUAUUUUUGUCCCUCUUAUAUUAUAUUACUGUGACUUUUAGAGGAACAUAUUUGUCAUGACAAAAUUGACAUUUCAUUUAAAAUAUAAAAAGUUCUAUAACGGUAACAAAUCAGAGUAACAUAUUUGAAAAUAUUAGAAUUUUUAUGAGAACAACAUAUGAAAGUUGAACUUUAGAUAUAUAUUUAUAAUUUACUAUAUUUAUAGGGACCUAUAUGCAUUUAACCCUAAAAGAAGAAUGUGGUAGGGACAUGAUAAUGCAUGCUAAAAAAGAAGCUCUUUUUUCUCUUGCGAGAAAAUUGAAGAGGUACAUAAAAUUACAAAUUCAUAGCAAUGGGAAUUAAUUAAAUUGCGGAGUGCCAUGUGGGUACGUAGCAAUGUGCCUAGCAAUUGCAAUUAAUAAAAUUGUUUCUAUACAUAUGAAGAGAGAUUUUACUUUACUUAACACCACUAUUAUUUCAAGAGCAAUACUACUAAAUUAUGCAUAUAAACUUUACACUCUAUUCAUCCAAAAACUCUUUUUUUUUUAUAUCAGUCUUAUCAUUUUUGUAACAUUAAAAUUCUAAAAGAAAUAACUAAAUUCUCAGAUGAGAUUGUAAGGUUUGCGCCCAACUUAGGUGCACAAGAAACAUUUCUCUAAUUUUAACCAAAUUAAAAAGGAAAAAUAAAACCAUAAUGAUCUACAUUUGCAUUGAGAGGGAACAUAUAUAAUGUUGGUGUACGUUUGUUAUUAUCAAAAAACAGUUUGUAAAUAGUCUUAAUUAAUUCUGUCAACGCACAUAUAUGAUGGAGAUCAUAUAUAAUCAUGCCAUGUGUACCUCCACAAACAAAAUAGAAUAACACAUGGGAAAUUUUGCCAUCAAAAGCUCCUAGAACGAAAGGGGCUUAGGACUACUUAAAUCUGAUAUUAUGUUGUUUAAAAAAUUGAUUUAAUAGAAUAUAAUAGCGUAUCUUAUGUCAUUUCAAAGAGACGAAGGAUUUAAAAAAUAUGAAGGACCCAAUUGCAAAAAUAUUUGAAACUUAGGGUAAAUUAAAACUCAAAUUCAAAAUUUGGAGAAUUAAUGACACGCAUCUCUCCCAUUAGCUAACACUACACAUACCUGUAACGUAGUCACGCUACGUUCGAGCUCCGCAAUGUAUUGGAGCUUCCUCACUCGCGACCUCUGCGCCGAUUGCCUAUUAGCUAAAAUCCUGCAAUUAAUAAUUCAACUCAGUUAAUUAAGCAUAAUUCAAUGAGAAACAAAUUAAUUACGAUAUUUAUAUGUUAAUCCUGCUAGGUGACUUGCUACGACACGAGUCUGAGGUUUUUGUGAUCAAGAAUAAUACGAUUGGUUAUAUAAGACUGAAUUAUAUAUUCAUAUGUUUUACUUGUUCUUAUUCUUAUUUAUUAUUAUUAUUAUGAUUUUGCGACAAAUUUUUUUUUUUUCUUUCUUUGGUUUAAAUGAGCUACAUUGUGGCGUAAUUCGACCGUUGGGCUCGCUAACCUUUUGACUCUCCUGGUGUCCCUGCUCGGCCUCGCACUGGCUCUGCGCCUCUUCGCACUCGGCCGCGCCGGCCGCCGCCUUGUCGUCGCUGACGCUGUUGUGGUCCGACGGCGUCGACGGUGCUGACGACGCCGACGGAGGCGGCUGCGGCAUCGGCAUUGGCAUCGGCAUCGGCGGCGGCGGGGCCCCGGCGUCGUCGGAGAACAUGGACAUGAGCUGGUCGUCGUCGAGGCGGUCGAAUUCGGCGGCCGGCGCCGCGGGGCCGGCCUCGAGGAAUGGGCCGGAGUCGCUGACGGAGCGGCGGUGGGCCCCGCGCUUCGCGGCGGAGAAGUCGAGGAACUCAUCGACCCACGAGGGCUGCAGGGUGGCCGCACUAGUAGUCGUAGCGGCGGCGGCGGGCCAGUUGAGGGAACACGUCAUCAUGCUGCAUGGGAUCUUGGGCGGAAGCUGCGCCAUAACGACGAGAUAAUCUUUCUCUCUCUACCUGUCUCUCUCCGCUCUAACUUUCUGAGCUAUUUCUCGUUCGAACGAAAAAAAGAAAAGAAUGAAAAGAAUCACAUGACAAGGGAAGAAGAGGAAGACAGCUUAGACACAGCUGGGUGGUGGCCGGUGGAGGGAAGAGAGGUUGGGGAUUAACGGCACAGCACAAAAGUCGCAGCUGCAGUUUUUUUUAGAUGUAAGUGGGGGAAUCAGUGACCACGUGCAGAUGUGACCGUACAUCUCUCGUGCUCCUUAUAGAGCGCCCAACUCUCUCUCUCUCUCUCUCUCUCUCUCUCUCUCUAUAUAUAUAUAUAUAUAAUUAGGCUACUAUACUAUCUAUAGUACGGGAGCUCCCGUACUAUAGUGUUGUUUUCGAUCUUAGGGCAUUCAAAUCAACGAUCCACACCGUUAAAUAUGAUCUAGGGUAUAUGAAAUUCUUAGAAAUAAAAUUUUAGUUCUUUUCAAUAUCGUUUACUUAGUAAAUAAAUUAUGUCAAAAUGGACGGUGGGAAUUGAAUACUCUUUAAAAUUUGAGCAUAGGACUUUUAAAUUCAAGAUCAAGAAUGUUAAUCUUAAUCUAUAUAGUUUAAAGAAUUUUCUAUCAAAAUUUGAAGAAAUUUAGAUUCUUCUACACCGUUAAACUCCAAACUCGUCAUAAUAGUCUUUGAAAAUUGACAAUUUUGAAAUAGUUUGAUCAUAAAGUAAACUUUGUCGAAAAAAUAUAAAAUUUUACUUCUAGAAACUUUAAAUANAAACGGUCUAUAGCGACACUUUUAAAUGUAGGUACAUGUCAAAAAAGUGCCGCUAGCUAAAAUUACCGACACUUUUAAAAGUGUUGCUAUAUGUGGGGUCGCUAAGUAUAUAGUGACAGUUAAAGAGUGUCGCUAUAACCUAAAAAGUGCUGCUAAUUUACCAACACUUAUUUAAGCAUUUAGCAACCGCCGAAACUCUAUCUCGUUGGCUGCGGUGGCGGAGGAGGACGACAGGAAAGGCUUUUCGUCUAGAAUUUCAAUGAAUUGAGUGAAGAGAGAAGAAAAGAUGGUAAUUGAUUUUUCUUUUUUUUUUCUUUUCUGUUUGUAAUCGGGCCAAAUGAACUGGGUGUGGUGGGUUGAGUAGAGUAAUCUUUUAUUUUUAAUUGGAUUGGGCUUUAUAUUUAGGCAUUAGUAAAUAUUUUUUAAGUUUUAGCAUAAAUGAAACACUUACUCAAAAGUGUCCCAAACAUGUGUCCCUAUAACCUAAUUCUGUUGUAGUGUGAAAAUGAUCCAAAGGGUAGAUCCAACGGCAGAAAACUUGGUAGCACUAAAUACUUCGUGCUAUUAAUAACAUAGUAGCCGGACUCUACAUAUAUAUAUAUAUAGAAUUAGGCUACUAGACUAUCUAUAGAACCGGAGCCCCAGUACUAUAGUCUUGUUUUCGAUUUUAGAGUAUUCAAAUUAACGAUCCACACCGUUAAAUAUGAUUUAGGAUAUAUGAAGUUCUUAGGAAUAAAAUUUUAGUUUUUUUCGACAUCGUUUACUUAGUAAAUAAAAUUAUGUCAAAAUAGAAGGUGGAAAUUGAAUAAUUUUUAAAAUUUGAGUAUAGGACUUUUAAAUUCAAGAUCAAGAAUAUUAACCUUAAUCUAGAUAGUUUAAAAUAUUUUCUAUCAAAAUUUGAAAAAAUUUAGAUUCUUCUACACCGUUAAACUCCAAACUCGCCAUAGUAGCCAUUGAAAAUUGACAAUUUUGAAAUGGUUUGAUCAUAAAGUAAACUAUGUCGAAAAAAUACAAAAUUUUAUUUCUAAAAACUUUAAAUACUCUAGAUCAGUUUUAACGGUGUGGAUCGUUGAUUUGAAUACCCUAAAAUCGAAAACGAGACUAUAGUACCUGAGCUCCGGUACUAUAGAUAGUACAGAAGACUAGCUAUAUAUAUAGAGAGAGAGAGAGGGAGAGAGUAAGGCUACUAUGCUUCUGUAAAUACGGAGUCUUCCGUGCUUUCAGAUCAUUUUUCAUGUUGCGACUUUCGAAUCGUCGAUCGGCUCCGUUAAACUUGAUCUAGAGUAUUUGAAGUACCUAGAAAAUAAACUAUACGAUUUUUCGAUAUUAUUUGUCUAGUGAACGAAGGGGUUCAAAAUCAACGGCUGAAAAUAAAAAUCUUACAAAACGUAAUAAUAUGACAUUAAAAUUUUAGAUCAAAGAUAUUGAUCUUGUUUUAUAUAGUAUAAAGAAUUUUCUAUCAAAAUUUCACGGGAUUUGAAUAUUUCUACACCAUUAAACUUGCAAACGGCUCACUACGGCCAUUAAAAUUAUUGAUUUUGAGCCCCUUCGAUCACUAGGCAAAUAAUAUCGAAAAAUCAUAAAAUUUAUUUUCUAGAUACUUCAAAUACUCUAGAUCAAGUUUAACGGAGCCGAUCGACGAUUCGAAAGUCGCAACAUCGAAAACGAUCUGAAAGCACGGAAGGCUCCGUGCUUCCAAAAGCAUAGUAGCCUCAUAUAUAGUAGAGUUACUAUGCUAUUGGAAGCAUAGGGGAUUUAGUGCUUCUGACUUUUUGGCUCUUAGAUCAACUUCUUUGAUCAUUUCUAACCUUUGGAUUAAUACACCACUCAACCCUAGGGGUACUACUAAACCCUAGGAGGGACCGCAAUCAUCUCAACCGUAUAUUUCUUGAUCUAAGGAUCAGAAAGUUGGAAGUAUAAAACCCUCUAUACUUCCAAUAGCAUAGUAGCUCUACUACACUAUAUAUAUAUAUGAACAAACUAUCCUUUUUAUCAUUUGUUGUGAAGACGAGGAGCACAUGCUGUUGGCUUAAAUGGGCUAGCAUCCUGCCCUGUGGCAGGAGGCCAUGUGGGCCAAGUCAUGUUCGAAAUGGCGUGAGGCUGGGUGGGCCGAGUCAUGUUCGAAGUGGCGUGAGGUUGGUUGAACCGAGUCACAAUCGAGACCCGUGGGCUCUAUAUCUGUACGCUUUAAGUGAAUUGGUUGCAUAUUUCUAACAGCUCGAAUUUUUGGGAUUAAUGGUUAGCGCUAACGAUCCGACGCAUGCAUGUGUUGCAAAUUCUGGUCUAGUUGAGUUACAUAUAUAUACAGAGGCUCGAGAGCAAAGUAAAUGCGCAGAAGUGGUGAUUAAGUUUAACAAUGAGGCCCAUUUAGGGCUUUUAAUAUUUUAUCUUCCAAUACUGUAAAAUUAUAAUGACAAUCCCCGCAAAAGAUACAUGCAAACAAACUUCAUCCUGAGAUUGGAAGUGCCUCUGAUGGAGAGAAUAAUUGAAAGCGUUUUUUAAAGUUUGUGAGAGUAGGCUUGAAAAUAUUUUGUUACGAAUUAAAAUUUGUUAAUAUCAUUUUUCGGGAUUGUUUACUUGUAGAUCGAUCUAUUUGGUGAACCCUUUGGUUUCAAUAGGUUUUGGGUUAAUUAUAUUCACAUAGCAUUAAAAUUUUCCUCCUAUUCUUUUACCUCUCCUACUAGUUUAAUUAAAUGGCAUGGUUAACUUUAUCUCCAUUAGGAUAAAUAUAAUUUACUGUUGUACUACAUAUUUAUACACAUAAUAAAUUAAUACGAUACUGUUUUAUUAUAUAUAUAUAAUAAAUUAAUAUAAUCUGUAAUUUUUUUAUUUUUUUAUCAUUAGACAUGAUUUUUUUAUUUUUUUAUUUUAAAUUUUUUUAUUCUUAUAUUAUUUUUUUUAUAAUUUUUGUAGUCUUAUUGAAAAAAUAAAAAAACAUAUCACUACUUACGUUCUCCUCAACUAAUUCUUUUAUUUGGUGCAAUAGCAUUAGGUCACUUCCAAAUACCAAGUGAAUAUAUGUUUUCAAUAAGCAUAUCAGAACAGAGAAACUAUAGCAUUUCCAGUAACCAUCUAAGAGUCCCUUUGUUACUAAGGCUUCAUAGAAUUAUAGCACUUGAAGCUAGUUUUAGCUUAAAAAUGUAUAGAACUUAUCUGAUCAACUAUCCAGCCUUUUAAAAUUUUGAUGUUGACACAUAAUCUUUCAAUUUAUUUGAUUUGAAUUAGUGAAUAGCACUUUAAUUCAAAAUUUGACAGCGUCAUUUAUCUUUACAAAUUUAAUUAUAGUNAUAUUUAUACACAUAAUAAAUUAAUACGAUACUGUUUUAUUAUAUAUAUAUAAUAAAUUAAUAUAAUCUGUAAUUUUUUUAUUUUUUUAUCAUUAGACAUGAUUUUUUUAUUUUAAAUUUUUUUAUUCUUAUAUUAUUUUUUUUAUAAUUUUUGUAGUCUUAUUGAAAAAUAAAAAAACAUAUCACUACUUACGUUCUCCUCAACUAAUUCUUUUAUUUGGUGCAAUAGCAUUAGGUCACUUCCAAAUACCAAGUGAAUAUAUGUUUUCAAUAUGCAUAUCAGAACAGAGAAACUAUAGCAUUUCCAGUAACCAUCUAAGAGUCCCUUUGUUAUUGAGGCUUCAUAGAAUUAUUAUAGCACUUGAAGCUACUUUUAGCUUAAAAACGUAUAGAACUUAUCCGAUCGUCUAUCCAGCCUUUUAAAAUUUUAAUGUUGACACAUAAUCUUUCAAUUUAUUUGAUUUGAAUUAGUGAAUAGCAUUUUAAUUCAGAAUUUGACAGCGUCAUUUAUCUUUACAAAUUUAAUUAUAAUAUUUCAUGCAAUUCUUAUAACUAUAAAUUUAUUAAAGUUAGUAAUUAAUUAAAAUUUUAAAUUUUACUCAAAUAGAUUGAAAGGUUGAAUAGUAAAAUCAAAAUUUUGAAAGGUUGGAUAAUUAGGUCAAAAUGGUCAAUAAUUCACGUAAACGCUGUACAUUUUUACCCUAUUUUUUUUAAUUUGUUCUUUGAACUUUCAACAUCAACAAAGAGACCUUGAACUCAAUAGUUUCCCUUUAGUCCCGAGCUCUUUUAGAAAGCAAAUUAUUGCAGACACUUAUAUAUAUAGUACUGAAGUUUUGAAUUUUGAAUGUCGAAUUUAAAAGAUUGAGAACAAAAAGAUUACAGAAACUAAUAUUGCAAUUUUUCCAAUCUUGGUGAAAGGAUAAAACUGAAUCCAUGAAGAGACAAAAUUAAUGCAAGACCUUGAAUUACAAGGUAGUACAGUGGAAAUACUAUCAUGUGAGACCUUUAAUGUUAUUUCCAAAUGGAAAAGGACAUAAUAUUGGUGAGGAAUGCUUUAAAUAAUGUGAUACAAUCAAUUUAUCCAAAAGAGUUAAGCUAUAACGUUAAAUAAUUCAAAAUUAUUUUCUUCAAAAGUUUAAACUCGUAAAGAAUGGUAUUUUUAUUUUUAUUUUUAUAUUUAAUGCUCAUCCUCACAUCUGAGCUCGAGACUUUUUUAUAGUCACAUGAUAUGAAUUUCAAUUAAAUGAAAGAAUAUGAUUUUGGAGAACAUGGCUUAAGUUUUUGGAGAAAACAAGUGUUUCGCAUAAUUUAAGAUACAAGAUAAUUAAUGAUGUUUUAAUAUUCAUAUUGAUAAUAUGUUAAACAAUGUGAAACAAUAGAAGAAAAUGAUAUUUUUAAUAUUUAUAUUGAAAAAAUAUUAAAUAAUGUGAAAUAAUGGAUAUUCCCAAAAACUUAAGCUACCAAGAAAUAAUAUUUUUAAUAUUAUUAUAUAUAUAUAUAUAGUAUAUAUUAUAUAUAUAUAUAUAUAAUAUAUAUAUAUAUAUAUUAUAUAUAUUAUAGUAUUAUAUAUAUAUAUAAAGUAAGAGUUAGUUAUGCUAUCGGAAGUAAAAAUAGUUGGUGCUUCCGAUUUUUUAGGACCCUUAGAUCAACUUCUCAUUAUAAUUUCUAAACUUAUUGAUUAUAUUAUUAACCAAUGGGGACCACUUAACCUAGGGGGACCACUCAAAUCUAAGGGGGGCACGUAUUAUCCAACCAUAUGAAUCUUUGAUUCCAAGGGCUAAAAAUCAGAAGCACAACUCUUUAUGCUUCCGAUAGCAUAAUAGCUCUACAAUAUAUAUAUAUAUAUAUGUAUUAUAUAUAAUAUAUAUAUAUACAUAUAUAUAAUAUAUAUAUAUAUAUAUAUAUAUAUUAUAAUAUAUUAUCUCUUAAAUAACCGAAAUAACUAAUUUCUUGAGAAGUUUAAACUACUCGAUAAAAAUAUGUUUAAUAAAUUUAUAUUCAAGGGAUUAAGGGCCUCAUUUGGCUCGGGGUUAAAGUGAGAACAACGAAAGUUAUUCCUGCUAUUCCACCAGGCAGGAUAUAUUUUGGUAAGGAUAAAAUAAUUCAGUCAAACCUUGCUAUUUUCGAUUAAUCCAGAAUAGUUUGGGAUAAAUAAUUCCACCCUUUUAGUGGAUGAUUGCUAUUACAAGACUUAAUUUCAAGCUUAUUUACUGAAUUAAAAUAAAUUAUAUGGACAUGAUAUAUAUAUUACAUCUUAUAAUAAAUUAUUUUUAUUGUAAAAAUUAUUAUAUGUAUUAUAUUAAUACAUAUUAAUAUUAUUUGUACUUAAAUAUUAUAAUAAAUUUUAAUUAAAUAUGUUACUAAAUUAUUUUUAUUAAAUUUGUGUUUAAGUGGAAUUUGAAAAAAAAAAAAGUAUUAUAUUUCAAAUAUUUUUUACAUAGCACAUAAAGGUGUCCAAAAUAUCCGAUAUCCCAUACCCGACCCGGACCCUAUCCGGACCCGAACCGAACCCGAUAAAAAAUGAGUAAUAUACGGAUAAAAAAAAUUACCCAUUAAAGUUUCGGGUAUGGGUCCGGAUAUUUUAUACCCAUACUCGAUUUGGACCCGACCCAAACCUAACUUUUAAAUGGGUAGGGUCCGGAAUAGUUUUCAAAUCCGGACCUGGACCCGGACCCGAUGAAAUAUCCGAUAGUAAAUAAAAAAAAAAAAAACUUUUGAAGUUGAAGAAUCAAUUUUAAUAUGACUUAUAGAUGUUGAGUCACUACGUAUUUUCAUCCUAAUGAAACCCUAGCCGUCUCUUUUACUCAUUACUUUUUUCUAAUUUUUUUACUCUUUGUUUUCUACUUCUUUUUUUCAUUUCAUUUCCGUCAACAAUAUUUCAUUGUCAUCAUCAUCAUCAGUGUCAUCAUCAUCAUCAGCGACAAUAUUUCUUUUGAAUGAAUUUUAUUGGACGGUAAAACUUAUUAGAAUGCGAGUAUUUUUAUGGUGGGCUUUAUAGUUUGUCUAUUGACUAUUUAAUAAAGUUUAUAAAAAAAAUAUAUUUAUACGGAUAUUCGUAUCCGAUCUAGACCCGAUCCAUAUCCGGUCUUGAACGGGUAGUAUACGGGUAGUCACUACCCAGACCCGCUCAAAUAGACCCGAUGGGUAUAUUAGUAAUUUUAGUACCCAGAUCCGAACCCGACACGAAAUUAAAUGGGUAGGGUAUAUAUAUUUUUUGUAAUCAUUUCUUUUUAGGGUAUGGGUAUAGUAUAUUAAUUAUCCGGACCCGACCCGGUCCACGGACAUCUUUAAUAGCACAUUAUAUUAUAUAAUAUAAUUUAUUGCAAACUAUUAAUCAUAUUUUAUAUUAAAUUCAAUAGUCACUUUUUUUUUUUUACUUUUUCACUAUUCUAUAAAAUUAACCAAACAUAAUUUUAAUCUUGUUAACUAUACCAAAAUGAUAAACUAUUUGGAAAGGAAAAGAUCAUUUUAAUGCUCGUUAUUUUCGAAUCAAACAAAACGGGCCCUGAGACAAUAAAUGUGUUGUGGGAAUUUAAGGAAAUGAAAAAAAAAAGAAAAAGAAAAAAAUGAGCUGUCCAAAGAGAGUACGAAGAGAGAGAGAGAGAGAGAGAGAGGGAGAGAGAGAGAGAGAGAGAGAGAGAGAGAGAGAGAGAUAUGGAGAGGAUGGGGUUGAGAUUUGAAUCAUGCACUGCCAUGUGCAGUGUUCGCUUGCCCACGCUUUGUCUCUCCACGCUAUCACAUGCAGUCAUGCUACUCUUGUGUCUCCUCCCCUUUCCCUUUCCAUUCUCUCUCUCUCUCUCUCUCUAAUAUAUUCCCUUUUUCUUUUUUUCCUUUCCUUUUUCUUUUCUUUUUUUGGAUAAUUGUCUAUGUAUCUAUCAAAAUUUUUGAAAUAUUUUAUUUAUUCAUACUUUUUUUAUUUCAAAUAUGCAUCUUAUAUGUUUCUCCGUUAUUCGAAAAUACUCCUUCUAUUAGUAUUCGUUAAGUCAUUUCGAAUUAAAUCUGAAUUAAAUUUCUAUCAUAGUGAAAAAAAUAAUAAAAUACCUGUUUUACUCCUAUAAAACUUACAAAUAAAAAAAGAUUGUUAAGGAUAGAAGGAUAUAUUUGAAGGAACAAAGUGUCAGAAUAUUUGUCUUGCCCCUAACUUAAGGACCAAUUAAAAAAAAUUGAUAAUAGUAAAAAAAGUAUAGUUAAAAAGGUAAAAUUAUAAUUUCAUAAAAAUAACGUUGUUCCUGAUAGCUUACUAUCAGAAUUUAAUUUUAAGAAUAUAUUUAAAACUUUUAAAAUCUUAAAUAAAAAUUUUUAAUAUUAGUCUUCUAAAAAGAAUAAAUAAGAAAAUGGGAAACUUCUCAGUAUAUAUAAGAUUCCUUUUUUUGUGCGUUGAUGUGAGAUCAUUUUUUUCUAUCUUGUCCGUGCAGCUUCUUGGCGCUUUGUGUAGUAAUAAGGUGUCGGGUGUCCUUUUCGGCCUAUUGCUUUUGCCUCCACCGGUGGAGGAGUGGGAUUUGCUAAGGAGGUUUCAACAUGGAAUAAAGAGGAACAGUAAGGACUAUUUUGUAGAUUUUUUUGGGUGUUUUGGUAGAUUUGAAAAGAAUACUGGUCUGGUAAAGUUUAGGAGACAAAGUGGUACGUACGGUCUCACAUAUUAUUUCGUCAUUCGGUAAAAUUUCACUUACAUUCUGCAAUUUGUUAGCCUCUUCUGAUUAAAAAAAAUUCGGAGCCUAGUCUCGUACCAUGUUAGCUUGAAAAUUAAUAUUAUUGCGAGACUUCAUAGAACGUAUCUUUCCAUACAGUCUGCUAAAAUAACUGAAAGAUAGAAAUGAUGCACAAAGUGAAACUGUUUUAUCUGCCAUUUAUAAAAUAAUGAUAGAUAAGAAUCAUAAGAUGAUCUUAUGUUGAAGAUAUUUCCCCACCGGUCUUAACUAGGACUGGAUUAAGGUUGGUUGUUGCACUUCAUAACAUCAAAGUAGGCUUCAUAAUAGCAAUUUGCAAACUCUCUAAACAACCAUGUGGAUGUGGCACACAAUACUGUUCUAGUCCUGUAGCAAAUUUACUCUCCUUUUUAGGCCUACACAUUCCUCUUUUACAGCUCACACAAACCACAAACAUAUCAGAGCAAAAAGGAUUUAACGCUGCAGUACUUUGGUGCAACAGUGCCAGAACAGUACUUGGGUACAAAGGUAUCGUUUGCUUUUCAGUGCAUGUGAUAUAUACAGCCGAUAAUAUACAGCCGAUAAGAAUGAAAAGGAGAGGGAAAAAAAUAGAGAGGAGAGAGAGAUAAAUAAGAGGAGCUGAGAGGAGUAAAAACAGGAACAAAAUUCUUAACAACAUAUAUAGUAGUUUCCUGAUUAUAAAAGAAAGCUUAAAAGCCUACAUAUAGACUCUUUACACUAAUCCAACACCUAAAAAUUAGAAAUCUUUUGAAAACACUAGAUUCGAUCUAAUCUAUACUAGCCUAAUUAUUGAUUUAUUUCCAAUCAACUGGCUAAAAUAAACACCAAAAAUAUAAGAAAUCAAAUGACGUGAUCCCGGCCUGGAUUGAAGUGCAUCAUUAACCCUUUAUGCAGCUUCUAAAUUUGAGGUUUGAUACUUCCAUGUAAGGAUUUAGGUAUUGUGACACGGAGGUACUGGUAUAUGCUGAUCAUAAAAAAUAUAUGUAUACCAACAAAUUUUUCCAACCUUUGUUUUUUUUUUUUGCACCUAUAUAUUCUAGUUGCUUAAUUGUAUAUCUUUAUCAAACGUUUUUAUACUUUAUUGAGAUGGCUAUUUACUAAUUUCAAAGAAAAAAAGUUUUAAACUACACACCCGCAUGAGGGCCGUACCAUGCGGAUACUUUGUUGAUACGAUAUGGCACAAUAUGCAUGCACCAUAUUGAUGAAAACUUAAAUCCUUACUUCUAUGUCACCUUACUAACUGCCUAUGGACAUAAAGUAAGACAACAAGAAUUUCCAAAUGACUUAAUAUGUGGAAUCCUAGAUGAUUUGUAUACUGAGAGUAUGUUUGGUUCAUGAUUAGAAUGAGAAUGAGAAAUGAAAUUAGUUUGAACUAAAAUGGCAAAGGGAAUGAAAAAUCAUUCAAAAUUGUUUGGUGCGUCAAAUUAGAGACACAAAUUGUGUAGCUAAUAAUAGCCAUCAUAGCAACCAAUGUUUUUUUUGCUCACAAAGGGAUUUCCUGCUGUUCAAAGAACUACCUGAUAAGUUAUACAUUAAAAAAAAAAACCAGAAUAAAGAAGCAGAUCUUGUAGUCUGCUGCUAAAUGCAACAUACCAGCAAUAUAUUGCCAGCUUCCCAGUCACUACCAAGUUAAUAGCAUCAAGAUUUCUGGAAUCCUAAGGAAAAGUAGUUUUCUAGCAAAGACACAGAGUAUUCCUGUACCAUCUGCAAUUCCCUGGGUUCAUAUAAAUCAUCAUGAAUAUAUUCAAACAAUAUGCACAAAGAAGUUGCUCUCAUGACUAAGGCUUCGCUUGGUAUCGAGGCAUAUCUAACAUUAUUAGAUAAAAUGGAGUUAGGAUAAAAACAUAUAAAUAUAUACUUCUGCAUUCUCAGGUGGGAUCGCAGAAAAUAUAUCAUAACUGACUCAUCGCAACAUACAGAACACUAUAUUACGUAUGGAAACAAACAGAUAUUUUUCCAUCGUACUUUCUCACCGCACGUAAUGCAAUCUCCCCGCAAUCCCAAACGAAGCCUAAGAAGCACAUUACGGCACAUGUAAUCAUGUCAAGAUGGCUGUAUUUAUGUUUGUCUUUCCUCUCCAACACUCUAUGCAUUAUUUUGUUAAUAGGAACUAAAGACAAAAAGAAGCACCACCUCUUGUAGCGAGUAGCGACAUUGAAAUUAGUACGCAAACAGAACUAUUGCAUUAGAUUAACAAAUUAGAUAUUUUUCCCUAGUCAAACUCUAUAGACAAGAUACCUACACUCGACUAUUCCACACUGCAUAAGUCCACACAACAUAAUUGUACUGCACAAUUUACCAGUGGAACUCCAAUAAAGAUUGAUUAUCGUACAACAUUCCACGAAAACUUAAUUAUUCAAGACUAUGUACCAGUAAAAAUCUCCUAUCAAUCUCAUAAACAAGAUAGAUAAAAGCACAAAUUAUAAAAAGCUGGGACACUUUACUUGGCAGAGGCGAUGAAUGUAUGAUAUAAAAAGUAAUGUGUCUACUUAUUUAAGUCAUAAUUGAUAGUCAUAAUUGAUAGAAAGCGUUUUGUGACAUUGAAUAGCUUUCUAGUUCAAGUAUCAAACAACAAGAUGAACGGGCGAUGGAUGCCCAACUUACAAAAUUUUCUAAUACACAUUGUGGGUGAUAUAGAUAAUACUAAAUGAUCUGGAUUUUAAAUUUAUAAUUUUCAUAUUUGAAUUUUGAGCUACACAUAAACACUCUAGAUUAUAUAGUAAUCAUUCAAAAGGACAAGAAGAAAACAGAAAAACAAACCCAUAACAAAUAGAUGGGACUCUGCUUAUCAGUUGUUUAUGAAUAUUUAUUUUCCGAGUUUGCAUUUCAUAUAGUGAAGCAAAACUAUCAUGAAAACUAGAAAUUAAAUAUAUUUUCACUUGCUUCAUUGAGUAAUUGCACAUUGAUAGCUUUUACUUCAAAUUAAAAGUUUAUGCAUAUUAUGAUGUCCUCUAAAACGGCAUUUCAUGUAAAGACAAUAUUCCUAAUUUGAUGAUAGUAAACAUCUCUGUUUUUCUCUUUCAAAUGAUAUAUUUGUCCAUUUAAGUGUACAUGUUAACGAAUACUAACAACAGGAUAAACAAUUUGUCCUACAUUUUCUAGAUAUCUUGGUCAUGUAGUGAUAAAUAUUCUCAAUAUAUAAAUGCAAACUGUUCUUCAAGUGACAUGUCAUUUAAUAUUUUUUACACAAUCUUGAGAGAGAUUAUUAUACAAGUACCAAGGUAAUGAGUCGAAGAAUUUACUAAGAUUGCCAAUAAAGACCUUAAAAUUGAGAUCUAUUGCUAUUAUAUUGUAUAUAAGAUAAGAAGGCUAAACCAUUUCCCCUUGAAUAAUACAGUAAGGGAAAAGGUUUUAGUCACAGAAGGCAUGAUCAUAAAAAGUAUAGAAACCAUUUCAACCAAUAUUUAACAAAAGCAACCUGGCAGGGGUAUUUGCACAAUUUUUGCAUAUUUAAAGGGUACAUAUAUGCAAAAGCGCAUAAAUAAAAUUAUAGUCACUUUUACUGACCGAUAAAGAAAAUGUCUUGUCAAUGGCACCAUCUGAAUGAAUUUAGACAUCUUUACAUCCAAGAACACUUGCAUCCUACUACUGGAAGCUGAAUAAGCAUUUGCUUAUCUCAUUAACACAGUUAAAAGUAAGUCACAAAAAACACUAACGAAAACUUGUCAACGAACCAAGCCUUAGAAUAGUAACAGCACAUUGUAAGACACUAAAUUAUCAAACUUUUUGCUUUCAUAUAUAGAAGUAUGUAAAUACAUGCAUAUUUCUAUUUCCUAGCCUAGAUGAGAAAACAAAACGAGUAUGCCGAAGUAUGCUAUGCACAAUUUGUCCGCCAGAAGUAUGAACAAAUGAGAGAGUCAGUCAUUGUUACUGGAUCCUCUUACCUUCUCAGAAAGAAUUUUAAGUUCCCGAUCAAGAUCGACCAAUUUUCUAGCCAAAUUUGUAAACCAGUCAACAUAUCCCGCAAAUUUCAAACACCAAACUCUCUGAAAAUCAUUGAUCAUCUCUGAAGCCACCAAACAAAGUUCAUGUUUGCCCAUCAAACGUUUCUUCUCCAACUCAAAAUUACAAAGAACCAUCCCAUCAGACCUACUACUAUCAAUGUGUUGAGGCCUGCCAUUCUUCAGAAGCUGUUUUCUAUACUCAUCAAAUCCAUUCUUCUCAUCCUUUAAAGCUUUUCUGUAAUCAUUAACCAAACAGCGCAUAGCUCUGAGAUCAUGCUCGAAUUGAAACUUGUCUUGUCGUCUCUUCUUUAGAUCUUCUACCCUGGCUUUCUCCAUAGAUUGGAUGAUGAGAUCCUUUUCCGCAAUCGAUCGCUUAAGGUGUUGAAGUUCCGAUUGGGCAUUUAUGCAUGCUUGAUUCCUUUCAAAGGACAUCAUCUUCAUCCUUCGCAUCCAAUCCUGGACUUGUUCCGUGUAAGCAUUGAAAUCAAAUGGUAAAUGAUUCGAACUGCCGAAACACUGCAUGCUGUUCUGCCUCCGAGUACGAUCAACGAAAUGUGCGUCAUUGCCGCCACCGCCGCUGCUGCCGCCACCACCAGUGUCACGACCAUCACGGACACCAUCGACAUUGUCGUCAUCAUCAUCAUCAUCAUCAUCAUCAUCAUCAUCAUCAUCAAUUUCUACAAUUUCCCUCUCACAACUACUUACAACCAAGUGGGAACCAUUAAAGCCAUGAUCCCUCAAAACAGAAAAAUCUCCCGAAUUCAGUGCGAGGGAUUUCGGAUAAAGGCCACGAGUGUUACAAUCUCGCUCUACAUCAACAAGAUGAUGAUUCCUAAAAAUGUAUCCCUCAGAGGAAGAAACCCUUACCCCUCGGCGAUCGCCGCACCUCUCCUCCACCGCAACCUCCCCGUCUCCUCCCUCAUCGCUCGAAUCCUCCACAUCCACAACCAAAACCGCAUCCUCGCUGCAGCGCCGGAGGAGGCAGGGGCGCUUAUCGGGGACGGAGGAGGGGAAGGGGUUCUUCCUCUUGGGGGGUUCGUAUACACUUUGAUGCGCCAUUAAUGGUGGGUUCGAACGUGGGUUCGACUAUCGUAGUUGGAGACAUGGGGAAGACAAAGAGGAAUCGGAGGGGGAGAAUGAGAAAGUGAAACGAUUUUUAGGGUUUAUGAGGGGACGGGGGAGAAGGAAAGGGAGCGUGCUUUUCAUGGUUCGAAGAGGAGGGGAGGGAAAAGGAAAACACGAAAGUCACGUUUUGUGUAGGAACAAAUUUUGGAGAUGGCCUUUUUUAAAAAAAAAAAUUGAAUAGAAGCCGUAAAAAUUUCAGUUCGGUUCGGCUCUGUUCGAUUCGUUUUUAGUGGCAUGGAACUGAACAAAUCACGAAAUCUAAUUUGAUCUUAUUUGGUUCGGUUUGAUUUUAAUAGUAAAUAAUUUGAUUUUAGUUUAAAAAUAUCAUUAGAUCAAAAUUUUCAGAUUAGUUUUGGAUUCAAAAACUGAAAAACCAGCUCAAACCGCCCAGAAAACGAAGACUGCGCAGGCCGGCCCGGGCACCCGUAGCCACAUCGGGCCGAGGAAGGCCCGCACCCCCCACUGCGAGAACAUUACGGGCCGGGGUGGGCCCAUAAGCCCGCAGAGGAGAAGGCCGGCCCGGGCUUAUAAGCCGUCAGAGGGGCAGGCCGGGCCGGGCCUAUGUGCCCGCCGCCUGUCAGGCCGGGCCAGCUCUCUCCCUGCUGGGCAGGCCGGGCCGCCAAGCCUGCAGCAGGCCGGGCCUGCCAGGCCAUCAAGCCCGUUGAAUGCUUAGGCCGGACCGCCACCCGCUGCAGGGCGGGACAGCCCGGACCCGAGAGACCCACUACAGGGCGUGCCGGGCCCAGCCCACUCGUCCCACUGCGGGGCGAGCCAAGCCCGCGUGCAUACUGGUGGGCGGGCAUGGCCAGGGCCGGCCAGCUAGUAACAGUGCGGAGAGGGGCGGGCCGGACCCGUAUGAGCGCAGAAGACUGGGCUGAGCCCGUGCGUCGCCCACGUAACGGGCCGGGCCAGUAAGCCCGGUAGCCACAGUUCAGGCCGGACCGGGCCAAUGAACCAGCUGCGGUGCAGGCCGGUCCUGCAAGCCCGUUGCGGGCCGGUCCCGGCCCGCAAGCCUGCUGUGGGACGGGUUGGGCCUGCAAGCCUGCAGAUGAGCGGACCCGACCAGCUAGCCACACUGGGACGGGCCGGGCCGGGCCCACAUAACAGCUGCGGGGCCGGGCCUACUUACCAGCUGGGCCGGCCGGGCCUGCAACCAGCGGGGCCAGGCCUGGGCCUAGCACCCACAGCGCUGUGAGGGGCCCGCCCCCCCUGUGCAGCGUGCCGGGACCACGCGCCCCGCCAGCGAGGAGGCCGGGCCGGGCCCUACGCCAGCGGGCGGAGGUCUGCCCCGCAGCAGUCUCGUUUCUCUUCACGCACAAAGCAAUAAAUAUAAAAGGGGAAACUUCAAAUAUCCCCCUGUAGUUUCGCACUUUCUCACUUUAGUACCCUGUGGUUUAAAGUAUAUCAAGUUAGUAUCAUGUGGUUUCGCACUUUCUCAAUUUAAUACCCUGUGGUUUCAAGUGUAUCAUGUUAGUGCCCUGUGGUUUCUUUUUUGUAUCAAGUUAGUACCAUAUGGUUUUAAUUUUCUCUUUUUAUUAUCCAUUUCGGGGUAUAUAAUUUAACGAAAUAUUAAACCACAUGGUACUGAAGAGAGAAAGUGCGAAAUCACAAGAUACUAACUUGAUACAUUUGAAACCACAUGGUACUAAAGUGAGAAAGUGCGAAACCACAUGGUACUAACUUGAUACAUUUUAAACCACAUGAUACUAAAGUGAGAAAGUGCGAAACCGCAAGGAGGGUAUUUGAAGUUUCCCCAAUAUAAAAUAAAUAAAUAACAGAUUUUUUUUUUUUUUUCAUGCAAUGAGCAGAAAAACAAUACACAAAGAUGUAAUUUUUUUGGCUGACUAAAUAAUUUGAUGCAAUAAAGUUCUAUAUAAUAAUUUAAUUUAGUUGUCUAAAUGUUAAUGUAUUGCUAAUAAAAAAGUAACGUAGCAAUUUUGUGAUCAAUGGUUUGCUGAUAUGCCAUAAUUAAGAUGCCACGUAAUAUUUCAAUAUUUAGUCAACUAAAUUAGAUAGUGGGUUAAUUCUAAAAAUAAAUUAAACUUUGAGAAUUAAAGUGUCACUGACAAAGUUUAAUGACCAAAUGUGCAAUUUACCUUAAAAAUUCCAUCAUGUAAUUACAAUAUUAUUGAUGACAUGCAAUUUUCUAAAUACCAAACAUUAUUAUUAAACUCUAAAACAUUAUAAUUAAACUCUAAACGUUAUCAUUAUACUCUGAAUCCUAAACUCUAAUUCCUUCACAUGUGUUAACCAACAUCUAUUUCUAUUCUUUCUACUACAUUAAAGGAGGGUUUGGGGGACCAAAGGGUGACACGUCUGCCCCCUAUACCCUCCUUUACUCUCUCUCUCUCUCUAAAUUUCUUCAAAUUUUGAGAGAAAAUACUUUAAACUAUUUAGAUUAAGAUUAAUAUUCUUGAUCUUGAAUUUAAAAGUUCUAUGCUCAAAUUUUAAAGAAUAUUCAAUUUUCACCGUCCAUUUUGACAUAAUUAAUUUACUAAGUAAACGAUAUAAAAAAAAAUUAAAAUUUUAUUCCUAAGAACUUCAUAUACCCUAAAUCAUAUUUAACGCUGUGGAUCGUUAAUUUGAAUACCCUAAGAACGAAAACAAGACUAUAGUACCGGAGCUCCGGUACUAUAGAUAGUAUAGUAGCCUAAUUUUAUAUAUAUAUAUAUAUAUAUAUAUAUAUAUAUAUAUAUAUAUAUAUAUNNUAAAUUUUAUAUUUUAAAUUCUAAAUUUUAAUUUUAACUUAUAAUAUUUAUUUUCAAAUUUUAAAAUUUUAAAUCUCUAAACUCUAUAAAAUUAAUUAAUUACGUUUAUUAAUAAUUAAUUAAAUAUAUUAUAUUUAAUUAAUUUUAUUAAUAAUACAUGUAAUAAAUCGUGUAAUAAAAUCUAACUUGAUAGAUGCAAUUUAAAUCACGUAAAAUAUCUCUGUAUAAAAAAUACAGAAUUUAAAUUUUAGAAAUAAAAUUUUAGAAAUAUAAUGUAUAUAUAUGUGUAUAUAUAUAAUUAAUUUUUAUUAAACAAUUUCUUCUACAAUUUUAUUUUUCUUCUAUUUAUUGAUUUUUUAAAAAUUAUUUUGAUAGAUUUAUCUCAAAUCCUUUUCAUAUAAAUCUUUAUAAAAUAAAUUGGUGUAUAAAUUUACUUUGCACAUAUACUAAUAUUAAUAAAUUUUAUUGAAAUAGAUUUAACUAUUAAAUUAUUUUUAUAUAACUUUUAUUUAAUUAAUAAUUAGAGUUAUAAAACUAUAAUAAAAAUAUUUUAAAAAGUAAAAUUUAUUAUAAAAAAAUUUUUUUAUGUUGCGCGCGAAUAUUUCACUAGUAUCAAUAAAAUAUAGUUGCGUACUCCAAAGUGAAGGAUCCAAAAUAUUACUUACUCUAUACUUAAUUAGCUUUUAUAAAAUUUUAUUAGUGCGCCGUUCACCCAUUGGCUUCAUUAGAACAAAUGUAAACCAUGGACUCAUCAUCAAGGAACGCAAAAGUUAAAUCUAUGGUCAACGAUCGUGACAUCGUGCCCUAUCUGUAGUAGCGUAACUGACCAGCGAGUAAAUUCCCGCUCAUGCAUAUUAUUCUACGCAAAAUUUUCCUCUCAUCACUCCCCAUCCCUCCAAUGCUAAUACAAGACUAGUAGAAGUAAUUAUAGCUUAAUUCGCUCUCCCUCAUCACACAUUCAAACAGCUGCAGACACCAUGUCCAACGCCAAUAAUGUCGACUUGCAGGCGCCGGCCGAUCCCUACGAGUGGUUGGCCUCCGACGAGACGAAGAGGCCGACGACCUACAGCCUCAACAUCCGCAUCCUCACCACCGCCGUCCUCUCCCUCGCCUUCGUCCUCGCCUUCCUCCUCUUCCUCCACCUCUACAUCCGCUACGUCCUCCGCCGCACCCACCGCAGCCACCAUCGCCAAUCCACCACCGCCAUCGCUACCACCACUACAGCCGACACUACCACCCUUCGCAUCGGUUUCGCCGCCGCCGCAGCCAAUAAUAAUAAUAAUAACAACAACGAGCCCGCGAAACGGCCGGGCCUCGAUCCGUCCGCCAUCGCGGCGCUGCCGUCCUUCUCGUACGCGAAGAGGGAGGCCGUCGACUGCGCCGUGUGUCUGAGCGCCGUCGAGGCGGGGGAGACCGUGCGGCGGCUGCCAGGCUGCGGGCACGUGUUCCACGUGAGAUGCGUCGACGCGUGGCUCGAGACCAAUUCGUCGUGCCCGGUCUGCCGGGCGGGGGUGGAACCACCGCCACCGGUGUCGGUGUCGGCGGAUGUAGCAGUGGCAGGCGACGCUGCGGUCGGGGGGAAGGAGGAGGCGGUCGGGUCGGUGUCGGCGCGGCUGAGCACGUCGUUGCGGCGGAUGCUGAGUAGGGAGAGAUCGGGGAGGGGAGCUGCAGUUGCUGCUGCAGGAGAAAUUGCAGUGGAGGAUUUGGAGAGGCAGCAGUAGUAAUUAAAGAUUAAUUAAUUCUCAGUACAUUAUUUGUUUUGUUCAAGCAAUGAUAUAAACUCUCUUUUUUUUAUUACUGUUUCUUUUAUUGGUAUUCAAGAAGCUUAUAAAUUCUCAAUUUUACUGUUAAAAAUAUUAUCUAAAUAUAAUCAUAUUGUAGAUGCACCAUUAUUAAUUUACCAUUAUUGCUAGUUUUACAAUCUAACUAAAAAGGAUUAUAAUUCUAAAACUUAGCCAUUUUUCAACAUCUUUUCUUUUAUUAUCUUUUUUUAUAAUAGUAAAUUUUAAAAAGGAUCGGAUCAAUUCUAUGAUAGAGGAUUAUUAUAGGAUUCAACUUUUUUAGAUCGUAGACUUAGCAAUUUUGUUAUUAAUUACUAUGUAUAUAGGAAAAAAGGAAUUAAAAAAAUUAAGAUUUAUUUGUCGACAGAAACAAUAGAUACAUGCGAGUUUAAUUUUAAUGCGCUUGAUUAUACUUUUAUUUUUAAUUUGAUCAAUAACAAUUAUUUUUAAUAGAGCAUUCGGUAAUAAUAAAUAAUAGUCCAAUAAUUUCAGUGGCAUCGAAAAUAAAGAAUUUUAUAUGUGAACAGUUGAAAAAAAAAAAAGGGGGCCAGAGAGGGCCUAAGUUUGUCUUAGUUUAACACAUGCUCAUGCCAUAACAGCAACAGCGUGGCGAACAGACGAGAACCAAUUAGAAACUGCCACGUGCGCAGCCGGUAGUGGAAUUCUACGGCUUGCAUGUCGUUGGUCACGAAGUAGUGGGAUUGGUUGGGGCUUGUGGGACCUACAAAUAGACAAGGGACAAUCACGAGUCCCAAGUUUCAAAGGAUUCGGUAGACGAACCAUGUUGACUUUUAUUAUUAUUAUUAUUAUUUUUAAGGAAGAAAGAUAAUAUAAUAUUAUUUUGUUUAUUUUUUUUAGAAAUAAUACUGCUAAUGUAAAUCAACUAGAAUUCAAACUUAAAAUUUCGGAGUACCAACUAUCAAAUUUUUUGCCACUUACAUUAAAGACAGUUGGUCUUUUUAUUAUUUCUUUGUUCGAUGAUCCGGUGUUUUAGAAGUGAGGUCGAAUUUGCCGGCGGAACCGGUUGUAUCAUGACCCAAUUUCUAUGCCGGUUCAGUUCAGCUCAUAAAGUUAUAAAAUUGAUUCAUUUGAACUAGCGAUUUGACCGAUAUAUUAAUAAACUUCAAUCCAAUUUUAAUUAGGCGGACUCAAACUAUCACUUACUAUAAAUUAUCGAUCGGAUAAUUAAAUCAGUUCGGUUUAUUCUCUUUAAAAAACCUUACAAAAUAUAUUUAUUUAUCUUCUUUAUUUUUAUUAUUUUAUAAAUAAAAAAUAAUAAUUUAUUAUUUAUGAUAUUACGUUGACAUUAUUGAUUGGACCCAUGGAACCACUAGAUGAACCAGUCGAAUGGUGACAAAAGCAUUGAGUUAAAACAUUGAUUUUCACAUUGCUUUGGUGUAAAGAGAUUUCUUUUUCUUUUUUUUUUUCUUCUGGAUAGAUCGUUAAGUACUACGGUCAUUAUAUGUGGCUAACCGUGAAUUAGACAUAAAUAUAAUAAAUUUGUAGUUUAAAAUUUUUUUAAAAAAAAUAUUUUUAAAAACAAAUAUAAUUAUUUAUUUCUCUAUAGUUUCUAAAAAUAGCAUAUCUGAAUCGACAAUCAGUAAUGUUAAACGUAAUCUAAACUAAUUGAAUUUUCUAUGACUUGAAUUUCAUAAUUUUUUAACAACAUUUGUAUAUAUAGACAUAUAGUGGUCAAGUAAUUUCAAAGUUACUUCAUAUUCAUUAGAAAAUAAUAAUUUUGCAGUUGAGUACUAAAUAAAUAAUAUCAAAAAAUAAUAAAAUCUUGAAUCUAGCUAGAAGGUUUAAAUAGUCUAAAUCAAAUUUAACAAUAUAUUUGGAAAUGUAUUAUUGAUAUAACUCUGAAAGCUAGAACAGCUUCAGUGUGAUUAGAAUGUAGAAUGCCAUACUACACAUGGAAAAAAUGCAUGUAAAUUAAGCUCGAAAAUGGAGAGAGAUGCAUGGUAAAUCACCGAGAAUGACACAAAAAAAAAAAAAAAAAUCUUGUCAUAUAUUCAAGAGAAGAGAUAGUUUCAUAAUCUAUAUAACAGAGUAAUUGCAACCAACUAAAUUUUAGAGCUAAUAUAAAUCUAAUUAUCGUAAUAAGAUUAGGAAAAUGUUAUACUAUUGAUAACAGGGAAAAAUCUUAUUACACUCAUGACCAAGAGUAAGGAUAAAGUUUGGAAGUAAACAACUCCAAUUCCACGGACAUAAUAUAUCUAUAGUAUCGGAAUUUCGAUACUAUAGUUUGUUUUCAAUCUUAGAAUGUUGAAAUCAACGAUCAAAAUCGUUAAAACUAAUAUAGAAUAUUUAAAGUUUUUAGGAAUAAAUUUUUUUUUUUGACAUAGUUUAUUUUAUGAUCAAAUUAGUUAAAAGUUAUCAAUAUUUAAUGGCUAACAUGACGAAUUUAUAUAUAGUUUAACGGUAUAGAAGAAUGUAAAUUUAUUCGAUGAAAAAUAUUUUAAACCAUCUAGAUUAAGAUCAGCAUUCUUGAUCAUGAAUUCAAAUGUACUAUCCUCAAAUUUUAAAUGAUGUCAAAAAAAUAAAAUUUUAUUUUUAAGAAUUUUAUAAUCCUAAAUCAUAUUUAAUGAUGUGAAUUGUUGAUUUGAAUACCCUAAAAUCGAAAACAAAAUUAUAGUAUAGAAGCUCUGGUACUAUAGAUAGUAUAUUAUCCUUGUUCUUCCAUAGCAAUGUUCGUAUAUGAUCCAACCAAUGAGUGUGGGCAAUUUUUUUCCGUAGUUGAAGAAUCAUCUUAGGUUAUUGGGUUAAUUUCAUUUGUACCCUUACAAAAUUAUGAAAUAUCACGAAUAUUCUUCGAAUUUUUAAAAUUUUACAAAUGCCCCUCUAAAUAUAAUAUUUUUUCAUAAAUACCAUCCCUGUUAAUUUUUUCUGCCUUCCGUCAAUUUAGUAUUUUUUGUCAUUUUACUUUAAAAUAUGAAAUUACCUUUUUACCCUUAAUUUGUUUCCUAUAUGUUUAUGGGUUAAUUUCAUCGGUACCUCUCUAAAUUUCAAAAAUAUCUUAAAUGUCCCUAUAAAUUUGGUUAUAUCAUAACUUCUAAAUACAUACUUUCUUUCAAAAACAUCCUCGCUGUUAUAACUCCGUCACUUCAAGUCAUAUUAAAUUUAGUUAGAUGGCGGUCUAACACUGGUUAAAAUUUGAAAUGUUUAUUUUGCCCAUAAGUUGAGAAAUUUUUGAACGGUACAUUAAUUUUAUGAUUUACUAUUUAACCCCUAACUUUUAUUCAUUAUUUGUUUAACAUUUAGACUAACAUUAUUCGCUGAUAUUCUUUAAUACUACUUAGCUCCUAAUUUUUUUUAAUUAUUUAUUUUAGUUAGUUAUAUUUAAAAUUUCAUUUAACUUAGAUUGCUCUGUUAGCUAUUACUUAUUAUAUAUUUUUUUAUUUUAACUUCUACAAAAUAAUUAAAAUUAUUAAAUUUGUUGGAAUCAUCAAUGGAUUGAUAAAAUCUGUAAUUUAAUUAACAAAAAUCAAUCUAAUUUCAAGGAACCAAAUAUUAAGAAAACUUUGAUCAAAAAAAUUAAAUUAAGGGGCUAUUUCAUAAUGUAUAAUAGUUAAGGAAAUCUCUAUAUAUUAAUCUUAGAAAACUUGUGAGGGUAUUGAUGAAAAUGUAUUGAGGGUAAAUUCGGUAUUUUGAAUUUAUUAUACCUAAACAUAACGAGCAAUAGUUACGAGGGCAUUUUUGAAAAUUUUUAUGCUUUUUUGAGGGCAAAUAUGAAAUUUUAAAAUUUUAAAGGGUAUUUAUGAUAUUAGAUCUAUUUGGAAGGGUAGUGAGGAAAUUUUCCGUUUGUGUGGUUACUGAAAAAAGAGGAAACUGAAUGUACUCUUGUCUCUCUUUCUUUCGAAAAAUUUCAUCACCUAAAACAUUUGACGGAAACUGAUCGUCCCUGGUAUAAUGUUAAAGAAUUUGAUGAUUAAUAUGUAAAGUCUCAAAUUCAAAAUCUAAUUAUUUAUAUUUUUUGCUAAAUUUAGUUUUUUAAAUAAAAUAAUUGAAACAGGUAGCAUGCUAUAUUUUUUUUUAAAAAAAAUCUGAUGGAAACAAAUUUCUUAAAAAACCUUUCUCAAACUUGCUAAAUUUGAUAUUUGCUCGUGGACCGCAAACUUGCAAUUUUUGUCGGAGUGUGUGGCUUAGUUUGAUCUUAUUUAAAUAUCUUCAAACUGAAUGUGAGGUUAAUAUAAAUGUAAGGAUAAAUUUCAAAUACUAUCUCUGUGGUUUCGCACUUUCUAACUUUAAUACCCUGUGGUUUAAAGUGCAUCAAUUUAGUAUCCUGUGAUUUUUUUUUCUCUUUUCAUCAGCUCCUACCUUAACAUUUUGUUAAAUUAUAUACAAAAAACUUUAAAUACCCCACUUAGAUUUAUCGAAUAUUCAUUUUAGUAUCUUUUAAUUUUAACUUUGUCACUGAUUAAAAAAAAAAAAAAGUAAAGAAGAUGCUAAAAAUAAAAAUAUGAAACCACGAUAUACUAAAUUGAUACAUAUUAAUUAAAUCAUAGAGUACUAAAAUAAAAAAAUACGAAACCACGGGAAUUGUAUUUGAAGUACGUCUCCCUAAAUUUAAUUCUUGCCUUUAGUAUCCUUCUCCCGAUUGGCUUCACUUCUUUUUCUCAUUUUUCUCUCUUUUAUUUUCUCUCCAUGUCUUACUAAUCAUUUCCAUCAACCGUCCCUAGAGCAAGUGGCAAAGGGCUUGGUGGUUGGUAUCCGAGACCCAAGUUCAAAUCCUAGUUGAUUCACAUUUUUAGCUAAGUUUAUUUCUAAAUGAAAUGAACGAAGCGGGUAACGUGCUACCUAUCUCUCAAAAAAAAAAAAAAACAAAACAAAACAAAACAAAACAAAAAAAAAACGUGCGUGGAAGGGGAAACCACUGAGUUCAGGGUACAAAUACAAAACGUAAAAGAUAAUUUUGAGACUAAAAUAUUCAAGAGAAAAGUUUAAGGGCUAAAAGAUGUCACAACAUUUGUGACAAACCUUGGAAAAUAUUUAUCCAUGCAUUCCAUCAAUCAAACUGACCAAUGCUAGGGAGUUUCACACACGAUUGGGUUCGCUAGGGUAAAGCAAGGACCAAGUUAACCAAGAAUGUGUUUGGUAAAAACGAACUACACCCCAUCAAAUUUGGUGACUUCGAUCCAAGCGAUGAAAUUCAACCUUGCGCUCAUUACGGGCAAAGUCACUAGCUAGUUUGCGCUGUGCGCAAACUCGCUGCCAUAUGAGACGGAUUCGCGCACGUCGGCUCCAUAGGUUCCAUGGAAGUCGAGCUGCACGAUUCAAUCCACGAACACUGGCAUGAAAACUCAGCCACUUUGACCCUGACUUUGGACAAACCAAACAUGGCCUACAGUACACCCCUAUGGGUGAGCAUAUUCGGCUCAAACUGAAUUACCAUACAAACCCCAUCGAAAUCAGUCGGGUCGAUUGCUUUUACAUAUAAUAUAAUUAUAAUUAAGUUCCGUUCUAAAAGUUAAAAGCUAGAAAAUCGAAUAAACGGAAUAAAACAAAAGUUGAGUAAUUCAAUAUAUAUUAGUCUCAAAUUUUAAAAAACUUAUAUAUUAAUUACUAUUAUUAUUAUCUUAGAUUAAUGAUUUUAAACAUAAAACUAAUCAUAAUUAUAUCUUAUUUUUAGUAAUUUAGAAAAAGCCCUAAAAAUAUUUUAUUAAAACUAAAUAAACUGAACUGAAUCAACCGAAUUAUUUGGUUUUGUUCACAUCAGUUUUUGCCUCUAACUCGUUUUGGUUAGGUUUUAUAAAAAGCUGUAAAUAUGGCACUAGACAGACCAACAAUGCUUACCCCUACAUUUGCCUACUGCUUUUGCCGCUUUUGUGAACCAAUUCGAUCGACAAAGUUGAGAAAGCACGUUUGGUGAUGACAAUGGUGGUAGAGGUGAUAAAUGCGUCGAGAGUUCAAUCCCGUAUUAGAUAAUUAAGAAGAAAGUAAAGAAUUGAUGUAUUUCAAUGGGUGCAGAUCUAAUAGGCUUAAACUUUUAGAUUGAAUGAAUUCAAUUAUUUGUCAUAUCCUUAGACUUAUGUAAAUUUGGAUUAGGCUCAAAACUCCCUAACAAGUGGUACUCGUUUAAAUAGUAUGGUGCAAUUGAAUUAGUUGUUAUUAAAAACGUGACGGGAAUACAUGGAGGAUUUGUCUAUACCUCUAUACAUAUAUAUAAAUUUUCAUGGCUAAAUUCACAUGAAUGUACUAUCUUCAUUUGAGGGUGGUGGAGAGAUCAAGAUGCGUAUGGAUUUUUCAAUAUAUGAUUUUCGGUUUUUCUUUUUCUCUCUCCUUUUUUGUUGCUCACUGUUCGGAGCCCUCCGGCCUCCAUUCGCUGCUCCUCAUGCGUCCUUGACAAGAACGGUUCAUGAUGCUAUCACAAGCUAUACUAUUCUCAACAAUUAUAUAUGGAAUAUCUAUAUUGUUAUGUUUUUAUUUUUUCAUAAUUUUUUUUUCAAUUAUCUACCUGUCGCAUCGCACAGGUUGUUUCAUUAGUGAUAAAAUGAUAAGACAAUUUUGUGUACUCAAAAGAACUGGACUCAGAGAGGAGUGGAUUGGAUGUAUGAGCUCAUAUUAGUGCAUUAAAAUCAAUUACGCCCGAGAGGCACAUGCCAGGAGCAUGAGUUGGGCUAAACUUUUGAUUGACAAUGACUAAAGCACAUGGAUUGGGAUGUGUGGAUUUGCAGUGACUUACAAAGAAAAGCUAGAAGGACAUGUAUUUGAGACGAACCAAAAAGUGAUUCGGUGCUACGCGUGGAAAGUAAAACGAAAAAAAAAAAAUUUGAGUUUAAGGGGAAAAAAACAAGUAAAACGAAAAAAAAAAAAGAUUGAGUUUAAGGGAAAAAAAUUGAGUUUAAGCAGAAGCAGAUUAGUUCGCAUGUAAAAUGAGAAGGUUGUUAAGAGUUUAUGUAAAUAAUCGCAUAUUGAAUAAUUAAUAAGAGAGAAAAAUGUUGAAAUAUAUGCCACUGGGCCUAAUGAGUUCCAUCAAAAUAUGCUACAUGUGAAUCUGGACCAUGCGGUUGGGUCCAGAACUCCUUGCUUAUAGGGUCCCCCUUAACUUUGUUUAUUUUAGAUCAGCACGGCACCCUCUUAUUGACCGUCCUUAACGCAAGUGGCAAAAAGACUUGAUGGGUUGGUAUCUGAGACCCACCGCACCCUCUUAUUGACCGUCCCUAGCGCAAGUGGCAAAAGCGCUUGAUGGGUUGGUAUCCGAGACCCAAGUUCGUAUCCGAGAUCCAAGUUCGAAUCCUAGUUGAUUCACAUUUCCAGCUAAGUUUAUUUCUAAAUGAAAUAAACGAAGCGGGUAGUAUGCUAUCUUUCUCUCUCCCAAAAANAAAAAAAAGCACCGCACCCUCUUAGUUCCUAAUUUUUUUAAUUAAGAAGUUUAAAGUUCAGAGGUUCUUUUGAUAGUUGAGAGGUGGUUUCCAUCCUAAUUUUUUUAUAAAUUGUCGAUAAACGCUAAGUCUACAAUCCAAAGAAUUGUAAUCUCUUCAACCCGUCAUCCAAGAGGUUGUAGGGUGUUUAAAAAAAUAAAAAAUUCGAAGGUGCUAAGACAAGUAGAAAAAAACACAAAAGGGGCUUUUGGUGAGUAAAAUUGCAGGAUUAGUGGAUUACAACCCAAAAUAGGUUGAAGGCCUUGCAUUUCCCAUUAAACUCUAUACUAAAAUUGAAGCCAAAUGCCGUUUCUCCAAUGAGCCACGUGGCCUUUUUUUUAUAUGGAUUUUCUCUCCCUCCCUCACAUAGACUCACAUGGGCUAUGUUAAAUGGGCAUGUAUUAUACAAAAUUUUAUUUCAUGCACCCUCUGUAUCAUAUUAAACAAUAAUGAUUUUAAAGGUAAGAGGCUAUGUUAAAGAGGCAUGUACUAUGAAAAAUUUUAUUCCAUGCACCCUCUGUAUUAUGUUAAACAAUAAUAAUUUUAAAGGCAAGCUCAGUUAAAAUCAACCAGAAGAACGUCAUCUUAAUUUUACAGUUCUGAACCUUAAUUUUCUUUGUCGCCGAAAGAUCUACCAACUAAAAUCUUUAUCAGAUUGCUACUAUUUUCCGUCCUCACUUUUGGAGUGUCAGAAUGACACGAAAUUGUAAAUUUAGUCUAAGAAAAAUAAUUCCGGCAUAUAUUGAAAGUUUAAUAUUUUUUUACAAUGUAUAUUUUCUUCUAAAAAAAAAUUAUAUUCCUUACAGAAAAUUCUAAAUCUCAUGUUUUCAUUCCAAUUGCACCAUGGAUUAUUUGUAAAUUAUCUUUUACUUUUUUAAGUCCAAUAGAAAUAGUAUCUCACCCACAAGAUAAUCUUUUUUCUUACAAAAUUUUUCAUACUACAUACAAAGGGUGUAUGAAACAAAAAAAUUCAUAGUACAUAGAAUACUGUCUUGUCCUUUUGCUAUCUUUCUAAUCAUGAGAGUGCAUACAUCCUCCCCCCAAUUUUUUCUAUAUAUAGCAUUGCUGUUCACCAAAAGAAAAAACAAGAGAUUGAUGAAAUCAAAACAUAUAUAGAUUGUAGAUAUUUAUCUGCAUGUGAAGCAACUUGCCGUUUGUUCCAAUUUGAUAUCCAUUUUAGAGAACCAUCGGUUGAGCGACUACGAGUACAUCUUCCUUUAAUGAAUAAUAUUAUUUUCCACAAUACUGAAAAUUUAGAAAGUCUUUUGCGUAGACCAAGCAUUGAAAAAACAAUGUUGACUGAGUGGUUGCAUACCAAUUCAAUUUAUGAAGAUGCUCGACAACAACGAUAGUGAUUUGCCUAUUUAAACUUCUGCUGUAGCGAAAAAAUCACGUUUGUAAGUAUUAAUAUUUUUAAAAUAUUUUUUGUAUUUCUUAUUCCAUCAUAUAUAUAUAUAUAUAUAUAUAUAUAUGAGAUAUUGUUCAUACGUAUGCAGUUCGAAGACUAGAAAAGGACCAAGCAAAGUUAACACCCGCAAGAAAUCAAGUGGAACCGAUAGGCCAUAAUUAAUGAUUUAAGAACUGUUUUAUCAAUUAUAUUUGUAUUAUCAAAGACAUCACAUCGUAUUAGAUAAUCUAUAUUAUAUAUUUAGUUAUCUUACAUAAUGUGAAUGUUAUAUAUAUCUGUAUGUUUCGUGAUAAAUAAAUAAUGAAAGUCGUAUUAUUAACUCUCAACGCUACGACCUCCCGCCGCGAAGCGCGGGUCAUUACACUAAUAUAUAUUAUUACAGUACACACAUCUCAAACUGUAGAGCUUUAACAAAUGACCCACCAUACUUUUAACUUGGCAAUUAAAUCUCAAAACUUUAUUAAAAAAUUUAAUAGUCUCUGUCCAGGAGAAAAGUAAGUAAUUGAACAACUGUGCUAGCGGCAUAUCUUAUAGAUAUCCUAUAAACUUUCAAAACACAAAAAACUGAGUGAAUUUGUUUUUGAUUUUUUCUUUUCAAACAACUAGAAUUUUAAAGAAUGUUUCAUUGUGUCAUGAAGCUUCACAAGAUCAAAUGCAAGAUGAAUGAGAACAGAUGUUUAAUUAGGAACUUUACUUGAAAAGAAGAGUUUUAUUGAAUUAUUUAAUGAAGUUUACGAGAAAAGGGGCUGUACAUUUCUAAUGCAGGCAUAGAUCCUGUAGGUGGCUAUUGAUGCUCUGGUACCAAACUGAUGCAAGCUGAAAUGCUAUAACUACAAGUAGGGUUGUCAACAAGCCGAACACGAACAAGUUGGGACCGGCUCGUAUUCGUUCAUUUAUUAAAUGAGGCAAAUACGAGAUGGUUCGUUAAAAUAUCGAUCCCGAGCCCAUUUCGAGCGGAACACGAGCUAGUUCGUGAAUAGUGAGUUGGAUUGCCGGUCCUAGUUGCAAGAACUGUAGCAACAAGUAUUAUAUCAACAGGUAGAAGAGUAAAAAAGAAAAGAAGAGAUAAAUAAUUCUAAUCCUAAUAAGAUAUCUUAAUUUUAAUAAUUUUUGCAAUUUAAAACUUCUAAAUCAAUAUUCCUAAUUUUAAAAAAUUUAUUUCAUAUCACAAAUCCUAAAAUAUCAAAAAAGUCUAAAAUAAAUAAUCAAUAAUAAUAACUUGAAAAAUUACCAAAAAAAAUCCUAAUUAAUAUUUUUGGUGGCAUCAAUUCCAUAAUAGGUAAAUUGCACCAUUAGUUCCUAAACUUCAAGCCAAGUUUUAUUUUGUUCCUUGAAUUUCUAAGUUAAAAGUGAUCCCCUAGAGGCACCUCAUAUUUAUUUACUGUUAGUGGAUAAAUUAUUGUCUACACCAAAGUGCAUAUCUAUGUACUAUGUAUUUAUGGACUAUUUUGCUCUCAUGGCAUAUUUCAACCUUUAUACCUAGAGUUGAAAAUGAAUUGAAUAAUACCUAAUCAUAUCUGCCUCCAUAUUCGAUUUUAUCCACAUCCGAAUAAGAAAUAUUUGAAUUUGGUCACGGAUCAGAUGUAGUUUCAAAGAGUUUAAAAUUAUUCGAAUAUUCACAAAAUUGGAUAUUUGAUAUGAAUAUUUGAGAAUAAAUAUGUAUGUUAUUAGUUAAAUUUUGCAGGUGAAUAAGAGAGAGUACGAUAUGGUUCACACGUACGGCAGGAGCCUUGCCCUUGCGCCUCUGCUUAGGGCUGUGGGUUUGAUUCAUCGCUUUUGAGCUGGGGCUGUGGGUUCGAUUCCUUGCACCGCCCAUGUAAACUUUUUUAGAUUUAAUUUCAAUUUUUAUUUUAAAAUUUAAUUUUAAAUUUAAAUUCAGAUCUUAAAGAUAUUUUAAAAUUCAAAUUUAGAUUUUUUAUUUAAAUUUAAAUUUUACAUUUAAAUUAUUCAUGUGAUGUAUUAUUGAUAAAAAAUUUAGAAGGCAUUUUUGAAAAGUUUUGAAUAUCAAUAAAUAGAAAAUUCAAAGAAGCAUGAGUGAUAUAAUAGAUAAAAAUAAAAUAGAUUUUUAUAAUUAUAAUGGCUAUUUCUAAUAAAAGCCAGUCAUUAAAAAAAUAUUUCUGAUAGGCAUGCGUAAUAUUAUUAAAUUUAAGUAAGCAUACUUGAUAUUAAAAUAGUUAGGGAAUUUUUAUUUUUUUUUAUUUUUUUUGGUUGUGGAGAGUUCUAAGUUUUAACAUCGUAUGCAUCUAAGGAUGCAAACAGGACGGUUCUGGAAGCGGGAGGUUCCUCUACCUCCCGUUUCAUUUUUUAUUGGGGCGAGACUGAUUCGGAGCAGAGUAUUUUUUAUUUUAUUUUUUGCUCCUACUUACCGUUCUAUUCAGGAUGAAUCAGGAUGAAAGUAAAAUUUUGACAGAUUUUUUAGGGGUCGAAAUGGAUUUAAAAAAGGAUGACUUCCAGCGUCCCGCAACUCCGCCCUAUUUACUUAGCGAUGGGGACUAUUCGGAAUAAAUUAUAUAUUUUUAUAUUUUUUAUUUUUAGAUAUUGUCUCAUUCAGGAUGGAUGGGACUUGGGAGGGAAGCUCCACGGAUCCAUUUGUAUCCCUGCAUGUAUCAACCGCUGGACAAUGCAAUGAACAUAAAGUGGGGCCCGCCAAAAUGCGGGGCCCACCGUUGGACGAGGUAGUGAGAUGACGCAACAGGCCCUCCGCCUCUCCCUAUAAAUAAGGGACUCGGCUACGUCCUUCGAAGGAACCAUAAACCCAUUCGCUCCCCCACCCCUCCACAAUCCCCGCUCGAUUACUCGCGAGCUCGGGGAGUACUCCGCAAAGAAGAGGAGAACGAAGGCGAGAUCUUAUAGAUUCUUCUGUCGAUUACUCUCUCCACCGCGAUCUCGGUAUCAUUCUCGAUCUCGAUCUAUCUCUUAAGCUCGAUCUAUCGAGUGGCUUCUCGACGAGUGUCUUAAUCGAGGUUUCACGCUCUAAAUUCCUAACGAAAUGGUGUUUUAGCUGCGGAUCUGUCGAAAAUUUGGUUCAAUUAGGGCUUUUCUUUGCGAUUUCGGUUCCAAGGCCUCCAAUGAUCCAUUUCUGGUUCAAUUCAACGGCUACAUCUAACAUACGAUUGUUCUUUGUCGUAAUUUUAGAUUCGAUGCUAUUUUUGGUUUUGCUAUGCUGAAAUUCUUGUGAUUUACUGCUCUUUCGUGCUCAUUUUAGUGGAAAACAGUUGUUUAUAUGUUUGAAUCGUUCUAUAAGGAGCCGAUCUCUUGUAGCUGGUGAUUUGAUCUAUUCUCAUAAAAUUACAUGGGUUUUGAUCUGUUUUCUAUUUAUUUUUUAGACAAAUAUAGCUUUCUAUUCUUGAAUAGUACUUUCAGGUCAAGUAUAGGGUGAAUUUAUGAUAUAAAACUUCCUAUGAUUGUUGAUUUGAUGAUUAUAUAUGUAUUUCAGAGUUUUGUAUACAGAAGAUAGAAUAAAUUCAUUGUUUAUACGAUGUAACGUAUGAAAAUAUGCUAUUACCCUCACAACUAAUUUCUCUAGGGUUACCUUUAUCUGAAAGCGGCAAACAACACUAAGACUCAGAAGGAAGCUAGUUAUUGAGAAGGGGAGAUAAGCAUGGAAAGUAAACAACAAUACUAAGUAGCUGAUAUCUGACGAGAUGAUUAUUCAUUUAUUCUCAGACUUUUAAUAACUCUUCAGUUUCAGGCUUAUAUAGUGAAUACUGCCAAAUAAGAUUACUUCACUAUAUAGCUUUCAUCUGACAUGCUAGAUGUUUUCUGAAUAGGAACAUAGAUGAGGAGAUGUUGCAUGUGGUUACAACAAUAACCCAAUGCCUCACCCAAAAUGGUUAAUGAGAACUUAUUGGAUUGGUUUCCAUGUUGUUUUAUAUUUCUUAUUUCACAUCCAUUGUGAGGUCUAAUUGCGUUCCGAAUAUUGAGCAGGACAGUCAAUAUAGGUUCUCAUGAAUAACCUGCAGAGAACAAGCUGCACAUGCAGACACAUUGAUGGCAGAAUCACAUAAGGGUAUUUCUUCAACUGCUAAUAUGAAGAAUAGAAGAGCAUUACUUGGUAUGAUUUGCUAUUCUGUUUCUGUGCUGGUGGGUUUACAAAGUUAAAACUCGUCAGCCAUUUCUUAUUUGGUACAUUGUGUUGCAACUAUUGAAAGUCCAUGAAAUAUGUUAAACAUACAUGGAGGCCAAGAUAGUGAUUGAACACUUUCUUAUUCUAUAUGCAAUAGCCCUUAAGAACAUCCAUGGCAGUGGAAUAAGUAUAUCAUAGAAUUUAACAUACUUGAUUUAAACCUGAUGUACACUUUUUCUUUGGAACAGAUGAAGAUUUUGGAAAGGACUUUCUUACAAGCUGGAAUUUGUCUAGACUGGGAAAAGAUGGACUCACCUUUGAUGUUGAAACAGUUUCACAGAGCGGCAAAAAGUUCAAUUUUGAUAAACUGUGAGUGGAUUUCAAAGAAACAAAUUUCUGGACCAACUCAAAGAGUAUCAUUCUACUCUGUAAUUAUGAUAUUAAUAUAGCCCUCUAUUCAGGGUCGACUUCGAGCUUGGUAGUAACUUUGACAAGCUAUCAUCUUUCAAACUGGAGAUGCCUGAUCUGGUCUUUUCCACUCCAUUCAAGAAGGCAGAGAAGGAAAAUGAGAAGUCUUCUGAUGAAUUUGUUCCGGGAAAAAAAGAAUCCAAAAAAGACAAGUUUGCCUUUGAUUUUGAUUUUAAUGAGUAAGUUUAUUGCACUAUAUUUAUUACUUCAGGACCAUUUGCUAUCCGAGGUUAAACAAUGUUAUAAUUUUCUUUUUGUUAUGUUCACAUGUUUUGUUUGCUUUUAGAUUGGGUAAGUUUGAUCUUGGCUUAAAACUUCUGACUGGAGAAAAGGAAGCUACUGAUCGCUCCACUAAAUGCCCAGAAGAUAUUGGUACCAAUUCUUCUAUUAGUCAGGACAAGGGUACGAAUAAGGUAGGCAAUUCAGGCAUGAACAUGGAUAUCCUUCAGAGUAAUGAGAAUAAGGCACCUUCCGAAACAGAGAAUCUAUCCACUUCAAGGCCUACUAAAUUGAUAGGGCAAGGGAUGGCAAAGACUGCUGGUUAUUCACGUUCUUUGAAGCUGACGUUUGAUGAUAUUCCCCAGGAAGUAGAUCCGUCUGCUACGAUGCAUUCCAUCAUGACAAAAGAAAAUAAAGAAGAAACUACUCAGUUCAGCAAGGAAAAUAAAGAGCAACCAGUUGCAACACACAAUGCAAGAUCAUCUGUUGAGAAUGCCGCACAGGGUUCCACACUUCUAUCUGCAUCUAGUGAUGUUUCAGCCCCGCCAACAGCUUAUUACUCUGAAGAGCUUUCUAUGUUGGAUCUUAUUGACCCAAAUCUGGUUGGUGGACAAGAUAAUAGCAUGGAAUCAAAUGAUUCAAGACACCAGAGGCCAGAAGGUAAAACAGAACCACCAACCACUGAAAGAGUGUAUCGGAAAUAUGAUAGGAACGUAAAUGAGUGUGGUAGAGAAAGCGUAUCUCAUAAUGAAUCAUCUGAAGGGUCCAAAGAUGUUUCCGGUACCUCUGCUACAGAUGUCUUACAGAGAAGUUUUUGUGGAACAAAGGUUGGCGGGGAUGGUGGAGAGAAGAAAAUUUUGAGUCCAAAUCUUCUUCCAUCACCAAUGCACAGGUUUAUUUUAUCUUAGUAGUUCUUUGGUUAAUGAUUGAGAAAUGAUCCUUUCAUUCAGUUGGUUCCAUGCAUGAGUUGUCGUUUUAAUUUUUAUAUGCUGAUUAUCUUCACAGUUAUCUCCAAGUUACUGUGUUGUUGCAGAAAUUUACUGUGUUGUUGCUUUUAUAACGUCACUUGUGUUUGCUGUCUUCAUCUGUAACCACAGACUUCUAGUUCAUUUAUCUGAUUAUCUGCUGUAAGUGCUUUUUAGUCAAUUCCUCAUAUGAGUAAUCUUAAGUUCUAGUGCAAUUUUAUUUCUUUAACUGUACAGCAAGUUAUAGGGUAAGUCUAGGAAGGGGUAUGCAGCUAAAUUCAUGUAUUCAUGUGUGGUGCAGAAAUUUUGCAUCUCUUAAGUCCAUCGCAACAAAAGAAAGAGGAUCCUCUUCUUCCCUAUCACUUAAGCCUCUUAAUGCGCCACUAACUCGAAAGAGCAGUUUCCUGAAGUCACAUCAGAAACCUGCAAAAGGGGCAUCCCUUUGCACUGCAAAUGACAAAAGCGAUAAAGAGCACAGCACUGAUAGGUAAGGAAUUCUUUAAAUGACCUGACUCUAUCUGUGCUGUUUAUUUUGUUGCAGAAGUUUGAAUGAACUCCCGAAACUUUUCACCUUGAGGGAUCAAACUUACUUAAGGACCUUGAGGAAGUCAACAGUUAACAGCAUGCUUGAUAAAUCACUUGCCAUGUUAAACUUAAAGUGCAGUUGAGACUCAUAGUUAUACCUAGGUUACUCAGUGUGGCUAAAUUUAGGUUGAACCUGAUCGUCAUUGUGAUAUAUGAGUUGACAAUAUUGCCUUUGUAGAUUCUGUCCUCUAUUGAUGGUAUUAGACCUAUCUUUCUCAAUUUUAGCUGGAAAGUUGAAAAAUACCCUGCAAAUUAUCGAGGAAUUAAGAAAGAGUAAAAUGAAGUGAUAACUAUUUUUUGAACAAGUUGGCUUUGGUUACCAUUCAACUGUUUUCUUAGAGGGUAAAUUGCACCAGGAGUUCCCAAUCUUUUUAAAUUCUUACAAUUGGGUUCUAAUCUUUUGCAUCCCAUUUUAGCUGCAACUUUUUCAUUAAGUUCCUCUCUUGAAUUGAGUGAAGUCAUCAACAUAUUCGCCAUUUGGGAAGUCCAAAAGUCGCAUACACAACAAUGUGAUGAUGAUUAGGCAGAUAUUUCUGUGCAACUUGAUUGAGAAGUUUAAUUGAAUGGUUAUGCAUGCAAUGAAAUGCCACAAGUAGGGACCAAAUUGUAAGAAUAUUUUGCUAAAAGGUUGAGGAACCUUGUAUAGUUUAUCCUUUUUCAGUUAUAGGUGAUUUUGAACUUGGUGAUCGGAAAAUUCCUAAACAACUGGGCUAAUUUUGGAAGAAUUGUCGGCAAUAAAAUAACUGGACUACAACCAAAUGGCAUGAAAUAAAAUAACUAGUACCUCUUGAUUAACCUUGUAGAUGAAACACGAGCUUUGACGAUCUCAAAGAACUAGGACAUUAUUACUGAAAACAACAACAAUGAAGGUCGUGUCCAAAGUGCAAUGUUUGGAUUUUGCUAGGAGAAAUGCAAUCUUUAAUUCAAAUCAUUUUUCAGUUGCAUCUAGCACCAUACUUUAUCUUUUCAUCCAUCAAUUUGAUGCUUAUAAUGUGAUAGUAUUUUCUGGUCAAGUGUGCUGGUUCUCCUUUUCUUUUAUUUUUCAUUUCUAUGCUGGUAAUACACAAUAAUUUUUUUAGUUACUUCAAUUUACUGAUAUUCUCCAAGAAUUUUCUUCAUUAGAUCCAUAUACAAAUUAUAUAAAUCCUGUCUUUGCAAUUCCAUUUCUUACUCGAAGUUGUAGUAACGAAAUUUUCUGUCCUUUUGAAAAUUCAUGAAUAGUUCACAAAUGUUGGUUGACUGAAUGUUUCUUCAAAUUAUUCAGGAAUAUAUUAAUAUUGACCAGCAAAUUGUAAAACAUAUAAAUAUGUGAAAUAAUAACUAAUUCAAGUAUUUUGCAUUAAUCAGUACCAAAUAUAUUAACAUUUACUAUCUGAAUUACCACUGAAUUUUUUCUGAAUUCUCCAUCAAUGUUGCCGAGAUCAAUUCAAAUACUCAACUUGUGAUUAUACUUGAAAUGCCUUGAUUUGCAUAUUUGGUACUUUAUUUUUCUCAUUACCCUUGAUGCAUUUCUUGCUUGACUUUUUGAUAGUGCUUGUACAUUUACAAUUGCAGUUUCCAUCUUCCAUCUUUCAACUUGCUUUCACGGGCUGAUACUGGCAGUAGCAGUACUAAGAGUGGCACUUCCAACCUUGUUUCAAGCUGCACACACCUUAAAAACCCCGAGGUCAUUUCUUCCGAAGUGCAACAUACUGCUAUGAAGGAUAUAAAACAUACUCUGCUUUCUAGCAUGAUGUCCUCAAGGUAGGAUAUAUGCAUCCUUCCUCCAGCUAUGCAGAUUACUUUGCAGAUGUUGAUCUAUACGAAGUUUUUUAUCUAAUGUACUUUUCGUUUGUGCAGAGUUGCGAAACUAAAUGGCAACAUUCCAAGUUCUACAAUGCGAAUAGAAGCAAAAUCAGUUAAGUUCUCAGAGGGGAACCAAGAUGCUCCUCAGAAUGCAAUAUCUAGCAAGCCCUACUCACCAAACAAAGAAAAACAUGUACCCCUGAGCCCACUUUUGAAGAGAAAGACUCUAGAGGUCCUCUCUAUUUGCAUAGUCCUAGUAUCUGGAUAUAUGAUUCUAUAGAGUACUUAUUUAAAACCUAUCUUCUAGUUGCAAGCUGAAUUUGUUGCUUAUUUGAUGCUAUUUCCUUUUAUUUGCCUGUUUGACACAUUUAUAAGAACAAAGAUAAAACCUCCACUACUUUUAAACCCUGUUUUGUCAUUAAAUACUUUAACAGGAAAGACCAGAUGGUGUUGUUUAACUUGUGAAUCAUAAAUGAAGAUAAUAGUGGUAACAAAGAACUAUAACAAUCUGCAAGCUAGAGGACCGGAAAAAUUUGUGAAGGGCAAAUGAAAUACAAAACUGCAUGACUGCUACCACCACAUAAGGAUUGUGCUGUGCUUCUUAUCUACAGUAUCAUCGUCAACAGGAAUUAUCUUUUUUGUUUCUUUGUUUGGAUUCUCUCGACUUUGCUGAAUCCUUAUCCUCUCUAGGUUUACCUCAAGGAUACAGAUAGAGUGGCAUGUAAAUAAGCCACAAAAUAUCAUGUGAAGGAAAAAGGACAGUGAAAUAUAGAAAAGUCAUUGAUAUAAGAGGUUAGGCAAAUGCUACCAUCCAUGGGAUGGGUGAGAAAACCACUAUAAUAACUACUGUUAGAAGGCUUACAAUGAUCAACAGGAGAUCUCUAACAAAUGCAUUAAGUAGAAGCACCAUGAAAGAAGCAUUUAAAAGGCCGACUGGAACUACAAAGCCAACUAUAAAUAGAUUAUCUUAAUUUUCCUUUUUGCAUUUCUGUCUCCCGCCUCUUUUCCUCUUGUAUUUUCUGCUUUCUUUUUCUCUCACUUUUCUCUCUUUUCUCCUCAAAGGCACUGGACACCGAAUGCUGAGAAUUGAAAGAGAGCUUUCUCAUUUCCUUUUUCUCCUGUUCAUAUGUCAGAUACAAAUACUAAGUGGACUGUAUUGUUUAAUCUUCUAGACUGAUGGCAAAGCCAUAAACAUAUUCACUUCUGAUUUUGCAGAAAGCAUGACUAGAUAAAAUAUCGUACGGCCUAAGUGAGAAUGCAUGAAAUAACAGAAAUAGGAGCUUUAGAAAAUGGGCUUCCAAGGUCCGUCCUUAUGCUAGAGGGAAAACAAGUAUGCUAGAGACAAAACAAGUUCUUUACCAUUCCUUAUGCUAGAAAGAAGACAAGUUACUUUCUCUUUAUGAACAUAAUUAAUUCUCUCAAGUCCUUUAAUCCCCUUUUGGAUCCAUUAUUCAGUGUUUCUACAUUUUAGUUUGUAAAAUUGUGAAAAUCUACAGCUUUUUUUCUCUUUCACAUCCAUGCCCUGUAGUCUACAUCUGUUAAAACUGACAACAAGAAUGCAGAAACUAGCCAUCUGUGACUAAUCAAAUGGAAAAGUAUGUAAAAUUUUGUUGUUAGUGUUGAUAAUGAUGUCCUUUGACUUCUUGUUUCACAGUGAGCUAGCAUGCUUAGGAUCUUCUAUGGAGUGCAAUGAACAUUAAGCCUCUUUGAACAACUUGUUCGCUGAUGCCAAUACGUAUAAUCUUUUACUAUUCUUAUCAUUGUUUUGUUACAUAUGCUUGCGUUGAAAAUUUCUAAUUAUUCAUGUAUAUUGGCAAUUUUCUUGUAUUACUGAUAUUUGAUGAUACAUCUUGCAGUUAGAAUCUCAAUAUCUGAUAACCUCUGAGAAUUUCAGUUGCCUUCUUAUGAAUCUCACUACAAAUUAAUUGGAGGCUUGAUUGGCUUCUUCAUUUUAGUUUGUGUAUCGUUGCCAGGGAUCAGUAACAGAUUUAAAGGCUCUUAAUCCAUUGAAACGCAUCAUGGAGUCUCCUGCUGAACAAAGGUAGCUUCCAUCAAACUUGCAGGAUAUAUACAUCCAUAGCUGUUUUGGUUCAUAACUUAUGCGCUCAUAUUACGCAGGAAAUCACCGAACAUUAGCUCAAAAUCUGCUAGUGAUUUGGUACUCAUUUGAUAUAUUUCCACACAUCAUUAAUACAGACUGUGCUUUAGUUAAAAUGAAGAUAUUAUCACGGUUAAUUCUGAUGUUUUCAUUUUUCUUGUUUUUCUACUGUGUAGGUUCCAGUAACUGAAAGUCAGAAAGCUUUAACUGAUAAUACUGUUACUUCAACUGGUCUUAAUGUGAUGGGGAGCAUCUCAGACUUUGAAAUGCCUUCACUUGUUGAAAAUGAUGUAAAUGUGGAAAAAGCUGAAGCUUGUGCAAAAGAGCUUGAUGAUGUAAGUGCAUUAUAUAUUUAGAAUUGAUUCGUUUUGUUUUCUUCAUGAAUACAGAAAUGUUUAGGGAGUCAUUUUAUUCGGCUUUUAAGCCACUGGAUGAGAGAGAGAAGGAUAUCAAAAAUGACUUGAAAGAAAGUUGCAAAGAAAAAUAAUGGUUAAAAUUAGAGUGACAACUGAUGUUGCACAGGAAUGUAAAAUUCAGCAGAAGUAUCCACACUAUAGACCCUAAAUAGCCGAGUAAAAAUGCUUAACUGUUGUCUGUCAUUUGUGUAGAUGCGAUUAAUGGUAUAAAUGAUAGAGUAACAACUAAUGUAUGGGACAUAGAGGGAAAUAGACAAGUAACUUGCUUAUGAUAAUAUGCAUGUACCUAUGGUUUCCUACUGUUUUUGCAGUGAUCAUGAAUGAGCACUCUAGGGAUGUUGAGAACAGAUGCUUUGGUGUUUAUCUUUUGCUUAUUGUGGUUUGAUUAGAUUCUAAGUUGAAAUCAUGGAGUUAAAACAUCAACAUCAAUAUCUAAAGGUUUAACGAUAAGUUGGUCCAAAACAGAAUGUGCACAGUGAAAUUAUUUAAAAUUCGUUUCCUAAUUGGUAGAAGGCAGAGUCAUGUUAACUAGGUGUUUAUUAGGAAAGAAACAAUGAAUAGAAUUAUACGCAACAUUAAGACAUGAUGGUUCAAGUGGAGAGUUAUGCAUUAAGAGUAUUAUUUGAUAGUCUGUUGCAUGGCAUUUUUAAUCAAAAUGAAAAUGUAUAUGAUGGAUAUCGAAUAGUUUAUUGUUCUGUAAAUGAGAAACUAGUACAUAAUUUUGAAUGUAUACGAAAUUACGGCAUCAUAAUUUUUCCAGAUAUGCAACAUGCUGAAAAAGAAGCACGAGGAAGCUAAAGAAUUGCUUGUUCGAGCUAUUGUAAACAACAAUGCAUUGCUGAUGUUAAACCAUCCCAUGUAUGAGGAGAAGAUAUCCUUUACAGCUGUAUCAUUUCGGGAUCCUGCAACUGCAAAUGUGUUUUAUAUAUCUUUUUGCCAGAUAUCAAACUUGUGAUUCCUUCACCAACAGAACAUCCGCGCCCUUCAGAGGUUUGCUACCAGUCUGCACUCCAAGGACUACUCUUUUUGAACUAGUCAGUGAACAACCAACUAAUCCAGUGUAAGCUCUAACUCUUCUGACUAUAUGCAUACAAAAUCUGAAGGCAAUUUACUAUUUCAUGUUGGUGGUCUCAUUACUAUGAUAAAAGUAGAAAGAAUAAUGGCAAUCAACUUUUGAGUAACUGAGUGCUCAUUUUGGACUCGAGGAUAGUUGAUCAAUCAUUCUGCAAUUGGUGAAAACUCAUACUUGUGGAACAGAUUCUAUGGUAAAAAUUAAUGAACUCUUCUGAUCACUCUCUUGAAAGGUUUUCCAAGUCAAUAGUUUUUCCGAAUGCGAAGGAUAAAUUUGCUGGGAAAGAUUGCAUUUAUUUUAAGCCUGAAAGAAAAUAAUAAAUAUAAAUAUGAGGUCUGCACUUCAUGUUAGUAAAUUGUGAAUUGUGGGAGAGAGGGAAAGACCGGACUGCUUAAAGCAAAUCUUCCAUCUUAAAUAUGAUAAUCGUAUAGUUGGAUAAUAAUUUGAAGUACCAUACAGGAGAAAGAGUUCUGACGAGCCUGGAACCUAAAGGAAUUGAAUCUUUAGUAGUAGAUACUAUUGUGGGGCCAAGUUGAAGUAUUAGGCUUAAAAUGAGCUUUACCUAUCAUUUUUUUUUUUUUUUUUUUUGAGAAAUCAGUAGCAUGCCACCGCUUCAUUCAUUAAAGAGAUGAAUUAAGCUACAAAGUGAGGCAACCGGGCCUCCUGAGGAAUAAAAAAAAAAAAAAAAAGAUUAUACACAGAACGCUUUCCAAAAAGAAAGAGACGAACGGACGGUCGAAAGAAGUUGGCUCAGGGUGGCCUUUCGCUUCUCGAAAAUUCUUUUGUUGCGUUCCAACCAGAUAGUCCACCAUAGGGAGGCGAGUGUAGUUGCCUCCCUUCGCCCGAAGGCACCCACAAGCAAACCCUCCAACAAGGAUUUGGUAAAGUCAUACCGUACAAAAAGAUGAUCUACUGUCUCAGGUAUCGUUCGGCAAAAGACGCAAUCCUCUUCCCCCUGCCAGCCCCUUUUUCGCAAGUUAUCCGCCGUUAGGACCCUACGUUUCAAAACUAUCCAGACGAAAAUUUUCACUUUCAAAGGUACCUUAAUAGACCACAAUCGAGAAUAGCUUUUGUCUAUCACUUCGCCAUCUUGUAGGAAGUUAUACAAGGAUUUAACUGAAAAAAUAUCAGAUUGAGCCCAACGCAAUCUAACGACAUCAUGAUCGCCGUUGGGCAUCGUAUCCGUAACAUUCUCCUUCAGCUUCAAAAUUUGUUCUCUCUUGUAUCGAGCUUGGGGUAAAACCGUGCAGGAUCUUGCGCCACUUCCAACCACCUUCGCCGAAACAAGCCUUCACCAAGUAUGAUUUGUUUAGCACACUACUAAAAUUCCAGGGAAUUGGGACUGGAGAGAAAGUUGACCGCACCAAAUGUCCGACCAAAAAUUUACUCUACUUCCAUCACCAAUCGAGAAUGAAAUUCCACAUUUGAAAACCUCCCUAGUCCCUAGGACGUUCCGCCACCACUGCGAGUACGGUCUGAAGGUGGCUCCUUCUCGUAGCGGACGUCUUCUGGAGUAGUACCGUCCUUCGAUGAGAGGUCCCGAUAAGUGAUUCCUGUCAGCGAGGAAUCUCCACCACCAUUUCGCCAACAGAGCCACAUUCAUAUUCUCCAGGUCCUUGACCCCUAGCCCUCCCCCUUCUCUAUUCCUACAAACCGCCUUCUAUUGGACCAGACAAUGACCCCCGACGACAGUAGUCCCCCCUUUCCAAAAAAAAGCUCAACUCAGUGCUUCGAUGCGGCGUAAAACCCAUUUCGGUGCUCCAAACACCGAGAAAUAAUAAAGAGGUAGGUUCGAUAGGACCGAGUUCACAAGCACCAGUCUACCUCCUUGAGAAAGCAGUUUAGUUUGCCACCCCUCGAUCCGCUUCUCAAUUUUACCAAUAAUAGGCCACCAGUCCUCCUUCCUAAGUUGUCUCACCGAAAGUGGGAGACCGAGGUAACGAAACGGGAAGGACCCCCUCUUGCAUCCAAAAAUUCCGACCAACCUGUCCCCAGAGGAGGCCCCUCUACCUAGGUCAAACAACUCGGACUUAGACCUGCUAAUCUUCAGCCUGGAAGCCCACUCAAACAGUUGCCACAAGAACCGUAGGUUUCGCACCUGCCUAUCUUCGGCUUCGCAGAAAAAGAUGGUAUCAUCAGCAUACUGAAUGAUGGCAAUCUUGUUUGCACUAGUUGAGCCUACCCCUCUUAGUAAGUUAUUGGAAACUGCUCUCGUCGUCAGUCUUGCCAACCCUUCUACCACCAGAAGGAAGAGAAAAGGAGACAAAGGAUCUCCCUAACGUAAUCCUCUACGUGUUUUGAUCUAUUUAGUAGGGGUCCCGUUGACUAGGAUAGCCACUUUAGCAUUGGAAGUGCAUUUCUCAAUCCAACCGCACCACAUCUGAUUAGCCCCUAGCCAUUGCAUGAUCUUUCGCAGAAAUUCCCAGUUCACUCUAUCAUAAGCCUUCUCAAAAUCACUUUUAAUACCAACGCUCUCCUCUCCCACAUGUGAGCUUCAGCUAACUACUUCACUAGCCAUAACGAAGGAGUCCAGUAUCAGUUAGCUUUUUAAGAAAGCGGCUUGAGUAGGGGAAAUAAUAUUUUUCAUAACGCCUUCGAGUCUAUUUGAAAGAACCUUAGAGAUGAUCUUGGAUACCCCGUUGAUGAGACUGAUUGGCCUAAAGUCACUAGCAGAAUUGGCAUCCUCUUUCUUGGGAACCAAACAAAUGUAAGCAUAGUCCAAAGGUCCAGGAUUAAAAUUGGUGUCAAACAACUCUUGAAAGAUAAUAUAGAGGUCGGCCUUAAUCACAUCCCAGAAUUUCUGGUAGAACCUUAGAUUAAACCCAUUCCGACCUGGAGCCUUGUCGCUAUCGAGCUGAAAGGUGGCUUUUCUGAUCUCCUCCUCGACGAACGGGGCCGUGAGCAGCUCCGAACUCAGGACCUAACUAUCACGAAAUAAAUCGCUCCAAUCUCCAAAAGUGGAGUUACUGGGGUUGUUCGGGGCGAAGACGUCUUUGAAUUUAGAAUAGAAAUAUUCCCUUUUCUCUUCCUCCCUAAAGAUUCUUCUACCGUCGUCCUCCACCAAGUCAAUAAAGUUUUGUCUUCUUCUUCCAUUCGCCACCGAGUGGAAAAAUUUAGUAUUGCCGUCCCCUUCUUUCAACCAAUGCUGCUUGGCUCUAGUCUUCCACAAAAUCUCCUCUUCUGCCACUAUAGUCAAUAGUUGUUUCUUGAGUUGUUUUCGCUUAUCCUGCUGUCGCGAGUCAAGGCGAAUGCGUUCCUCCAAAAUGUCUAGCUUUUGUAUCUCAGAUAUUUCUUUCUUCGUCUUCAUGAUACUGUGGAAAUUUGUUAAGCACCACUCCUUAAUCCUCUUGCGGCAAUGUCUUAAUUUGGCCGCAAAAGAGAGAAUGCCCGACCUUUGCCGCGGCACUUCGUUCCACCAGGUAGGCAUCAAAUUAUGACUGCCUCGGCACUUCGUUCCACCAGGUAGGCAUCAAAUUAUGCCCGACCUUUGCCGCAACUUUUACCUAUCAAAAUUUUGAUGACAACUGUUAAGUAUUGGUUCCUGGAUUAGGUUAAUUAUGACUGCCUCGGCGUUUAGUCAUGAAAAUCAUGGAAAGGCAGAAUAAUGAUGAUACUAGAAGCCUAAUGGACUGUUUAACAAGAGAAAAAUUUGAUACUUGGGUGGUACAUGUCACUUAACAGAAAAUGUUACCAUUUCUCUAUUUUGAUCAUCACUUGGCUUCCUUCCUUGGAUUGCUUUUACCUUUUAUGCCCAAAAUUGCUAUGUGCUAGACCUAGCAUAUUGUUUGGUUAUGGCCCCUCAUAAUAGGUUACAAUUCUAAUGCAAUUAAAGAAAUUCAGAUUUGAGCAGCUACUCAAGUCUGAAACAGGAACUAGUUGAUUCGAAAUUAGGUAUGUUUGAAUAUUGGACAAAAUAGCAGAUCAGGUACUAUAUUCAAAAUUAACUCUAACAUGGGCCAAAUUCAAAUUUUGUUGGUUUCUUUGGUGCUACUGAAUUAUGUAUUUUGCGUUGAUCUAAUUUUUCACUAUUGGCCGCUUCACAAAACUAUAAAAAUGGUUGAGGAACUGUAGUUGACUUAUUUAGCAAGGGCAAUCAUUCAUUAGUAAAAAUGAAUUUUCAUGCUAUUAAGCUAGUUUUUUUGUUAUUUUAGGUUAGGCAAAGUUGGCUAGCCUAUUGCCAAAGGAUAGGUUUUGAAUUUUUGAAGAAUAAUGUGUCUCUGGCCUGCUGAUGGUCAUGGUUUGAUGGGCUGCAAAUUUGAAAUCAUAGCUUAACAACUCUUCAGUUUAUUAUCAAGUCCUGUCAUUACCUAAUUUUAAUCCAUUAUUAUUCAAACUUGAAGUGCACAAACAACUUUUUUAGAGUAGACCCGCAUAUAGACAAUACAAAAAGAACAGUUUAUUUCUCAAUGUCUGUAGGAUGAGAAAGUGAAAGUCGAUAGUUGCACUUAUAGCACUUCCAUAGAAUAAUAGCAUUGUCGAUCAGGAAUUUUAACAGGAUCUGAGAGUGGGAUGAUCCUAAACUUUAUUAAUGAUUAUCUUGUUUGUCAACGAGUAACCCAUAUGUUUAGUGCCAUGGUCAACCAUUCAGCUAAGUUGGACAUGUGUUGCAAUGGCAACUGUUGUUCUUAUAGGAAAGUCGUCAAUCAUGAAGUUGAAAUUAAGAUUAAAGUCAAUAUUGUUUUUCUAUUUCUAUAAACUAUAGAUGGCAGGGGACAGUAAUCGACAAUUAUGUUAGAGUGCUUAGAAUUGGCCCACACAUUUAGGCCUUCGUAGUCGUAGAAGCUUUUUCCACUAGCGUUUCUUAUUCCUUGCUUAAAAAAUCAAUCACUUUUUACUUUUCCCAGUAAGGAGCUUUUAAACUUUCAAAAAAUUCUAUGCACAUUGGGGAAAGCAUAGAUUGUUUUAUUCUAGCUUCUGAAAGGAACUGAAGGUUUGAUGUCCUAUUUAUAUAUGUAUUUUUGGUUAGAAACUUUAAAUAAUUUUCCUUUGUUUUGAUGUGUUUAUGCCUUACAAUUCUAUGAUUUUAUUUAUUGGUUUUAACUAUCCAUGGUUUUAUUUAAUUACACUGUAAGAACUGUUUGAAGUAGGUUAGAACGGCAUGUGGCAACAUGGGCUUUAGCUUUAUGACAGUAUUGAUUUUUGCCUGUAUGUAUUUUAAAUUGGUUUUUAAUUUCAUGUGUAAUUUCUAGCCUAUCAUUGACGAGACUAAUUCUAGUAAUUUGCAUAUGCACUAAACCAUAUGGGCGUGGGGUGAUUUUUUUUUUUUUUUUUUCGGUUUCCGUGGGGUUGUCCUAUAUGCAUAGACCCGUUAUAAUAGUUAAUUGCAAAGUAUCAUGCUCUCAUCUUUCUAAAUAUUGGUGGUUUUGUUUUAUUGUAUUGGGUCCACCAUUAAUUUGGCAAUGGGAGAUUCUCUUUUUUUUUUUGCUCGUAGAGAAGGUUUAGGUGGUGGACACAAUGGGACAAUAUUUUGUAGGAAUUAGACAACUUGGAAUCGGUUCAACAAAAAACCCUGUCAAGGCACUUUUCUCUAGUGCACAAAGUGUUUACCUUACAAACACACCAACCAUUUUUCGCAUAUAUUGAGAUCGUUCAUAUUUUUUUGGCAUAAGCGCUUUAAUGUGCUUAAAAGCAGAGGGCGAGUGCUUGUCCUUUGACCUAUCGAUGGAGCCGCACCGUCCAAGAAAAGCUUGUCGUUCUUGAUCUUUUUGUAGAUUCACAAAAUUGGGGGGAUCCGGAGGUGUUCAGGGUUUUCUAUAAUCAACUUAACAGCACCAAAAACCGUCCAAAUUGUGUGCACAUCAUCCAUUAUAGUUAAUGACCCACUACUUUAGUGUCUCAAUGUGCACCGAUGUGGUGACUUGGAUCUCUAUUUUAGAGGGUUACUUUAGGAUUAAUUGCAUCAUUGGUCUCCAACCUUUUUACCUUUUUUUCACUUUGGUCCCAAUAUUUUUUUUUUUUUUUUUGCAAUUAAGUAUCCAAACCUUUUAUUUUAUUACAAUCAAGUUCUAGUCCUAAAGAAAAAGGCUAAAUUUGACGGAAUGCGCCAUGUUAGCCCCAGUUAAGCGCUUACGUGGCUUUUUUUGGGAGGUUAAUUUUGUUUGGAUUGGAAUUCAAAGUUUGAACAUGAACUUAUAAUUUGAAAUCAAAUUAUGAGUUAAAAUUCAAAAUUUAAUUUUAAACUAAAAUUAUGAAAUUUAAAAUUAAAUUAAAUUUGAAUUUGAAUUUAAAACUAUAAUUUUGAUUUAAAACUGGUGAGAAAUUUGAAUUGGAUUUGACUUUGAAAUUGAAUUUGAAUUUUAAUUUUGAUAUUUAGAAUUGAUAUAACACUAAAUUUGAAUUAAAAUUCAAUUUAAAUAUUAAUUUGAAUUUCUAUUUUAAUUUAAAAUCUAAAAUAUAUUUCAAAGUUUGAAUUGAAAAUUAGAAUUUGAAUUGGAAUCUGAAUUUGAAUUCAAAAUCCAAAUUUGAAAUUGAAAAUUGAAUUCAAAUUUUGGUUUUGAGUUUCAUAUUUAAAUUUAAAUUCUUACUUUGAAUUUCUGUUUUAAAUUCAAAUUCUAAAUUACAUUUUUAAAGUUGAACUUAAAAUCAGAAUUUAAAUUUGAAUUUGAAUUUUUGUAUUCAAAAUAUGAAUUUGAAAUUGAAAUUUGAGUUCAAAAUUUAAAUUGAAUUUAUUUGACUUGUAACUUUGCAUUCAAAAUUUUUAUUUCGAAAUUAAAAUUUGAAUUUUGAUAUUUCAUCAAUAUUGACUCUAAAUUUGAAUUCGAAUUCAAAAUCUGAAUUUGAAUUUUAUUUUUAAAAUUGAAUUUUAUUUUUAAAUUUGAAAAUUUAAAAUUUAAAACCUUAAUUUGAAUUUCUAUUUUAAAUUUAAAAUCUAAGUUACAUAUCAAAAUUCGAAUUUAAAAUCCAGAAUUUGAAUUUGAAUUUUUGAAUCUAAAAAUCUGAAUUUGAAAACAAAAAAAUCUAAUUCAAAUCUAUAUUUUAAUUUCAAAUUUAAAUUUAAAUUCUUCGUUUAAAUUUCUAUUUAAAUUCAAAAUCUAAAUUACUUUUCAAAUUUUGAAUUCAAAAUUUGAAUCUGAAUUUUUGAAUUCAAAAUCCGAAUGUGAAUUCUAUAUCUGAAUUUGAAAUUGAAAUUUGAAUUAAAAAUCUGAAUUUGAAUUUAAAAUCGAAGUAAAGAUCUGAAUUAGAAGUUUCAAUUUCAAAUUUGAAUUUGAAGAUCGAAUUCAAUUUCAAAUUUGAAUUUGAAAUUCAAAAUCAAAAAAUAAAAUUAAAAUUUUGAAUUUGAAUUCAGAAUUAAAAUUUUGCUUUGAAAUUCAAAUCUAAAAUCAAUUUUAAAUUUUAAAUUUGAACCAAAAUUAAAUUUGAAAUUUCAAAUUUAUAUUAAAAUUAGAAUUUAAAUUUGCAAUUUGAAUCCGAGAUAAAAAUUUAAAAUAAAAUUUAAAUUAGAAAAUCUAAAAUUUCAAAUUUAAUUCAAAAUAUAAUUUAAAUUUCAAAUUUGAAUUUAAAAUAUAAAUUUAAAAUCAAAUUUAAAGUAAAAUUGUUUAAUUAGCUGGCAUUGUUGGGUGUUUAGCUAGUGCUGACGCGGCACAUUCCAAUAAUUUAAAUGGGCGUUUCAAUGACUUUGAUCUAUUUAAAAUAAAAUGAAGAGUUUAGAGACUUGAUUGAGGGGAAAAAAAAAGAUUUUGGGGGCCAAAUGGAAAAAAGAUGCAUAAGUUGACCAACAAUUUGUCCAUUUCAGCCCUUUUCUUCUUAUUUUUGCAAUUAAGAUUUCUGACCUUCUGCAAUUUGUUUUUUUUUUAAGUUUCUUCUGUAAAAAAUUCUAUACAUCUUAACCCAAACUGCUAUGUUAGGACAAAGACCAAUUAACUUCAUAAUGUAGCCUUGCAAUGUAUUAUCUCUUAUUUUAGGAGUAAAAUCAGAAUAAUUUUAAAAGUAAAUGAGGUAGUUUACUUCUAAUUAAUUUCUGAAAAUGGGCCACCUAAAUUAACGACCACAUUAUUAAACUUGAUAUAUUAUUUGAACUUUCUAGAAAUUAAAUUUUCUGAUAUUAUGACUUCAUUUGUAUGGUGAUUAUGUGGUUUCAAAUUCAUUUUAUAUUAGUUAUUAAAAAUUAUCAAUUUUGAAACCUAUUAACUGUUAGGCAAAUAAUGUUGAAAAAUCAUAAAAUUUGAAUCUAAAAUGUUCAAAUACAAAGUUUAAUAGUGUUGAUUCGGUUGUGUCGUCAUCGAAAUUAAUGCAAAAAAAUACACGGCCUUAUUUGCUUUUAGAAAUAUUAUAAUGUUGCUCUAUAUUUUUCUUUUUGGGAAUCUCUCUACUAUUUUCAGGUUAGAAAAAAAUGUAUUAUAUACCAAAUUUAUGUUCGCCCAGUGGCUUAGUACUAUGGUUCCUUUUCUGGUGCUUUACAUAUGGAAGAUAAUGUUUUAGUGUUCCAAAUUUAGUCACUGUUGGACUUGAUUAUGGUAACUUUCAAUUGUGGCCACACUUCUGCUGAUAUCUACAAAGUAGGAUGCGUAUUCUGGACAUUACCGACCCAUAUGUCUCAAAAGCUAUCGGGCUUUUCCUUCUUUUCUUUUUCCCCUUUAAUCUUCGGGUCAAAUUAACAAUUAAAAAUGAGUUGGUUCCUACGUGGUGCCGACGUUGACUCCAUUUAUCCAUUGGAUAUAUCUAAAUGGUGUUUGAUUCACAUUCAUGCCACUCAAAAUUUCUAAUUACUUUUCUCAAGCAAGCAUCCAAUGUAAGAUUCUCUUUUGUACAUGGGCAGCACAGUUAGCAUAGUCGGUGCGAGCUUAUAGGCACGGACAGCAUAUGUCCAUUAUGUUAGGCUGAGCUAAUUGACACAAAAGUCUUGUUCUUUUUUUCUUGUUUACGCAUGUAUUUUUGCAUAGAUUUUUCUAAGUGUUGUUUGACAAUAAAGUAAAAGACAUUUCACAUUUAUGCUAUUCAAAAUUUCUAAUUUCUUUUCUCAAGCAAGGAUUGCGGUAUAAGGUUCUUUUUUAUUCGUGCACAAAUACAAAUACUGAUCAUGCUGUGUAGUGCUGACUGGCACAAAAAUAUUAUUAUUAAGUAUUUGCCUAUAUUAUUUUUGAAAAAAUUGAAGUAUUUUACUUGUCAUGCAAUUAAUCUUGUCUAGUCCAACUUAUCUCAAAACUAUCUUUAAUUGUAACCUUAUUAGGCUCAUCUUUCGCAGCCCUACUUCAGUUGUUUCCAACUUUUCUUUUGGGGAGAAAUUUCCAACCAUUCAUCUCAUCACUGAUUUGUUGCGCUUCUUCUGGGUAGUAUUUCUCUUCAUCAUUUUCCUAUCCUCUCUAUCAUUCUUCCAAAAUCAAUCAUAAUCCCCUAUUCCUCUUAUUUUGCAUCGCUUCAUCCAAAUUCAUUCUAAAGUUAAAAAGUACAAAAUGAAAAGCAGGGGUUGCAAAUAUAGUUAAGAGGAAGAAGAUGACAAUGGAACUAAGGCUGGAACUUUGUUCCUCUUUCACGGGGUGAGACAUCGUAGGGACUGGAGGUUCUGGUGAUGCUCUUCUUUCUAUUUAUUAUUCUCUUUUAGAUAGGAGUAUAUAUUUAGGAGAUGAUAAAGAAAUUUGCUUCGUUCUUUAGCUAAUCCGUCGAGUGGAAAUGCAUUUGAGGGCCAUUACAACUUUCAUGUUAAUCUAAACUUCUGUUGUAUAGUUGGCCAUGAUUCAGAUAUCAAUCCUUGCAGAUAGAUGCACACGUAGUGAUGAGUGGAUAUACACCUCGUACAUCUCUCAUAGAUUGUACCAAAAAAAAAAGAGGAAAAAAAAAUUGGGUGAUGUAAAGUGAAAGGGCUCAAAUCUUUUUUUUUCCUGAAUGGAAGGCCAAACAUAUGAUACAAUCAUGCUUUUAAUUUGUGAACUCAAGUAUUUUGUUCUAAUUGCAGCUAUAGGAAGCUAUUGAAUUGGCGGCAACUGUCGGCGUUGCCCACUGAAUUUUAAAUAUUCAUUUACACCUACCCUCAACGUCUAUACCCAAUAAGCUCUUACUUGUGCAUAUAUAUAGGGUGCCAACCACUGCUUUGAUGCUACAUUCUUCAGUACUGAACUUCAGCAAUAGCCUCCUAACUGAACUGAAGCAGGAGAUAUAUAUGGCGUGUUUGAGAGCCAAGCACAUAUUUUUCCUCAUCUUGCUUCUAUCACUUUGUUUUUCGACAGCCCGAUUGUUGGACCGCAAGGAGCUCAUGAAUGCGUCUGAAGAGUCGGAGGCCGGCCUGACGACGACGGUCUUCAGAGGACGGUCUGGAGGAGAAGACACGGCUGACAGCAUCUACGAUUCCAAGCGGCUGAGCCCCGGCGGCCCAGAUCCUCAGCACCAUUCCAUGGGUCCCUACUCAUAUGCAGUUUCGGUUCACAGUAGACCAUGAAAAAUUCGUGUUUUCGUAUUGCCAUUGCGUCCUUGUAAUUGGUAGUCCCAUUUGACUCCGGCAAUAUAAUGAACUUUCUUCUGGUUUCGAUUCACUGUAAGGAAUUGGGAUUCGCUGUGGCAUAAUAAUUUUCAUGUUGAUGGUUCCACGAAAGCUCUAGUUCCAUUGUCUCUUAUCCUUUGUAUUGGUCGUCUUAUGUUUCUGUAGUCGGUUUCUAUUACGAAGAUCGAAUUCGCCUGGGUUUUGAGUAAAGGUGCCUUCAUUCCAGUGUUUCGUUUUGUUCUUACUUCAAACGAGAAACAACAAAAGAACGAAUUCGAUUUUGAUUUCACUACGACUCUCUAAGCAGCAACGAGAAUAAAUACGUUUAUUAAGGCUUCCCCAGCUUUUCCCCAUCUGGCUUUACUGUUAAACCGCCGCCAUUAGCAUAACAUAGAAAAGGCCCACGUAAAACCAGUGCUCAAAUACACGUAUAUUCUCGCAAACUAUGAAUAGUUGUACAGUAUCAUAAACACUACGUUUACUUUUUUUUUUUUUUUUUUUGAGAAUAGGUAGCUCGCUACAUGCUUCAUUCAUUGAUGGAUGAACUAGGCUACAGAGGUGAGGCAACUAGGGCCUCGGAAAAAACCAAAAAACAACUAGGGCCUCNAAAAAAAAAAAAAAAAAAAAAAAAAAAAAACCAGAAGGUACACGUGGUCUAAUGCCAUCAGAGGAGGAUUUCCCACGAAAGUAACAACUGCUUUAUCCUCUGUACAGCCAAAAUCGGAUCUAGUAGGAUGUUUCGAAAAAUCAGAUCAUUUAUGAUCUUUCAAAUGGUUCGCCAACAAGCAAUCAGUUCCGGGAGUCUGUUGCUCUUGUUAUACCGUCCUUUGCUGGUCGCCCACCUAUCCCAGACAUGAUACAUGUCGUCACCUAGCUUACCCCCUUGCACGCCCUCCACCCCCAUGACCAUGAUGAACUUGGUAAAAACAGAUGGUCCACUGACUCAUCAUGGGCAAUGCAAAGCACACAAAGUGUGUUGCCAGUCCACCCUCUCUUUACAAGGUUAUCAGCUAUGAGAGGCUUUUUCUUUAGGACAAUCCAGGAAAAUACUUUGACCUUUAGAGGUAUUCGGAGGCUCCAAAUCUUGGUAGCCCGUCCGUCCCUCGUUCCCCCGUCACUCAACAUGCCGUAGGCCGAUUUGACUGAAAAAUCGCCUUUGGCUCUCCAUCUCCACCAUAACCUAUCCGGUCUCUGCGCGACUUUAUACAUACCAAUCUCAUUCUUGAGAGCCAACAGGUUGGCUGACAGCCCUGUUGUAGAAGCGAACUCAUCGCCCAGAAUUCUAUCCCAUCUCCAGUCCUCACUAUCGAAACAAUCCCCAACCAAUAGGGGUUUACGAUUCGUCAUCGCAUAUAUCUCCGGAAAUGACGUUUCAGAGCGGAUUCCCCGCACCAUCGAUUAGACCAAAAGUCUAUAGAGCUCCCAUUGCCCAAUUUAUAGGAUAUUCCCCAAUUGAAGAUAGCAUUGGUGGUUAGGACUCCCUUCCACCAAAACGAGAAGGGUCUAAAACUUUUUCCUUCCUUUAGAGGUCGUCUUCUUUGGUAAUAUAAAGCUCGGAUAAUCUUGACCCACUGCAGGUGUGGAACUGUGUGAAAUCUCCACCGCCAUUUGACCAGGAGAGCCCGAUUCAUGAUAUCGACAUCCAGAAUACCAAGCCCGCCUUCGAUUUUGCUCACACAGACGUUCUUCCAUGCCACUAAACAUCCCUUGCCAGUGGAAUUCCUAUUACCCUUCCAGAAGAAGUCUCUACGUAUGGCUUCAAUACUCUUAAUUACCCAUUUAGGCAUCUUAAAAACCGAAAGAAAGUACAGCAGUAGAUUGGUAAGAACGGCAUUGACCAAGAUGAGUCUACCCCCUCGUGAUAGAAGCUUGGCUUGCCAUCCAUCAAUUCCAUUCAGCAAUUUCUGAAUGAUCCCUCUCCAUACCUCCUUUGUGGGGGGUUUAGGGGAAAGAGGGAUGCCUAGGUAAGUGGUAGGGAGAGUACCCACUCUACAGUCGAGCAGCUGCACGAGCCUUUCCGCUUUGCCCUCAUUCUGUCCAAGGUAGUAUAGUUCGGACUUCUCACUAUUAAUUUUCAUCCUCGAAGCCCACUAAAAAAGACACCACAUCAAGCUGAGAUUUCGCAUAUAUUUUUUCCUAGCCUCCGAGAAGAAGAAGGUAUUGUCCGUGAAUUGGGUGAGGAUAGUUUUACUUUCGUCAGACGGCCCAAUACCCAUGAAGAGGUUAUUAGAAGUGGCCUCAUUGGUCAUUCUGGCCAAGCACUCCGCCACCAUGAGGAACAGGAGUGGUGAUAACGGAUCUCCUUGGCGAACUCCUCUCUUCAUCUUAAUCCACUUGGUCGCCUCACCAUUGACCAAUAUGGCUACUUUCGCAUUGCACACACAUUGCUCGAUCCAUUCACACCAUUUUAAAUCAAAUCCCCACCACUGGAGGACAUUGAAAAGAAAGGGCCAGUGUAUCCUAUCGUAAGCUUUUUCGAAGUCUACUUUUAUACCGACCCCCUCGAUUUUCUUCUUACUACCCUACCCCAGGAUUUCCGAAACAGUAACGAAAGCAUCAGUGAUGCUCCUCCCUUUCACAAAUGCUGAUUGAGUGGGGGAAAUUAGGUCACUCAGAACCCCUGCGAGUCGAUUGGCUAAAACCUUCGACAGUAUUUUCUGGAUGCCGUUGAGGAGGCUAAUUGGUCGAAAGUCAUUCGCUCUCUCGGCCCCUUCCUUCUUCGGGAUUAGGCAGAUAAAGGUAUAGUCGAUUGGUGACGUAGACAUCGUACCCUCGUAGAAUUCCUAGAACAGGUUGAGUAAAUCACUCUUAAUGGCAUCCCAAAAGAUUUGGUAAAACCUUAGUGGGAACCCAUCCGGGUCCGGAGCUUUAUCACUUCCCAGUUGGAAAACCGCUUUCUUUAUUUCACUAAUGCUGAAGUGUUCUGUUAGCCUCCUGAGCAUAGGAGCCGAAACCCGCUUUGUGGAAAAAAACCCACUCCAAUCCCCGAAAGCAGCCGACGUCGUCACGUCUGGCGAGCAAAGCUCUUUAAAUUUAAGAUAAAAGUAAUCCUUUUUGUCCUUCUCUGUUUGGUAUACGAGUCCGUUAUCGACAACCACCCCAAUCCCGUUGGCUCUUCUUCUUCCAUUAGCUAUACUAUGGAAGUAUUUAGUGUUGGCCUCGCCCUCCCGUAACCAGUGCUGAUUAGCCCGGGAUCUCCACAGGGAAGCUUCAUCGUUAAUAACACGUCUUAAUUUCUCUUUUAACUCGUCUCUUUUCGUGAUCAAUUAUGUUGGUAAUACACCUUGUUUCUCAGCAAGGUCUAUCUCUUGUAUUUCACCCAUUAGGGAAUUUUUUAGCCCUCUAAUACUGUAGAACUCGUUAUUGCACCAUUCUUUAAUAUACUUUUUAUCGAAGAGAAAUGUUAUGUUUACCUCUAUAGUAUAAGUGUAAUAUUUACACUCUUGGCUUUCUAUGACUAGAAUUAACUCAUUAGGUACGUGAGGGUUUAUGAUUUACAGCUUUAUGCGUCAUGCACAGGUAGCAUUUUUCUUUAGAGUAUCACAUUCCAUGAUUCCCUCUUCCACUAUCAAGGAGAGUGCUCUGCAUCAUGCUCCCAUGCAUGCAUGGAUCGCAUUAUCUUCAUCUAUAAUAUACUCGGAGCCUGAUCUCCUAUAGACUAGUAAAAACUCAUUAACACAUAAAUAAAGUGCGUUUUUUGCAUAAUCAAUCCUAAGGAACUUUGUUACCAAGCUCAUUUGUUUAUACGCGCGUUUCAAGUUCACUAGCCGUUAGAGUUCGGUACUGAAAAAGGGUUCAUUAUUCAAAUACUUUUUAGUGGUCACAACACUCUUAAAUAUAAUUUAUACCAAGUUAGUUGGCUUUUCAUAGAUGAUAAGACUCUGUUUGGGAUGAUAGGAAGAUUGUGUUACGUACAGUAAAAAAAUACUCUAUUUAUUUUAGUUCUACGAUCCUACCAAAAAGCAGAAAAAUAUAUUUCUAUAUACUUUCGUCUCAACUCUGUUUUGCAUACCAGCAUUAGAUGGGCCUAAAUACUAAAUGAGCCCGAAGAUUUAACUAGCAACUAAGCACUUUCUUAACGAUGCUUUGGUGACGUACAAAAGGCGAUAAGUACUAAGAAAAGUUCUAUAGAAAAGCCUAAUAAGCUCCAAAUUUUCGCUUGUCAUAGGUUGGACUCACACUUUUGGUUGGUAUGUGUUGUAAGAGUUGCAACCUUUUUCUUUUUCUUUUUUUUUCUGGCUAAUUAAGUUAAGCCAAGUUGGCUUACAUUAAUACACCAAAAUAGAAGAGAAAGUGAAAACGUCUUUGCGUUCGUGUAAAUCCUCGCACAUUGGUUCUUUAGAUUUUGGGACCACCUUAGUUUACAUCAAAAGUAUCCAAUCUUUUCUCUUUUCAAUUUAACUGUAACUAAAAUGCAGUGCACAAAUUAUAAAGGUGGAGAGUUAUCAUCUGCAUCCAUAUAUAUAUAUACAUCUUGUGCACCGCACUUUGUAUUUGAUUAUCAAUUGUCUAUGAAAUUUAUAUUCGGACAAUUUAAGUUGACUACUAUUAGCUAGUCAAAAGCUAAAAAAUAAUAAUAAAGAAUGCAUGGUGGUGAUAUAUAGAUGAAUCUUACUAUUGAUGCCAAAAUAUUAUUUUGUAAUUAAAAUAAACCUCCCACUACAACAAAAACGGUCUAUAGUGACACUUUUAAAUAUAGGUACAUGUCAAAAAAGUGCUGCUAGCUAAAAUUACCGAUACUUUUAAAAAGUGUUGCUAUAUAUGGGGUCGCUAGGUAUAUAGUGACAGUUAAAGAGUAUCGCUAUAAUCUAAAAGAGUGUUGCUAAUUUACCAACACUUAUUUAAGUAUUUAGCAACCGCCGAAACUCUAUCUCGUUGGUUGCGGUGGCAAAGGAGGACGACAGUAAAGACUCUUCGUCUAGAAUUUCAGUGGAUUAAGUGAAGAGAGAAGAAAAGAUGGUAAUUGGUUUUUCUUUUUUUUUUUUCUGUUUGUAAUCGGACCAAAUGGACUGGAUGUGGUGGGUUGAAUAGAGUAAUCUUUUAUUUUUGGUUGGAUUGGGCUUUAUAUUUAGACAUUAGUAGAUGUGUUUUUAAGUUUUAGCAUAAAUGGGACACUUACUCAAAAGUGUCCUAAACAUGUGUCCCUAUAAUCUAAUUCUAUUGUAGUGUCCUUUACUGCAAUGAUUCAGUAAAGAACCAUUCAAUAAUUUUUAUACUUUGAAAUUUGGAUGUAUUAUUUAUUUUUGAGUACGCGUCGACUCAACAAAUUAAACUCGGAAAAUAACUCAAGUAGUUCGUGAAUAGAUAAGGUUAUGGCUAAGGAUAAUGUUUAUUUCCACAAUAAAAGUGUUCUCGUGCAAGUCAAAGCUUAUCGUGUUUACGUGCACGACCCACUCGCGUUGUUAUAUCGCCAUUUGUCUUUGUGUUAGUACGGAGAACUCACUUUUAUUCCACGCCUGUACAAUUCAACUAUAAUUUUGAAACUCAGACCUCAUGGUGUUCUUUUUAUUUUUUUUAAAUAAAAGUUUUAUUUAAGUGCGCACGUUGAUGCAUGCAUGGCUUUUUUAUUUUUUAUUGUUGGCAUUCCGUCAAACCGAAUCGGAUGCAUCUCUAUAUAUAAUCGGGUCCGAUUUGACGGUUAUUAUAUUAUCUAAUUAGACUAGUUUUAAUCUCGUUUUUAAUUCGAAAAGUUAAUUAGAGAUAUAUUUUAGCCAUAUUAAAAUUAAAAACUGAUUUAGCCUAAUUUUCUAUUUUUCUAUUAGGAUGUUGGGAAACCUUAUAGAUAUAUAUUCCGGCAAUUCUUUUAUAAAACAUGAACGAGAAAAAAAAAAAGAAAAAAUACUCAGAAAUUUGUGAGAAAUUUAUGCGACAUUUUGUGGGAGAAAAAAAUCACAUUCUUCAUUAACUUAUUAUUUUUAUAGGGUUUUGAACGGUAGAUUAUAAAUUUAGCUCGUUCGUAACUCGAUCUGCGGCAGGUUGGAGUGUCAGAAAAUCUUCGUGGACGGUCCGAGAAUACAUAAAUCAACCUUUACGAUUCAAAACCUAUCGCAUUUUAGUGCGAAUCGCUUCUGUUAAAAUAGGAACAAAUAUUUUCGCUAUGUUCUAUAUUUAUUAUGAUAGUUAAGUUAAAAUACAGUUCAGUCAGACAAGAGAUGACAGAGAGCUCACUCAAUAAUAAUAAUAAUAAUAAUAAUAAUAUAUAUAUAUAUAUAUAUAUAUAUAUAUAUUGCUGCCAAACAAACACAUUGGAUGUGAGAUGCAAGCAAUUUAUUCUCUACUCAAUUACUCGUACACUCGUUCAUGUAAAAAUUUUAUUCAAUAAAAAAAAAAACAGUUUCAACAAUGUCAAAGCCCUUGAAACUAUUAUUUAAUUACUAGCUCCAUAGCAUUUAGUAAUCUUUAGUAAUGCUUCUAUACAUGUUAGAAGCAUCAAGGUCAUUUAUUUUGUCCAACAAUUCUAAAGCAUGCUGCAAUAGAGCGAUGAUCAUAUCCCUUGAUUAUAUAUGUUGUGAUUAUUGAACGUUUUGAUCUCUAAAUAUUAAGGUUAACCUAAUAAGAAACAGUUGAAGAGUAUUCGACACAAAAUGGUAGAUGAAUCGAACUUCGAAUCUCUUAAAACCAAGAUAACUCGGGGCCGAUCUAAUGCAUAUAUGCUAUAUAAACCUAAAGAAUGCGGGAUUUAGUCUUAACGUAAAGUUCAAACAUGGCUUCUUUAAACACUCCCUCAACAAUGGUUACUAUAUACUAGUGUAGUGACCCGCGCGAUUCGACAAGUAAAUAUAUUAUAAUCUUUUAAAAUUUAAAUUUUAAAUCUUAUAUUUCUAUAAGUUAUUUUGUAGAAAGUAAAACACAUUUACUUUAAAAGUUUUAGUAAUUUUAAAGUAUAUUGAAAAGUAUGAAGAUUUUUUUUUUUUAACAUUUUAGUUUUUUACAUUGAAGCAUCACAAUAGAUAUCAAAUCACAUCUAUUUCCGACAAUUUAAUUUAGAUGCCUUAUUAUAUAGGUAGUGACGUGUAGAUUUAAUCAGAAACAAUAGAAAAUAUAUUUAGCAAACAAAUUUCAAUAUAUCCAUUAGAUUGCGCUAAGUAUGGCAUUAGUUUGUAUAAUAAUUAAUCAUUUCAAAAAUUCUAAACCCUAAUAUAAACAAAUCUAUCAAAAUUUUCAGUACAAUCAAAUCAUUAUACAAUCUAUAUCUAUACCUAUACAUUAUUUUUCAUGAAGUCUUGCCACGUGGCGGUCCCUCCUUUAUCCUUAACCUUCUCCUCUCUUCUCUAAUCACAACCCACACUCUUCAUCUCCCCACCGAGUUACUAACGCAUCAUUAAUUUUAAUAAUUACGAUCUUAAACCCACAUUCUUCAUCUCCCCACCAACAAGUUACUAACGCAUCAUUAAUUUUAAUAAUUACGAUGAUCCACACAAUUAGCAUCACUAAAACCCCAUCAUCAUCAUCUCCUCAUUCUCCGAAACCAAAUACCACACUCCAACAAUGUCCUAUGUUACAAACCAACUCUUCUUUCUAUUAUUCUUAUUAUUAUUCUCGAACGCGAGUACGAACCCGUCAACGCCAUUCGGGUCGAGCCAUGAUUGUUCGGGCGCUUUGUUUAGGUUCAGCGAAUGCUUAGAGUUUGUGGAGGGCGGGGCGAACGGGGCCGAAUCGGGGUUGCUGCUCCGGGCUCGGUCACGUGCUUAGCCGGAGCGUCACGUGCCUCUGCUAGACCAUACGAGAAGGGGCGAGGCUAGACGUAUCCGUGAACGUCACCAAAGCUCUCGCUUUGCCCUCACUUUGUGGGCUCUUCUACACGCUAAUAGUCCCCUAUUACAAAAGUAAGAGGUGUAUUUUUUUUAUGGUCCAAUUUCAUAUAUACAAAUUGCUUUCAUAAGAAAAAAAAUAAGUAAAAUAAGAUUUCUUCGUACUAUUUUUUUUUAUUUUUUUGGCGCAUAAGAAUGGUUCAUAUUUUAUAAUUUUUUAAAAUUUUUUUAACUUUUUGUUUUUAAAUUGUAUGUGUACUGAAAUUAGGGUUUCGUGGAUUAUAGUGCAGCAUCGCGGGGGAAAGCGAAGAUAGAUUUGGAGUCAAUGAGAGGAAAGAAGUGGUAGGUUUGGAGAGAUAUGUAGGGAAUCAACGUGGCUGUGACGAAAAAGAAGCUCAACGUUGAUAAUGGCGGCAAAGGUAAUGUGGAGAUGGGGAUUCGUCUUCCCGAUGUCGGUAGUGCGAUUAAGAUGCGUAUGGAGUAAUAAUUCUAUUGCUGCUUUUUUUAUUACUAUUUUUUAUAAUUUAUUUACUGAACUUAUAAAUUUUGUUACAUUUGUACGUAUAUCUGUUUCAUCUCUUUUAUUUGUGUAUAUGUUAAUAUAUAUUAUCUUUAUUUAUUAAUGUCUUAUGGCAAUUCAAAAAAUUUAAAAUUUUUACUUGUGAAUCUUCUGUUUUCUAUAUAUAGCAUCAGCCUGCCGCAAUGCGUGGGUAACUUCACUAGUGGAUACAUUAUAAUUUGUAAAUAAAUCAAAUCAUUAUACAAUGGAGACAUUAUGAUUUAUAAAUAAAAAUAAAUAUAAAAAUUUAUAAUAUAAUAACCAAAAUGCUGGAAAUAAAUAUUAAAAAAAUAUAGAAAUUCUAAAAAAAAUUUACCUUAAAUUGGAAGAGUCGAAUCCCACAUAAUUUAAAAUAUAUUAUACGGUAGAAAAAUCUAAAUAAACAAAUAAAACAUCAAAUUCAAAUAAAAAAAGAACCUUUCAAAUUAAUCGUUAUAUCAAUUUUCUUGAGACAAAGUAAACAAUAUUUAGUACAUCAUUUCUUAUUCAUCCAAAAUGAGUAUGAGUACAACCCUUUGUAUAGACUCUAAAUUGACAUUUCAUAUUCUAAGAUGACUUUUUAUUUUCUUUUAUUAGAAUAUAUGGCUUUUCAUAUUCUCAACUUUUUAAAUUUUUAGAUAUAUUAAGUUUUCCAACCUUUUAAUUUCUAAUUAAUUUUUAAAAAAUAAUAAAAAAAAUUGGUGGGACCCACAUUCUUAAUUUAAGGGGUAGUGCAUGGGGCCACAUUUCCAAAUUAAAAAAAUGAUGAUCUAUCCAUAUAGAAAAAAAAAUGAUGAAAGAAAAAACACAAUUAAUUUGAAAAAAUAAAAAAAUUGAUGGGACCCACACCCUCAAAUUAAGGUGGUUGGGUCACAUCAACUUUAAGAACAUGAGGAUUCAUAAUUUUAUAUAGAUAUAUAGAUAUAGAUAUAGAUAUAGAUAGCUAUCAUUUCAAAUUUCAAAAUAGCUAGUAUAAUAUAAUUCUAAAGUGAUCGACCGUCCCUAGAGCAAGUGGCAAAGGGUUUGAUGGUUGGUACCCGAGACCCAAGUUUGAAUCCUAAUUGAUUCACAUUUCCAGCUAAAUUUAUUUUUAAAUGAAAUAAAUGAAGCAGGUAGCGUGUUAUCCAUCUCUUAAAAAAAAAAAAUCUAAAGUGAAGCGAACCUUUCUCUUUGCAUGCAUGCAUGCAUGUGCAUGCAUUUUACAAAUUAAAUUUUUUAGGUAGAUAGAGUUAGUAGACCAUUCGACUACUGGUCGGUGAAGGAUAAGAUUCUUACAACAUUUUCACUAUAUAUAGCUUGUCGACCUACUAUAGGCAUGCUACUAAAGGCAAGACGAGGGGAUUAGUUCUUAAUUACUAGGUAAAAGUGUUUUAGCUUAUCUGAACCAUAAUAUUUUUUACUCUGACUGCCUAAUUUUUAAAACUUUUUAUUUGGUUUUUGAGCCAUUUAAUGACUCUUUUCACUUUAAAUUUGAAUGCACCAUCUAAUUUUAUGAGCUUUAGAUAUUUGUGGAUUGAGAUUUCAUGUGAUUACAUUUCUAUUAAAGAAAACAGUGCGCUCAAAUUUUGCAGCAAAAAAUGUGGCUCAAUUUAACUAAACCAAUACAAAUGUGAGGCACUAAAAUUAAAAACUUUAAAGAUUUAGUAGUGAGAUUCAGUUACGUUCCAUGCACUUUUAUCAUUUAGUUUAGGUAAAAAUGUAUAAAACAUAUCUCAACUAUCAUCUGUUUUAAUCUAACUAUAAAAUUUUUAAUUUUACUAUCUAAUCUUUGAAUUUAUUUGAUUUGAGUCAGGUAGUGAUCCUUUCUAUUCUUUACAAAUUUUAUUAAUAUAUUUUCAUGUAAUUCAUGCACGUAACUAUAAUUUCAUUAAAGUUAGCAAUUAGCUUAAAUUUGGUAUCCAAAAAAUAUCAAAUUAUUUAAAUCUAACAAUUAAAUUGAAAGAUUGUGCAUUAGAAUCAAAAUUUUGAAAAACCGGAUAGUGAAAUCAAAAUAGUCUAUAGUUCAGAUAAGUUGUACAUAUAUAUUUUUAUCUUUAUUUUAUUUGAAGAGUGGCUAUUAAUUAAACGAUAGAACGUCAUAAAAUAAGAAAUUAGGGUUUUAUUAGGGUUUUAGAGUGGUUACCCUACACGACACUGCGUGGUGGAAUUGCCGUCCUUAUGAGCCAAAAAGGAACCGAGCCUGCUCUACUAUACGUACAUGUUGUUUAGAUGGAUAAACUUAAUUAUAUAGUAUAGUAUAGUAUAGUAUAGUAUAGUAUAGGUGGCUACUGUUUCCAAAAGAAGGAAAAAAAAAAAGAAAAAGAGCAUGUUGUCUGGAUAGAUAAACUUAAUUAUAUAUUACAGGUGGUAACUGUUUGAAAUAAUUUAUUACGGGCUGUUAUAUAUGGUGGGAUUAAUUAUGUCGCUAGUAGGUUUAUGACUUGCUUGGAUAUUUGUAGGCUGGCAAUUUAGCUCGUUGUUCACAAGUCAACUCAUAAUUGGCUUGAAAAUGCACUCGACAUUGAUCACUCAUUUGGUAAAUGUGUCAAAUAUGAGCUAAAUUUUAUGUAUAUAGAAUCUAGCUAUACUAUCCUAUUAAUAGGAUGGAGACCUUCGUCUUAUCAAGUCGUUCUUAAUGAUAGAGAUGCCGAAUCGAUAAUCCGAACUAUUAAAAUUGAUCUAGGGUAUUUGAAGUAUCUAGAAACUAAAUUUUAGAAAUUUUAAAAAUUAUUUACAUGGUGAUCAAAGGAUCGUAAAAUCGACAAUUUUUAACGACCUACAUGAACCGUUUGCUUAUUUAACGGUGCAGAACAAAUCCAAAUUGUUUGAAUUUUUGAUAAAUUUUGUUUAUACUAUUUAGAUAAUAUUUGAUAACUCUGAUCAUGAAUUGAGAAAGUCUAAUCUCUAUUUUAAGAAGGAUAUUCAUUUAUGACCGUUCAUUUUUCGACUAUUCGAUAGACUUGAUAAUGAUUUUUAAAAAUUACAAAAUUCAGUUUUUAAAUAUUUUUAUAGUGUAGAUUAAUUUCAACGGUACCGAUUAUCAAUUUGGAGUGUCGAUCAUUCAAAACAACUUGAUAGGACAAUGAUCUCAAUCCUAUUAAUAGGAUAGUAGCUGGACUCUCUCUCUCUCUCUCUCUCUCUCUCUCUCUCUAUAUAUAUAGAGAGCUAGGCUGGUAUACUAUCAGUAGCACGGAGGCCUCAGUGCUACUAAGUUGUUUUCAAUGAUGCAGCUUCCAAAUCGACGAUCGGCUCCGCUAGACUUGAUCUACACUAUUGAAAGUAUUAGGAAACUAAAUUUCAUAAUUUUUCGGCAUCAUUUGGCUAGUUAUCAAAAGGUCUCAAAAUUGACAAUUUUGAUGGUAGAUGUGAUGUGUUUGUGAAUUUAACGGUGUAAAACAAUUCAAAUAUGAUGAAAUUUUUAUAAAUUUUUUUUUUUCACUAUUUAGAAUAAGAUCAGUACCUCUGAUCUUAAAUUCAAGUCUUUUAUCAUCAUUUUUUAGGAAAACUACUCGUUUGAUAGAUAAAUAAUAUCGAAAAUUUAUGAAAUUUAAUUUUCAAAUAUUUUCAAUAGUGUAGAUCAAGUCUAACGGAGCUAAUCGUCGAUUGGGAAGCCGCAUCAUUGAAAACAACUUAGUAACACGAAGGCCUUCGUGCUAUUGAUAGUAUACCAGCCUAGCUCUCUCUCUCUCNAUAUAUAUGUACUAUUUGAAUUUUAGCUCAAUCCAAAUGUGAGGUGGCCUUUAUUUUUGUGAAUUUCAAUUAUUAAAUUAAGAUUCUAAUUUUUUAAUUUUCUUUCAACUUUUUACCUUACAGUAAGGCUAACAAUCUAAUUUGAUGUUUGCAACCUAGCUCGUGAUUGACCCAUUAAUAAAUGAGCUGAAUUUGUUAGCUCGAUAUGUUAAUAGGGUAGUUCGUGUUCGACUUGUUUAUUAAACGAGUUGAAAAUGAGCUGCCCCAGCUCGCUCGUAUUUGACUCGUUGACAAUCCUAGAUGUUGGAAUGUGCUUACUGUAUUUAUAAGGGCUCAAUUUAGACAUCUGAAUAAAUUAUCCAAUGAUAAUUUAUUCAACAUAAAAAUGUUUCUAUGUGAUUUGAAACAACUAAGUUUGACAUUGACUAGUGUGGUUAAGUAGGUGUUUGGUUCCAUACAAAAUUAUAGAAAACUAUUUUCGAAAGUAAAUUAUUUUAGAUGAAAAAAAUAUUUUAUGGUUCUCUAUGUUCGGUUUGUAUGAAACAGAAAACUUUUUUUUUUUUUUUUGAGAGAUAGGUAACACGCUACUCGCUUCGUUUAUUUCAUUUAGAAAUAAACUUAGCUAGAAAUGUGAAUCAACUAAGAUUCGAACUUGGGUCUCGGGUACCAACCACCAAGCUUUUUGCCACUUGCUCUAGGGACGGUCGGUAACAGAAAACAUUUUUGUAUCAUAAUUUGCAGUAGCCCUGCUCUCUCUCUAUAUAUAUAUAGUAUAAUGUAUAAUGUAUAAAAUUCUAUAAUUUAAAUUAAAUAAAUAAUAAUUAAAGAAGUAGUUGGCGGCCAAAAGUGAUGCAGUUCAUACAGUUUGCGUCAACUCGGGACCCUAUCACCUAGACAUUACUGGGCCUAGGUUUUCCCCCUCAACUUUUUAUUUCCCGCUCGCGGAAAAUAAAAAACAUUCUUUUUCUCAUUAUCUAUAAAAUUAGAUCACAUAAAAAAAAAAUCUAUUCAAUUAAGCAUUUUGAAAUUUUUACAUUAAUACCGACCGUCCCUAGAGCAAAUGGCAAAGGAUUUGGUGGUUGGUACCCGAGACCCAAGUUCGAAUCUUAGUUGAUUCACAUUUCUAGCUAAGUUUAUUUCUAAAUAAAAUAAAUGAAGUGGAUAGCGUGCUACCUAUUCCUCAAAAAAAAAAAAAAGAAGAAAUUUUUACAUUGAUUCAAACAGCUCCUAAUGCAAUCAAUGUUUACCCUAGGGUUCCCAAAGGGUCAGUCAGGGUUCAAAUCCUUUCUUAUACAAGAUUUCUUUCUAGUCUUCAAUUGAUGAGUUUAUUCAGUCUGUAUCAUUCAAUUGAUUGAAUAAAACCGCCUUAGGGCAUGGUUUCCCUCAAAAAAAGAAAAAAAAAAAAAAAACAAAGAACCUACCUUUGUGCCUAGGGAAUGUCAAUGGAUUUGGGUACCAACAUUGUAUUCAAAUUUGGAUCCAAUGGAGACAAUUUAGAAUGGGAAUAGUUUUAAUCACAGAGAUAAUUAGAUAAAUAUUCAAAACCCGACGGUUUUACUUUUGAUUUUUGUUUACAUCUGAUAUAAAAUCCAUUGUACUUUUAUUAAUCGAUAUAUUUUAGAUAUUGUAAUGAUAAAGCUUUCUAUAUUGCAAUUUUAUUAAAUUAUAAAAACUCAAUUUGAAUUUUGAGAUUUUAAGUUAAAUUUUAAUUUGGCGAGAUCCGGGCCAACCAAACGGUCAUGCCCUUAUUUGUUAUAGAUCCAACUGUAUUUAUUUUCAUUAUCACUUCUACGUAAGUUUUCAGUGGCCUUUAUUAUUUCUUUUUUCAGUUCUUAUUCUAAAUCGCGAUUACUCUAUAUAAAACACAUUUAGUAAUACUAAAUGUGUUGCAGAUUCAGAAGUUUCAAAUUUAAUUAAAAUUUGAUUCUUAUAGAGGUGCGAACUGUUGGAUUUGGAUCGUGACAGAUAUUUAAUCUAAUAGUUUAUAUAUAAUAAUAAUUUAAUUUAAUAUUUUAGGUUUAGGCUUUGGAUAUGGGGUUUAGGGGUUUUCAGUUUGUUUAGCGGGUUCAAUUUUGAUUUUGAAUUUUUAUAGUCCUUUCGAUAUAGGUACGAUUGCGAAUUUUGAUUUUUAGUUCGGGUCGGGUUUUGAAUUUGAUAAAAACCGACCCGAAAUAGAUCUAACUUGGCCCAAUUUCAAGCACCUCCAACCCAAUAACCCAAAUAUAAAGCAACACUACUUUUGCUCGAAUUUCCAUGGCAAAAUUAUUGGAUAUGUCCCCGUACUUUCCCAAUAUUGCAACUGCGCCCUAUAAUUUUAGCUACAUUAGCUCAAUUUCAGAACUUUCACAUAAAUUAUAUUUUUAUUGUAGAAUUUUUAAAAAUUUAGAUUUUAUUUUCUUUCUUGUGAUGUGAUGUAAUUGGGCCAACUUUUCUUUUGUGGGACUCGGAUUUUUUGUUCUAUGAUAUCCUGAUAAGAAUAAGACUCUGAGCCUAAUAAAUGGGAUCUCCUGUAAAAAAUUUUAGUUUAUUGAAAACAAAGUGUGAACAAAAGUUUUAUUUUGAUCCCUAUCUCUUAUUUUCCUCCCCUCUUAUAUCUCUUCUUUUUCUCCCCUCUUCUGAUUUUCAAUCCGAGAAUGUAUACUAAGGAGAUUAUCACGGAUUAUUUGCACAAAUUGCUCUAGUUCAGUUAUAACAUAAUUUGGACCCAGUAAACUAAAAUAUAUUAUUUUGUAUAUUUUUAUCUUAAUAGUUUAUAUAGUAUUAGAUAGUCCUCAAUGCCAAAUAGACCUCUGAGCCUUGGUCCAAUCGCAUGCCCUGCAGUAGGAAAAAUUCUAGAAUGCAACGGGUAUAUUGAUAACGUGGCGUAACAGAUUAAUCAAAAAUUUUCUUUUAAAGAUAUAUGCCCAUCAUGAUUAUAAAAAAGUAUUUUUAUUGUACUUUUGUUUGAAAAGAAAGAAGAUGAUUGGCUUAUUAUUAAUGACGUAAUGCAAAUGUGAUAGUGUAGGAUUCCUCCCACUGUAGCCAAGUUUUGGAGGUUAGAACCAAAUUCAAUGAUGAUUGGUAUUAAUUGCGUUGAAGCUUCCAUUGCUGAUAAGAUGUUGCCAUCUGGAAAACAAUUGUUACUUCCAAAAGAUUCAAUUAUUAAAAAACAAAACUUUGAAAGAAGACUGAUUGAAUUUGAACAACCUAAAGCACAAAUCUGAAUUGAAAAAAAAGACUAAAUUAUAGAAAAUUUUCACGUCAAAAUUUGAUUUUUACUUUUCUCACUUGUUGUUCAAAAUCCUACACUUUGCUCCUUUAAAAGUAAAAAAAUAUUUACAGAAAAGUACAAUAUUAACUCUAAUGACAAAAUAAUUAAAUUGCCUUUCAUCCUCUUCGUCUUCUCUCCAAUACUGCUUAUCCGCAGCAUCUCCUCCCUCGUUCUUCACACUUCUUUCGACCCCAGCUCCGACUCUAUUUUCUUACCUGUUGCUUCACUCCUCCGACACCCUCGCCGCCCCUCCAAUAGAGCAACUGUAGGGAGGAGAUCAUGGUGAGCAUGGACGGAAAGGUGGGCGAGGGCGAGAGUCAGGCGGCGGAGGAGGGCGAGGGCGUAUGUGUGGGUACGGAGAUAGCGGUGGGCGAGAACGAGACGGCGUAGCCGAGGAUGUUGACAAGGAAGGCAGAGACGCAUAUAAGAGGAGAGUUUAAAGGACAUUUUGAAUAUAAAAAAAAAUAUAAUAAUAAAAUAUAAACAGAAUUCUAACAGGACACUAAUGACAGGACCGAAGUAUACAUUCCUCAAUUUUUAAGGGGCCAAAAUAUAGGUUUUCAAAAGAUGGUGGGAAAAAAAAAAAAAAAAGGUAUUGACCGGAGAAUUUUUUAUAACUUAACAUUAAAAAAAUAAAAUUUGAAGUUAGAAUCUUUUAUUUUGAUAUCUGUGCAUCAACUAUUUUCUCUAGAAGCUCACUAUACUAAGGAACAAUGUCUUAGUAUCUUAGAAAUAAAAUGCAAUAUUGGAACCACCCAAACUACAGCUAUUUAGAGACUGCUAUUUAAGCUGUAAGAUUUUGAUAUUUGACACCUAAACUUUAAAAUUUUAAACUUUAAUUAAGGGCCUAAAUCUGCAUUAGUUCCAUUUAUUAACUUAGGGUGGUGAAUAUUAGUCGAAUGAUCAGGGAAAAAAUGAACAAUGACUAUUAAGGUGGAUCGACCAUUUUGGUAGCCAAAUCCAGUUUUGUAGCAAAAAUAUUAAUAAUAAUUUUCAGAAUUUAAUUGUUAAAAUCAAAUUAAACAAUUAGCAUCAAUUAUACAACCAUGGGGCUGUUUGGUUGGUUGUAAUUGUAAAUAUUACAAUAUAGUUAAAAAUAUAGUAGUUAUAACUGCACACAAUUUGGUUGGUUUUAUAAAGAUGCAAUUGCUGUAGUUGCAUUUUCUCAAUUUGGUAAUAUGAAACUAAUAAUUGUAUUUGUAAAUUUUGUCACUUUUUCGGAUAGAAUGAUGAGAAUAUCUUCACUAUAUAUAAUAUAAUUAUAUAAUUUUAUUAAUCAUUUAAAAUUGUUAUCUAUAAGUAAAUAGUGAUAUAUAAUAUUUUUAUACAUCUUUAAUAAUUUUUCAACUUAUCUAUCAAUUGACACAACUUAAAUUUUUCAAUCAAUUUAAUUUGGGAAAACUUCAAAAAAAUCUCCAGUGGUUUCGCACUUUUUUAUUUUAAUACCAUGUGGUUUAAAGUGUAUCAAGUUAGUACCUAUGGUUUCGCACUUUCUCACUUUAAUACCCUGUGGUUUAAAGUGUAUCAAGUUAGUACUAUAUGGUUUUAUUUUUGUAUCAAGUUAGUACCCUAUGGUUUUUAAACCACAGGGUACUAAAGUGAGAAAGUGCGAAACCACAGGGUACUAAUUUGAUACACUUUAAACCACAGGGUACUAAAGUGAAAAAGUGCAAAACCACAGGGUACUAACUUGAUACACUUUAAACCACAUGAUACUAAAGUGAGAAAAAGUGAAACAACAAGGGAGGUAUUUAAAGUUUUCCCAUUUAAUUUUAAGAGAUCCACCAAACUUACAAAAUUAUGAUUCUCUCUAUUAUUUUAUCAAAUUGAAUAGUUGUAAUUACUAAAAUUUGUUAAGUUAACACUCAUAAUCAAAUUCUAUGAAAAUUUACGAAAAAAAUUACUUUUAUAUUGUCAAAUGAACCAUUUUUUUUUAAAAAAAAUUACACAAUGAUUGCGUUGCAUGCAAAUUAACUUUUAUUGUCCAAGUAUUUAUUAACAAGUAUUUUUGUUUAUAUAUGUACAAGUAUUUAUUUAUUUAUUUAUUUGUUAUUGUUAAUUAGUGGGUGAGAUCUUAUCCCUCAUCAGCAACUGAAACUACAGCCAAUUUGAAUGUAGUUUUCACUACAAUAUUUGAUUCUUCUUAUGUAGUUGCAACUGCAAGCCAAACACAAAAAUUAAGUAUGUAUGUAUUUGCAACUGCAGUACAGUUAUAACUAUAUAUAGUCAAACAAUCCCUCUUCUAAAGCUAAAUUUUGGCAUAAAAAAGAUCUAUCUAUGGUGGCGGUGCCCUUCACCGUCGGUGGUGUGUGUGCUCUCCACUAAAAUUCUUGAUCAUUUGGCUGCGCUAAAGCCACAAACAAGCAAAAGUUCAGGUGAUUCAUAAACAUUUAACACCAUAUUUUAUUUUCAAAAAUUAUAUACCUGAGACUGAUUCCAAUUAAUCAAAAAGAUUACUAACUUUUUGAUUUUGCGAUAGCACUAUGUCCAUGUUAUAGCCUUUUAGUGUUCCAAAAUGCUGUUGGCUUAAAUAAGCUUUCUAUCUUGUGGCAGAAGAUCAAGUGGGUCGAGUCACAUUCGAAAUGGCGUAAGGCCGGGAUAGGCCAGGUCAUGUUUGAAGUAACAUUAAGGCUGGGAGGAUCAAGUCACAAUCGAGACCUAUGAACGCUAUAUGAUAUAUCUGUACGCUUUAAGUGAAUUGGUUGUAUAUUUCUAACGGCUCGAGCUUUUGAGAUUAAUACUUAGUGCCAACGACGUACAACAUUUAAUUUUAAUAUUCUCACUUUUCAUGUAAAAAGGAUGUUCAAUCUUAAUAGACUCGCGUUUUGGCAAGCUCCUAAUUAAGGUCAACAAAAUCCUAAGUAUAAUGGGCGUGGCAAAUUGUUUGCAAUGCAAAGGACAAAUUGAAAAGGGUACCGUUAUUUAGUUAUGUAACGAAGUGGCAUCUAAACGACAAGCACUCCGUAAAGUUUAAAGCUCUGAUAAAUAUAGGAUUUUAGAACCGUCAAUUUCGCUAACUAGGCCUCUAAACUUUAUCAGAAAGUUUAAUAGAUCUUGGAUGUCGACCACGUGAUUUAUUCAAGAUAAUUUAUAAAGAUAUAAUCGAUCCAACGGUUAAAAUUUAUUUGGGCACGUCCUUAAUAAACGGACAUGAUUAAAUAUCCUUACAUUAUAUAUAUAUAUAUAUAUAUAUAUAUNAAUAGCUCAUCAUGUCAGAAGCCUGAUUCUAUGCCAGCGUUGCCAAAAGGAGCAAGCAAAAGACGCAACUUACAAUGGCAAGGAUGCAGAUGAGGCAGAGGACGUGAGAGCAAGAACUCCAAAACACACAAUUGCUAUGCUCCGAGCUGCUUUUUUUCGCCUUUCUUUCUCAUUCAUGUCAUCUGCAACAUUUAUAUACUACAAGAUUUGAAUUCCAAAUAGAGGCCUGAUAUGUCAGUAACCUUAGGAAUAACUUUAAAUGGCAAUUAAAUCUAAUUGAAAGAGAAUAUUUGACUGCAAAAAUGAUAAGUAAGAUACUUGUUGACUGUCUAAAAAUUUGGAAAAAUAUGUGAAGGUGUAGGUCCAAGUUCUGAGUGGUUCCAUUAUCAAGGUGCUUUAUGUGCUGAAACAUGCAUCAGUAAGUCAAAAAGAAAAACAGGCGAAACUUGUAGGGUGGUACGGUUUGUGGUAAGAAUGGAUUUCACUCCGCUUUCGAAAUGCUUGCUUUUCUAAUUUCUUAGUGUGCUUUUCAUGGAAAAAGGAAUGAAAUAGAUGUUGAUUACUACUGAUCUUAUUCCAGGGCACAUCAUGACAUCCAUUAUCCAUAUCAUGCAACGACCCGACCCGCUAGCAAUAAUAACUCGUUGGGCCCAAACCAUCGGCCCAAAAUACUUAAGCCGGGUUAUUAUUACUAGUGUCUAAGUCUCUUAUAAACCCAAUGACAACUCCAUUCCCAUCCGAUGUGGGAUUAUUGGGGUGUCACAGACUCCUCCCAUUAAGACCCUGACGUCCUCGUCAGUCACACAUACAGCCCAAGAUCACCAGGCAAUGUGAGACUUAUCUCACUAGCCCGUCAUCUAGACCCUGGCUCAGUCGAGACUCGCCACACAUGUCCAGCUGGUGAGCCGGCUCUGAUACCAAAUGUAACGACCCAUCCCACUAGCAAUAAUAACUCGUUGGGGCCAACCACAGCCCAAAAUGCUUAAGCUCAGUUAUUAUUACUAGCGUGUAGGCCUCAUAUAAACUGAUUGAAAUCAGUAUCCCAUCCGAUGUGGGACUAUUGGGGGCGUUACAAACUCCCCCUGUUUAGACCCUAACGUCGUCGUCGGGUCCAAACCAGAUCAUAGACAGACAGACCGGGACCAUUACCAGAUGAUGUGAGAUUCUAGAGGAGGCUCCUACGGGUUCAAGAGGUGGAUCCCACCAAACCCGUUGGUGUAGCACUUUGUCCCGCAUAGCACUUAGUUCUCACACCUUCGGCUGGUAUUCAGCUCUGAUACCAUAUGCAACGACUCGACCCGCUAGCAACAAUAACCCGUUGGGCCCAACCACCGGCCCAAAAUGCUUAAGCCCAGUUAUUAUUACUAGCAUGUAGUUCUCAUAUAAACUGAUCGGAAUCAGUAUCCCAUCCGAUGUGGGACUAUUGGGGACGUUACAAAUUCCCCCUGUUUUAGACCCUCGUCGGGUCAAAAUCAGAUCAUAGACAGACAGACCAGGACCAUUACCAGGCGAUGUGAGAUUCUAGAGGUGGCUCCUACGGGUUCAAGAGGUAGCUCCCACCAAACCUGUUGGUGUAGCACUUUGUCCCGCAUAGCACUUAGUUCUCACACUUUCGGCCGGUAUUCGUCUCUGCCCUGAAGCAUGAAUGUCCCGAAUCUGACUUUCUUUUCAUCGGUGCACUGCAUAGCCGUAAAUGCUUUUUCCAUCUCCUUGAUCCAAUUUUCCGCUUCAUCCGGAUUUGUAGCGCCUGAAAUAGGUGGAGGAGCAGACUUCUUAAAUUCAUUAAUGCUCCUCUCUCGAACUCUGGAACUUGACUCCGCGGCACUAGGAGCUGGACUUUGUUGUAAAUUUUGUUGUUGAGUCUGAACUAGCCCGACCACAGCUUGUUUCAGGGUGGCGACUAGGGGAUCCAUUGUGGUGCUCUGCAGUAAAGUGGCGGAGUGGGUGGGAAUAGUAGGUUGUGGCGGCGGAGGAACAAAACCAGAAGGUACAGUCAACGGCGGAAACGAAAAGGUAGUGGGAGCGGCCGUCGAAGGCAUCCCAGUACUAAAAGUCUGCUGUAGAGGUGGAGCAAACGUUGAAGGGUUCGUUGGAGGUGCUAUGGUUGACUGUAGCGAAUUCUGAAUAGUAGGCGGAACAAUAGUAUGAGGUGGAACAGCUGCCGAGGAUGUGGUAUUCAAAAGUGAAGCUAGGGUGGUGUUCAGAUAUGCAUCUCCGGAUCCGACUGGAGGUGGGUUCCUCGGUUGCUUGUUGUUGGUGUUGCCAUGGCGGGACGGACGCACCACCAUCUUAACAAGAGAGGGGAUCACAAACAUGUAAAGCAAGAUGUUAACGAAAACUGUAAACAAUAAUCAAAUAGGAUCAAACACGCGCCUACUUUUACCCAUCCUCACACGUCCUAAUAAACUCUCACAGUCCUAUACCUUAAAAGUUACAGUAGAUCUUAAACCUUGUAUUCUCUGAUACUAAUUGCAACGACCCGACCCGCUAGCAACAAUAACUCGUUGGGCCCAACCACCGGCCCAAAAUGCUUAAACCCAGUUAUUAUUACUAGCAUGUAGGUCUCAUAUAAACUGAUCGGAAUCAGUAUCCCAUUCGAUGUGGGACUAUUGGGGACGUUACAUAUAUAUAUAUAUAUAGAGUCCAGCUAUGGUGCUUGUAAAAGCACCAAGCACUUGGUGCUUGUAAGUUUUUUACCGUUAGAUCUACUUCUCGGAUCAUUUUCAACCAUUAGAUUAUACUAUUCAACCAACCACUCACUCAACCCUAGGGGGCCCACAUCAUCCUAACCGCAUAUCUCUUAAUCCAAUGGCUAAAAACCUAUAAGCACCAAUAACUUGGUACUUUUAAAAGUAUAUGAGCUCAAUUCUAUAUAUAUAGAGAGAGUUUGACUACUAUACUAUUUAUAGUACUAAGUCCUUGGUACAAUUGAGUUUUCUACCGUUAGAUCUACCCUUUGAUCAUUUCCACCCGUUAGAUUAUACUAUUAAACCAAUCACUCACUCAACCCUAGAGGACCACUAUCAUCCUAACCGCACAUCUUUUCAUCCAACGGUCGAAAACUCAAUAGCACGUACUAAGAGGUUGGUACUAUUGAUAGUAUAGUAGCAUAAUUCUAUAUAUAUAUAUAUAUAUAUAUAUAAUAAGAGUUC